UUAAUUUUUUUAAAAAGUUUUACUUGUGAAUAGUACCCACAUGCCCGUGUGAUUAGGCCGUGUGGAUUCCAUACACCCGUGUGGCUUGGGACACGCCCGUGUCCCUUGUCCUUGGAGCUUUCUGUUUAUGACAUCAUCAUCAAUUUAGGGGCACACGGUCACAUCGCACGCCCGUGUCCUAAAGUCGUGUUCCAUACACAGCUGAGACACACGGCCGUGUCUCUGCCUGUGUGGUCAAUACCUAAGCUAUUUUCCAAGCCUUGGUCAACCUUAAUCUCUUACACACUCAUACAAAAUCAAAAGCAUAUAACAUGGUAUUCAUUUAAUGAUUAAACAUUCUCAAUUAAACUACAAACAUAGUAUUUGUAUGUCAUCAUACAUGUAUCUCCCAUACUCAUUUUACCUUGUCUAUUAUGGUACCACUUAUACUUUUAUACCAUGAUUAUCAUCUUACCAAAUAUUUUCAGCUUAAUCAUCAAGCAUUCAUAUUUAAAGCUAGAUCAUAUCUUCAUAAAAUACCACAUUUCAGAUGCGCAGAAUAAAAUACUUGCCUGAGACAUUUCAAUCCAACUUCAUACCCAACAAGCAUCAUAUUGAAACUAGUUAUAUAUAUACAUGUCAUGAUAUGUAUCAUUCUCAUACUAUUUUCUUAUAAACAUAUACCAUUUAUUUUCUUCCUCCUCCUCUCCAUUCCACAUCCUUAAUGUAUAUAACAUUCUUGUAAGUACUAUUUCACAAAUUACUUAUUAAUGCUUACAUCAAGCUGUUCACACGAGUUAUAGUCACUCAAUUAUUUAUAAUUAAAGCUACAGAGCUCCAAAUUAAGAUCCGUAAAUUUUUCCUGAAACUAGACUCACAUAUCAUUCCACCAUAAAAUUUUCAGAAUUUUUGAUUUGGCCAAUUAGUACAGUUUAUUCAUUUAAGUUUCCCCUGUUUCACUAUCCGAUAGUUCUGACCUCUCUUCACCAAAAAUAAAUUAUAUCACAUUACAGAACUCAGAUAAUGUUCCUGUUGAUUUUUAUUAAAAAUAGGCUCAUUAAGGAUUCUAAUCAUAUAAAUUUUAGCCUCAAAUAAAUUUUCUCCAAUUUUUGGUAAUUCUCCAAAGUAAAAACAGGGGAACCCGAAUUCAUUUUGACCUUGUCUCACAAAAUUCAUUAUAUCUCAUAAUUUACAAUUCAAUUGCUUACACCGUUUCUUCUAUGAGAAACUAGACUCAAUAAGCUUUAAUUCAAUAUUUUUUUCAUCCUCUAAUUAGAUUUUUAAAAUUUAUGGUGAUUUUUUAAAUUAACCUAUUGCUGCUGUCCAAAACUAUUUUAGUUCAAGAUGUUCAUUACCAUUUUUCCUCUAAAUUUCACAGGUCAUACAAUUCAGUCCUUGCUCAAUUAGCCCAUCUAUUAAGCUAAUUUUUCUCAAUUAACAUUUUAUUCCAUCACUCUAAACUAUUACACAACCUUUGAAAAUCAUAAUUUUAACACUAAACCUUAAUUCACAACUUUUUCACAAUUAGGUCCUAAAAUCAAUUUCUAUUGAAAUUACUUGAUAAAAUCAUCAAAAAACAAAAUCAAAGCUUCAAAUUCAUUUUAUUUCAUCAUAGAAAGGCAACACUUAUCAAUGGUAGCUUUCAAUUUUGUCCAUAAAAUCGAAAACUAAUGAAUUAAACACUUGGACCUAAUUGUAAAAGUCACAAAAACAUAAAAAUAUCAAAGAAAAGGGAAAGAAUUGAACUCACAUAUGUCAAAGUAUGAAAAACCAGCAACUUUCAGACCUCCCAUGGCAUUUUUGCUGAAGAAAAAUGAUGAUAUCUCUAGAUUUUUUAAUUUUGUCUUGUUUUAUAUGUUUAAUUUGCAAAAUUUCCCAUUUUGCCCUUGUUUCUCCUUGUCUUUUUGCUGAUUUUCUUGCCCAACCGUCCAGGCCGUACAAUUUGGGUCCAAUUUCCUUUUAAAUCCCUCCUUUUUAAUCACUUAAACUAUUUAAUCACAAUUUAACAAAUUUCGCACUAUUUUUAAUUUAGUCCUUUUUAAUUAAUUGACUAACCAAACGUUAAAAUUUUCUAUCAAAACUUUAAUACUAACUUAAUAACACUCCAUAAAUAUUUAUAAAAAUAUUUAUGGCUCGGUUUAUGAAUCCGAGGUCUCGAUACCUUGUUUUCAAUCCAAUUUACCUGAUUAAUUCUUUUAAAAUCGCAAAAUUCACUAAUUAAAAAAAAUUAUUUUAAGUUCGCGCUUGGCCCAUAAUUAUUAUUUAUUAAAAUUUCUAAACUUACUCGUCGGAUUUAGUGAUCUCGAAUCACUGUUUCCGACACCACUGAAAAUUUGGCUGUUACAUUUAGCCCAACACAAAAUUAUUUUUCCUCAGCAGACAUACUGAAUCUAUUUAUAAAAGGACAUUUAUCUUAUUUUAUUUGAUUUCAAUCAAUUUGAUUUAAUUUUAAUUGAAUUGAUUUAUUAGCUCCUUUAAAGGCAAUUUUUUUGAAAAUUUCCAAAAUUUCACCAUACUAAAUGUCUAUAAAAGGCUAUGAAUUCUGAAGAAUUUUUCUACACUCAUACUCUCUCACACCGAAUUUAUUUUGCUCUCAAAAUUAUUCUUUCCUUUCUAUAUUUUUCAACGUUCUAGUAAUAGAAAAAGGCAACGUUUGUUCGUUGAUCACUACAAAGGUGUUUUUGCUUUGACCAUUAUGUUGUUAUCCUGGGAGACAUUCAACCAACAUUUCUCCAGCUACCGUAGGAGUGUUCGAAUUUGUCUUAAGGAAACUGUGUUAAGCAGGCCUCAACAUUUAGUAAAUCUCUAUUCUUCUUCUUGAUUUCAACUUUUUUGUUAUUGUUUUUAUUGGUUUACGAAUUUGACAAUUUAAAUAUAAAUCGUUCUAUUUAUAUUUUAUUUUAUAUAUAAAUAUUUUUUAUUAUAUUUAAAUUGUUGUUCGCUAACGUGUUUUGUCCAACACUAAAUAUAUAAAAUAAAUUUCAUUUCUUUUGUUAAAAAUCAUAUCUUAAUUAAAGAUUAUUUUAUCUUGAAUUAAAUUAAAGUAAUUUAGAAAUAAGUAAUAAAUGAAAUAGAUAAAUUCUUCUAGAACUCUCAUUUGAAGAAAUCAUAUUUUACAAGAACAUUUUUAUUUAUACUAUAAAAAGGAGUCACCUCUAAGCCAUUCAAUAUAAGUUUAAAAGUUCAAGAAUUGGAGUUUAAAGAUAGGAUUUAGGUGUGAGCUUCAAUAAGAGAACUCUAAGAUACUUUUCAAAGAAAUUUUGAAGAAUUAUAUGAUAAUUCUUUAGAAUACUUAAAAGUUAUUCUCUAAUCUUAUUCAACCGAUACAAAACGAAUCAACCAUGCCUUCCAAGAGCAAUGACACUUGAAAACUGGUGGAUCAAAAGUCUUUUCCUUUUUGUUCCUAUGACACCAAGAUCAACCAUGCCUUCUAAGAGCAAUGACACUUGAAAACUGGUGGAUCAAAAGUCUCUUCCUUUUUGUUCCUAUGACACAAAGAAAACCAAUCUCAUCUUUCAAGAUCAAAUCUCGAAGACCCUUGAAGCGAAUCACAUCUAUUUAAGAUAAAGUCCCAAUGACCUUGGGAUCAAAUAAUUUUUUUGAAAAAAAGAAUCAAAGGAUUUCUUUGCAUUGAGAUUUUCACUUUCAAGUUUGAAAAUAAAAUAUUUUAUUUGUAUAAAACUUUUCAAGUUAUACUUUUGACACUAAAUUUAUGACAAUGUGGCAACCUAGACCUGACCCGGAUGGCGGGUUUGAAUGUAAGACAUUAUAUUUGUUGUCGAAGCAAUUCAACUAUGAUCAUUCAAGGAAAUGACUAAGUAAUCAAAUUAAAAACCUUUUACACUUUAAAAAUUCAUAAUAAAAUUAUUCUUAAUACUUUUAAAUCAAUAUAGAAAUAUUUUAAAGCGAUUCCUAGGUGCCAGGACCAAGUUUGAGUCUUUGAUGGUCAAAACAACUCAAAAUAGGGGACAGGACCCUAUCUACCAUAGUUCCAUGGUGAUAAUACUCUAAAAUGACAUAUUUUUAUGUAUUAAUUAUAUGUUUAUUUUUAGUAUGAUCAUACUAAUUUGAGUUAUUUAUGGUCUUUUAUCUUUCAGGGACUAAAUUGGAGGCAAAAGGAAAUUUAAGGGAAAAAAUCUCAAAUUUGAAGAUAAAAUGGGCCAACAUGCAACAUAGGAAAAAAUGUGGUGCCAAAAAUGCAAUCAUGGACGACAUAAGGGCUAAAGUGCAAAAGAAGAGAUUUUAUAUCAUAAGACUCUAUUUUAAUUCCAAUUAUAUUAGGAUUAUUAUUUAGAUUUAAUUUUAGGAUUUAUUUUUAUUUAUAUUUAAUUAUUUGUAUUUAUCUUUUGGAAUUUAAGUAGGACUAGACUAUCUUUCCUAGUACUAUAAAUAGGGGAUGGAGUAACACAAGUUUCACAUCAUUUUUUUCUGUAAACACUUUUUCCCCAUAAAGUUUGGCCUUUUUGUUCUUUCCAUAUUUUCUUUCAAUAAAAAUUUCAUUUCCAUUAUAUUUACUUGUUUUUCCCCCAAAAAUCAUAAGCCACUAAAUCUAUCUAGCCGAAGGUUUUCAAAAUUCCCCAAAAAAGGGUUCAUGAGGCUUAGAAUCCGUACUUAGCCUUCUUGACGAAUAUUCAUCGCUACUUUGCAUUACGGGGAUGACGCUUCCGUCCAUGUCCCUUAAAAGGUGAUCUUUUCAAUGUGUGCAAAGGUGGUCGCUUUGUAUGUUUUGGGAAGGUUGCACAGUCAGUUCGUUAGCUUACUGCGUCAGAGGUUGGCGAGCUCAAGAGAUAAAAUGGCGUGGUAUUCAUCAUUGAGAAGUGAUGUUCUAGCAUAAGAUAAUCUCACAGAAGCGAUUGUUGGUUAGAGUCAAAUUCUGUUAAAAUUGUAAGUCUAAAUUCUUGGAGCUGGUGGUCGUAGGCGUCCUCUUCCACUAUAACUGGCUUAUUUUGUUUGAGAAGGAUCACCUAAAAGUUGAGGAUUGAACCUAAGGCGAAUCGAGACAACCGAAGGCUAGAAUCUCUCUAUAAGAACACAUUUUCCUCAACUUUAUUUAUUUCUAUUAUUUUUAAUUUUCGAAAUCCCAAUCAAAAUUUUUAAUUCUUUUUUAUUUUAUUUUUCCAGAUCAAAACAUUUAAUUCUAUUUUUUAUAAUUUCUUUUCCAGGUACGCAGGUUUUCUUGGGCACAAUUCUAACCAGGAUUCCGAGGAACAAGCAAUUGUGCAAGUCCAGUCCCUAAGGAUUUGACCCUACUUCCCUUAUACUAUUAUUUUUAUUAUUUUAUAGGGAUGGGAUAUUUUUGGUGCUCUCAACGACCGUAUCAAAUUUUGGUGCUGUUCUAAUCUUGUUCUUUGUUUCUUAUGACUAGACUUGCUCCAGGUACUUUUGCGUUUGAUUCAGAGAUAGAAAAAACUACGAGAGUCAAUUGCAAGGAAACAAAGUUACACAAAAAGUAGUCAGGAGUGGUCGGGACUCAGCGUAAACCACCACCAAAAGUUGGAAUCGACAAUGAAGUAGAGUCUAGGGUUAACGAAAACUCUACCUAAACAAUUGAAAGCGAAAAGUAGAAGUCGAUUCCCCAGACGAAGUGCUUAACACUAGGGUUAACGAAAACCCAAAUCUAACACAUCAACCAAUGGCUCAAAUGAUUUGGCAACUGGCCGAGGCUCUGGCAGAACAACCACCAUUGUGCAUCGUAUAUCUUACUAUGGAUAUUGAUUUUGAACUAAGGUCAGGUUUAAUCUAGCGACUGCCAACUUUUUGUGAGUUGCAAAACGAAAAUCCCCACAAACAUUUGAAAGAGUUUCAUAUGGUUUGUCUUAGUAUGAAACCUCAGAGGGUAACUGAGGAUCAAAUUAAAUUGUGUGCUUUCCCUUUUUUCCCUAAUAGAUUUAGUUAAGGAAUAGCUAUUUUAUUUACCUCUUAGAUCUAUUACAACUUGUGCUAAUCUUUUUUGAUUGUUUCUUAACAGGUUUUUUCCAGCAUCACGUGCAGCUGAGUUAAGAAGAAAGAUCGUGGAAUAAGGUAGAAAGAAGCAGAGUCUCUCUACGAAAAUUGGUAGCGAUUUAAGAAGUUAUGUGCAAGCUGUCCACAACACGGUAUAACAGAACAAUCUCUUCUCCAAUAUUUUUAUGAAAGCCUGAAACCCAUGGAGAUGAAUAUGGUAGACGCCGCUAGUGAAUGAGUGCUAACAUGACUCCCCAACAAGUAAGAGACUUGAUCUCCACGAUGGCUGCAAAUACUCAACAAUUUUGAGCCAAUCCUAAACCCCCUAGAAGGGUUCAUCAACUAAGUAACUCAACCUUAGAAGAUAAAGUUGAUAGACUUACUAACAUUGUGAGCUCUCUUAUUGCAGAAAAAGCCAAACCAGCCCGAGUAUACGGAAUAUGUGCUACACCUGAACAUAUAACUAAUGCAUUUCCCAGUUUGUAUGAUGAUACUAUAGCUCAUUUAAAUGCUAUGGGAAAUUUCUUUGGGCCACCACAAAGGCGAUACGGCUCUUACGCUAACACCUAUAACUCAGGAUGGAGGGACCACCCUAACUUAAGUUAUGGGGCCAAUCCACGAUAUAACUAGCCAUACCAAAAUUGGGUUCCACAAUAGCCACGAGAUUCAAGUAAUUCUCUGGAAACUUUGGUCAAUAAAUUAGCAGCUAAUAUGCUUGAAUUUCAACAGAAAAUCGAGGCGUCUAUAAGAGAAUUGACCACAUCAAUUGAGAAAAUAAGUUCUCAAGGGAAGCUACCGUCACAAACAGAACUGAACCCACGACAAAACGCGAAUGCAGUGACACUGCGAAGUGGAAAGGUACUGGAACCAAUUCUUGGAGGAAUUUUGGCCAAGAAAUCGCCCAGAAAAAUUCUGAAAAUGACGAACAGGUCUGAGCGAAACCCCAAUUGCCGAAAAUUCAACCUCUAUUUCCAGGAUGAUUAAAUCAAUGUCGAAAGGGCAAAGAAGACAAGGAGAUCCUCGAAACAUUCAGAAAUGUCGAGAUCAACAUACCACUGUUGGAUGCCAUCAGACAAAUUUUGCGGUAUGCCAAGUUCCUUAAAGAACUCUGCACCAACAAAUGAAAAUUAACAGGUAAUGAAAAGGUAAGUGUUGGUGAGAAUGUAUUUGCAGUGUUACAGCGGAAAAUGCCAGCAAAGUGUAAAGAUAGGGGCAUGUUUGCAAUACCAUAAAAGAUAGGCCAUCUGGGAAUUAAGAAGGCUAUGUGUGAUUUAAAGGCCUCAAUAAAUGUACCUUAUUCUAUAUAUGAAUCACUUAACGUAGGUUAUUUAACGAAAAUAGGUGUUAUCAUUUAGCUGGCAAACAGGUCUAUUGUGCAUCCCGAAUGAGUCUUCGAGGACGUAUUAGUAAAAUUUAACAAACUUAUUUUCCUUGCAAGUUUUUAUGUGAUAAAAAUGAAGGAGGAUAGUACUCUUGGAUCUUCAGACCUCUUCUUGGGUCGACCUUUUCUUAGUACCGUUAGCACCAAAACUGACGUUCAAAGCGGAACUCUUACGAUGGAAUUUGAUGGGGAGAUUGUGAAGUUCAACAUUUACAAUGCUAUUAGUCACCCAAGCGGGAUAUUGAGCGUAAACCGUGUCGACAUAAUUGACUCUUUAGUAGAGGAGACUUUUGAGUCCAUUUAUGAAGAUAAAUCUAAAUUUAUAGUUGAUGAAUAUGAAUCUGUUAAUGAAUUAUUGUCUCCAUCAAACACUAAACUUUUACCUUCUGUUGUGCAGGCUCCAGCUUUGGAAUUAAAGCCGCUUCCUGAACAUCUUAAGUAUGUAUUUUUGGGGAAAGGUAAUACCCUAUCGAUUAUAGUUUCAAAUAAACUCCCUAAGCUCGAAGAAGAAAGUUUGAUCUUGGUAUUACAAAAUCAUAAGGAGGCAAUUGGCUGGACCAUUGUUGAUUUAAAAGGGAUAAGCCCUUUGACACGCACACACAGAAUCUAUUUGAAGGAAAACACAAAACCAAUGUGAGAGGCACAAAGAUGGUUAAACCCGAAUAUGAUGGAGGUGGUAAAAAGGAGAUAAUCAAGCUGCUAGAUGCUGACAUAAUCUACCCCAUUUCUGACAGCAGAUGGGUAAGUCCAAUGCAAGUCGUGCCCAAGAAAAUGGGUGUGACAGUAAAGAAAAAUGCUAAAGGUGACUUAGUACCAACUCGAGUGUAGAAUGGGUGGCAUGUCUACAUUGAUUACAGGAAGUUGAAUUCUUACACUAGAAAAGAUCAUUUCCCUAUUCCUUUUAUAGAUCAAAUGCUUGAGCGAUUAGCUAGUACAACUCACUUUUGGUGUCUUGAUGGAUACUCAGGUUUCUUUCAAAUCCCAGUUGCACCAGAGGACUAGGAAAAGACCACUUUUACGUGCUCAUUUGGCACAUUUGUGUAUAGAAGGUUGCCAUUUGGACUUUGCAAUGCACCGGCCACCUUCUAGAGAUGCAUAAUGAGUAUAUUUUCUGAAUAUAUGGAAAAAAUUAUCAAAGUUUUUAUGGAUGAUUUUACUGUGUAUGGAAAUUGUUUUGACGAAUGCCUUAAAAACCUUACGAUAACAGAUGGAUAAAAUUUAAUCUUGUCUUGAAUUAUGAAAAGUGUCAUUUUAUGGUAGACAAAGGUUUGAUUCUAGGUCAUAUAGUUUCAAGUAAGGGAAUUGAGGUCGAUAAGGCCAAAACUGGCAUUAUAAAUUCUUUUCCAUAUCCCUCUACUAUAAGGGAGAUACGUUCUUUCCUUGGCCAUGCAGGAUUUUAUAGGCGUUUUAUAAAGAACUUUCCUAAAGUAGCUGAACUAUUGUGUGAGUUAUUGCCUAAAGAUAAGAAAUUCGAGUUCAACCCAAAAUGCAAAGAGGCUUUAGAUACACUCAAAUAGAAGAUGGUGUUCGCUCCUAUAGUACAAGCACCAGAUUGGAACUACCCCUUUGAAAUUAUGUGCGAUUCAAGAGAAUACAGUGUGGGGGCUGUGUUAGGGAAAAAGAUAGGCAAAGAGCCUCAUGUUAUUUGUUAUGCCUCAAAAAUCCUAGAUGCUACACAAAGUAACUACACCACCACAAAAAAAGAACUCUUAGUUGUUGUAUUUGCUUUGGAUAAAUUUCGGUCAUAUUUAUUGGGAUCUAAGGUGAUUAUUUUUUCUAAUCAUGCAGCUCUCAGGCACUUGAUCACGAAGAAGGAAGUAAAACCAAGGCUCAUUAGAUGGAUUUUGCUACUCCAAGAAUUUGGCAUAGAGAUUCGUGACAAAAAGGGAUGCGAAAACUUGGUAGCUGACCAUUUGAGUAGGUUAACAAUACCUGAUGAUGACACCCCUAUAAAGGAUGAGUUCCUUGACGAGAGCUUAUUUUCAACCGAGGCUCAUUACCUAUGGUAUUCGAAUAUAGUAAAUCUCUUAACCACAAGUUCGUUGCCCACUGUGUUAGCACGUUUCGUGAAGGAAAAGCUUAGACAGGAAGCUCAAUAUUACAUUUAGGACAGCUCAUACUUGUGGAAACACUGUUCAGAUCAAAUAAUAAGAUGAUGUGUUCUAGAAAUUGAAGUAACCUCUAUCCUCACUUUUUUUCAUACAGAAGAUUGCGGAGGUCACUUUGACCCUAAACGGACUGCUCACAAGGUAUUGGAGUGUGGGCUAUAUUAACCCACAAUUUUUCGAGAUGUAUAUAAUUUCUGUAAGUCGUGCGAUAAAUGCCAACAUACAGGUAACAUCAUUAAACGAAAUCAAAUGCCCAUAUCCUUGAUUCAUGUAUGUGAGAUUUUUGAUGUAUGGGGCACUAAUUUCAUGGGCCCAUUUAUUUCCUCAUUUAGAAAUGUAUAUAUAAUUCUUGCAGUAGACUAUGUUUCUAAGUAGAUAGAAGCAAAGCCUACUCGUAAUGAUAAUGCUAAAACUACUGUGAAAUUUCUAAAAUGAACUAUUUUUUCUAGGUUUGGCACACCUCGAGCUCUGAUCAGUGAUCAUGGCACCUAUUUUUGCAACAAAGUCAUGGAGGCAUUAUUAUCAAAAUACAAAGUUCCUCAUUGUAUAGCGGCAGCCUACUAUCCCUAAAUGAAUGGCAUAGUAGAGGUUUCAAACAGGGAGAUUAAGUCUAUUUUGGAAAAAAUAGUUCAGCCCAACCAAAAGGAUUGGAGUCUUCGGCUUAAUGACGCACUUUAGGCCUAUUGAACGGUGUAUAAAGGACCAAUUGGCAUGACCCAUAUCGGCUUGUUUUUGGAAAAGCUUGCCAUCUUCCGAUAUAUUUGGAAUAUAAAGCUUAUUGGGCUAUUCAACAAUGUAACAUGGAGUUAGAACCCGCAGAUAAGGCAAGGAAAUUAGACAUCCAAGAGUUGGAGGAAAUCCGUAAUGAUGCCUAUGAGAAUGCUCGCAUUUAUAAAGACAAGACAAAGUUGUUUCAUGAUAAGAAAAUAGCUCAGAAGCAUUUUUCGAUAGGACAAAAAGUUUUGCUUUAUAACUCCGUACUAAAGCUAUUCCCAGGUAAGCUUCGAUCUUGAUGGCAAGGACCUUUUAUUUUGACCAAAGUAUUUACACGUGAUGAGGUUGAAAUAGAAAGUGAAGAAUCAAGAAAGCGGUUCAUGGUUAAUGGCCAAUGGUUGAAGUCGUUUAACGAGAAUUUUCAAGCCCACGCGGUUGAAAAGAUUCAUCUGGAACCACCAUAGAACCAUUUACGACGUCGAGCUAACGACGUUAAACAAGCACCUUUUAGGAGGCAACCCAAUUUUUAUUUAUUUUUCUUAACUUUAAUUUCUUUUAAUUUAUUAUUUUUCUUUUUCUUUUUAUUUUACUUUAUUUUAUUAUUUACUAUUUUAUUUUUCAAUGUUGAUAAAAUUCUCUUCUUCUGUCUAGGUAAACCGAAGCAACAAUAGCGCUUGUUAGAGGUUUCCCUUAUGCGUGAACGAUAGUAAUUACACGGGGAGUUCUUCUAAACUUUUCUUCCGCCUAUUUAUUUCUUUAUUCCAAAUCGAAGACUAUGUGUUUUAAGUAGGGGAAGGUAUUCCUCAUUAUUUCUGUCGUUUUAGAUGUUGUUUUUGUUGCUGCUGUUGCUUUGGUCGUUGCUGCCCAUAUAAUUUUUUUAAAGAAUAUUCUGCCUCUUUUCAUGCCCAAGAAUUUGACCUCGACUUGCCUACUAUUUGACCCACAUGCAUGCUUCUUGUCUACUAAGUUAGUUAUGAUUUUGUCUGUUUGAUUUCAUCUCCAUUGUUUUAUUUCUUUUAGGCUGAAUAAUUAUGAUCGAUAAAGUCAACCCUAUCUUGCUUAUAGUAUAAUUGAUUAAGUCUAAAUGAAAAGAGGACACUUAAUACAUUUGCAUGCUUAAAAUAUGUUCAUGACUAUUAAGGUGGUCACUGAAACUUGUUUUUGACACUUGAUUGUUGCUCCUAAGUCCUCCAAAAUUAAAAUUUCAUUUAAUAAUAAUAAUGUUUCUGUGGUUGUGAGUGCAGCUUAAGAAGUGACUAGCUGAGUAACCGGGGUAAGGUGAUUGGUUUGUCAUCCUAUUUCAUGUCAAAAGGCUGUAUGAUGUGUUAGGUAAAACUCCCCUAACCGAAAUUAAUUUUUAAGAAUGUGUUGGGCUGAGUAACCAGGGUGAGGUGUUUGGCUAUCAUCUCUCUUCACGUCAAAAGGUUUGAUAUGUUCUUAAGAAAAAUAAAAAUUAGGAGUGUGUUGGGCUGAGUAACUGAGGUGGGGUGUUUGGAUAUCAUCUCUCUUCGCGUCAAAAGGUUCAAUAUGUUUUUAAGAAAAAUAAAAAUUAAGAGUAUGUUGGGCUGAGUAACCGAGGUGGAGUGCUUGACUAUUAUCUCUCUUCGCGUCAAAAGGUUCAAUAUAUUCUUAAGCAAAACUAAAAAAAAAAAGGAAAAAAAAGUAUUAAUAAUAAAACUGAAUUUGGGGACUAAAAGUGGAAACAAAUAGGGUGUCUUGAUAGGUUUGGUAAAUUACCUAAUUUUCAUGAAAUAAUCCAAGUCGAUCUUAAUUUUUGUGUGUUAAUUGGAAUAAUUUUUCAAUAUUACUUAAAGAGAGCUAAGGGUUCUCUUUAUUUUUCAUAUGCAUUUUGACUAAUUUUUAUAAAAAUUUGGAGUGGUACUUCUUUCAUGGCAAUUUCUAAAUUUCACAGUGGACAAGAACCAUACUUGAGGGCAAGCAUGGGCUAAGUAGGGGGAAUUUGAUAGUACUAUAAAAUGACAUAUUUUUAUGUAUUAAUUAUAUGUUUAUUUUGAGUAUGAUCUUACUAAUUUGAGCUAUUUAUGGUCUUUUAUCUUUCAGGGACUAAAUUGGAGGCAAAAGGAAAUUUAAGGGAAAAAUCGCGAAUUUGAAGAAAAAUGGGCCAACAUGCGACAUAGGGAAAAAGGUGGUGCCAAAAAUGCAAGUAUGGACAACAUAAGGGCUAAAGUGCAAAAGAAGAUAUUUUAUAUCACAAGACUCUAUUUUAAUUCCCAUUAUAUUAGGAUAAUUAUUUAGGAUUAUUAUUUAGAUUUAUUUUUAUUUAUCUUUAUUUAUUUGUAUUUAUUUUUUUGGAAUUUAAGUAGGACUAGACUUGGAAUUUAAGUAGGACUAGACUAUCUUUCCUAGUACUAUAAAUAGGGGAUGGAGUAACACAAAUUUCACAUCAUUUUUUUCUGUAAACACUCUCUCCCCAUAAAGUUUAGCCUUUUUGUUCUUUCCAUAUUUUCUUUCAAUAAAAAUUUCAUUCCCAUUAUAUUUAUUUGUUUUCCCCAAAAAUCAUGAGCCACUAAAUCUAUCUAGCCGAAGGUUUUCAAAAUUCCCCAAAAAAGGGUUCAUGAGGCUUAGAAUCCGUACUUAGCCUUUUUGACAAAUAUUCAUCGCUACUCUAUAUUAUGGGGAUGAUGCUUUCGUCCAUGUCCCUUAAAAGGUGAUCUUUUCAAAGUGUGCAAAGGCGACCGCUUUGCAUGUUUUGGGAAGGUUGCACAGUCAGUUCGUUAGCUUACUGCAUCAGAGGUUGGGGAGCCCAAGAGACAAAAUAGCGUGGGAUUCGCCAUUGAGAAUUGAUGAUCUAGCAUAAGAUAAUCUCAUAGAAGCGAUUGUUGGCUAGAGUCAGAUUCCGCUAAAAUUUUAAGUCUAAAUUCUUGGACCUGGUGGUCGUAGGAGUCCUCUUCCACUAUAACUAGCUUAUUUUGUUUGAGAAGGAUCACCUAAAAGUCAAGGAUUGAACCCAAGGCGGAUCGAGACAACUGGAGGCUGGGAUCUCUCUAUAAGAACACAUUUUCCUCAACUUUAUUUAUUUUUAUUAUUUUUAAUUUUUGAAAUCCCAAUCAAAACUUUUAAUUCUUUUUUUAUUUUAUUUUUCCAGAUCAAAACUUUUAAUUUUGUUUUUUUUUAUUUCUUUUCCAGGUACGCAGGUUUUCUUGGGCACGAUUCUGACCAGGAUCCUGAGGAACAAGCAAUUGUGCAAAUCCGGUCCCUGAGGAUUUGACCCUACUUCUCUUAUAUUACUAUUUUUAUUAUUUUAUAGGGAUGGGAUAUUUUUUGUGGUCUUAAUGAUCGCAUCACAUGGGUGCAAAUCCCACUUGUACCAAAACAAAUCCCUAUUACUAUACAUUUUUGCUCCCUAACUUAUUUGAUGCAAUACAAGCUGAUCCAUGUACUAUACAACUAUGUUAGGAUCUAAAGAUCACCUAAAAACUCACCUAAUUUAACCUUCAACAAUACCAUAUCAAAAUGAUAACUUGUAAUACCAAAAAAUCAAGUUCAAAGCAUCAUUUGUAUACACCACAAUAUCACAAACCAUAAAAAACACAUGCAACUAAAAAUCAUCAUAUUGAUAUAUUGUAUUUGUACUUGGGUAUAACUAUAACACCAUAUAGUUCGAUUUUUUCUUGUUUUCCUCCAUGGCAUUCUUCAGUUCCUCGCACCAAAUGUGUCUUUCUUUCAUCAGUCUAAUUUCUUUUUUUUUCAAUUUAACAACCCAAACCCGGCCUAGACAUUACGUUUGGAUUGUGAAGGUUACAUCGUUACACAAAAACAAUGUCACUUAGUUUUUGUAAAAACUCAUUUUUAAUUCUAAGGGAAACAAAGCAGAUUAAAUUAUCGAAAACGUAGUGCUUCUGAAAAUUAUGUGUGUGUUUUGACGAAAACAACGUUUUAUUAACUUUAUUUAAACAAACCCAUAAGCUUGAUCACUUGUAUGGUAUGGCCUCGUAUCAAAUUUCAGAAACUUUGCAAUGGAAAACAUAUUUAGAUUUUUUUUCUUAUAAAACUAUAAUAUCUUAUUAGUUCUACCGUUUUGAUUAGAAUUCUGAUUAUAAAUAGUACGUUUGCAAAAAAAAAUACCAAAUCAAAAUUAAAGUUCUAAAACAAAAUUAAAAGUUCAAAAGUCCGUAAUUUAACCCAAACAUACUUUAAUCCAAAAAGUUUUAACAAAGCUCUAGAAUCGUCGCCCAAUACUAAGUCUGAGGAUCACCUAAAACAAAACAAAACAAACGAGUGAGCUAGAAUGCCAAUGAGUGACUUGGCCCACAUGCAGAAUUUUAUUUAUAGAAUAUCAGAGUAAACCCUAUCCCUAUCCACUAUACACCGUCUUCGUCUAACUAAUCACACCAAUUAGGAGUACAAGAUUCCAUCCAUCCAACCACACCGGUACGUGGCACUAUGGUACUCAUAAAUGUGUAGUUGAGCUGCUAGACUGAAAUUGCGGUUUAACCUCUAAAAUUGUAGUAGAACUACCAUAAUACAAUUCCUCCAUCUUAGCAAAACCCACCCCACUGCAUAUGCAUAAUCAUAUUUACAUACAUACGUAUCAUAUAGGUUGAAUGGCAUGCAUGUCUAAACAUAUAUAGAUAGAGCAUAACAUAACACAUAACUUAUGCAAAUCGAAACUUACUUAACAUGCUUACUCAUGUGUAACAUACUGACUUUUUUGUUUUUUAUUGGCCUAUCAAAAUGCCCAUGGAUUCAAUUUUUGAGUCCUUUAAUUGGCCCAGGUCGUGUGCUCCACACAGCCUUGUAGUGCACAUGGUCUGUUACACGGCCUGCCACACGGCUAUGUGAUGUUAGGCAAUUUCAAAAAUAGACCCUGUUUUAGGGUUUUUUCCAGAUUCAAUCAAAUUUUUUGAGUUAGUAUACACACCUAAUGAUGAUUCUAAUAACCCACACAAAUAUUGCACCCGAAUCCUACAUAUAACAUUAAAACAAAUUGAUUAAAGAAUGUGAAUUGACUCAAUACCAAACUGAAACUUAAUUUUGAUAACACAAUUUGGUAAAAUCAGUCCCUAAACUGAUAUACCAACACUUACUCUGUAAAAACAAUUACUAAACGGUAGUUAGGUCAUCGGUAGGUCACGUAUCUCGCACAUUUCACCUAAGAGAGCCCAAAACAAUUAACAUUGAACGUUAGAAACAUCUAAAACUCCUAACAUCCACAAGUAAUAGACCCAUUUACCCUUACCACUGCAAUAUCUACAUACAUACUUACACUUAGGAAGGAAAUAUGAACACCGCUUAACGCGUAAAGGAUUGGAAAAAAUAAAAACAUAGAGAACAGAUGGAACAAGGGUGAUAGCAAAGAAAAAAAUUGGCACACCAAAAUAGAAGAGAAAAGAAAGAGGAAAAGAAGAAAAAAGAAAGUAACAAAAAUGUAAAGAAGAAAGGAAAAGAAGCGUGUAAAAGGGAAUGGAAAAAAUUUACAGUAAAUAGAGAGAAAAAUUACGGAAACUUUGAUUAUUUUAAAAAAAUAAAAACAAAAUAAAUAAAAAAUAUUUUGAUAAUAUCAUAACCCACCAGUUUAUCUAAAGUUUGAGAUUAACUCAACCACUAACAAAUAGACAAAGAACAAAAAGAAUCUCAUCUUUGCUCACACAGAGGUUCGGACAGAAGGCCUAAAGCAGACAUUCCAUGAACUUAACCACCAGACCAAAUCAGAUCACUUUACAUAUUUUAAGCAAUUUAAAUAUAAGAAAGUUGGGGCAUUACAUUCCAUCUCUAAAAACAAGAUCGAUAAGAGAAAAUAUGUUUCUUUCAGCACCAAAGUUAGCAAAUGGCACAUCCCCUUCAAUUAAAAGAUCUCUCUCAUAUGAUUAAGUUCAUUGUUCCUUAGGUAUCCUAUCUGAUUAGGUAUUCAGCACCAUCUUUGUUUAUUGCCUUUAAAAAAUUGAUCCUGUACGAGCUCGUACCCUGUUGAAGUAAAUAUAGAGUACAAAAAAUGGAUUAAAACCAUAUAUAUUAAAGAAUGAUAUAGAAAUAGAAUUUACUAAUGUAUCCAUGUUAAUAAAAUGUCGAAGUUAUUCAUCCUCGUGGAACAUCCUCAUGUAAUUAGCCCCGAUAUGUUGUAUGCAAUACCUAUGGUAUGUACGAUCCCAAAGGCUUCCAUUUUGAUCAAUUGCAGUGUGUAUGUCAGUCUCUCUAUCAGAAACGAUGCAUAUCUCGGGUUGUAGUACAACAUUUCUUCUCAAGUUAGUAAAGAAAUCUUAGUGCAACAGUAGUUUUGGGACCACAAAUCUGACAAGUAAAAUUUUAUUUUAUUAUUUUAAUGUUUACAGAAUAUUGGUAAGGUCGUAUAAAAAUUUUGUUAAGAAAUUUUGACGUUUGCAUGUUUAAUUAGGUGAAAAUGACUAAAUCAUAAAAAGUGAAAAAGUAAAGUUCUAAUAGUUAAAGAUGUCAAAUAGCUAUGAAAUUUUAAUCUAAUGGGAUUGGAUGGUAAUUAGAACAAUUAAAGUGAUAGUGGAUAUUUAUGGACAAUGUUUUAAUGAAAUUAUUAAAGGUUUUAAAGGUUAAAAUGGUAAUUAGGUAAAUUAAGUUAAAAAACAAAAGAAAAUAAAGCUAUCAUUUUUUAUUUUCUCUAGCCCUAACUGAAAUUAAGAAGGAGAAGACUUCAUGGAUGAAUUGCUUGUUCGGUCAAGCUUGAAUUCCUUGCAUGGUAUGAUUCUAAGUGUCGUUUUUGAUGUUUUUAUGCUUUUGGAGUCGUUGUAGCUUAACCUAGCUAGCUCGGGGACAAAUUUGCAAAAAUUUUUAAAGAUAUAGGGUUUUUCCAUGAAUGGUCUCAAAUGAUUUUUGAUGUUUGAUCGUACAUUAUGAGUCUUUGUGGAUGAAUAAACAAGUUUAGUAAAGUGAUUUUUGAUAAAAAUGUCAUUUAGGGGCUUAUUUGUAAUAGUAAACUUCAUGGUAAAAUUGUGAAAGAAUGGUUUAUAUGGGUUGGUAUGGGUUCUUAAUGGAUUCGGCUAGCAUGAAAUAUGGAUGGAAAUGCUUAGAUUUUAAAUUAUGAGCUUAAGGACUAAAUUGUGAAAAGUUAAAAUGUUAGGGGCAAAAUUGUAGUUAUGCAUAAAUGUGAAUUAUGGAUUGAAUUGAAUGUUAAUAUUGAUUGAAAUACUUAAUUGAAUAUAAUUAUUUAUUUAGAUCAAGAAAAAUCGAGGAAAUGUGAAAAUUACAGAUUAACUCGAUAGCAUUUUUACGCUCUAGUUGUCAAUGUAAGUUCAUAGUAUUUCAAUAUGUAAAUGAAUUUCUACUUGUAUAUUUUUACAUUAUAAUUAUGUAAUUAAAUUCUUAUAGUUAAUUAUUCCCUGAAUUGCACAUAUGUGCCCCUAUUUGUAAUUCGGUACCCCUAAAUUGCACAUACGUGCCCAUGAUUGUACUUCGAUACCCUUGAAUUGAACAUGCGUGCCCUGUUUACACUGUGGUAACUUUGAAUUGAGUAAAAUAUGAGUUUUAUUUCAAUUUUUGUUAAGUUUAAUGAUAUAAAAUGUUCUUACUAAGCUCUAUAAGCUUAUUCAUUUUUUUUUUGGAUUGUUUUGUAGAUCUUUGUUGCUUCUUUCAUGAUUUUUAUGCUCUAUAAGCUCUAUAAACUUCUUUCAUGAUUUCUAUGCUCCAUUUGACUAUUUUACGUGCACAUUCAUAGUUAGAAUAGUAGAUAAAUGUAUAUUUUUAAGUUUUAUUUUGGUAAUUUUUUAUUUUAUUUUCUUAGUCAGUAUAUUAGGCUACAUUCAUUCAUGGUUAUUGUUUCUAUGGGUUUCAUGCUAUUAACCCCACACAAAUUCAUUCUUUAGAUAUCUCCAUUACUUAUUCUCAUAAGGUUAUUUGGCACAUUUACUUUGGCUAUUAUAGUAUAGGUUAAUAUGUAAGCCGCAUGGAAAGUAUUCACUUUAAUUUCCAUUAUAGGUACACCAUGUCAUCUUCACGAGGAAAGAAGGUCGUCGUCCCUCCUUCGAAGAAAAGGAAGGGAGCGUCAUCUUCCUCGGGUGGGCCGCUGUAUAGACUGGGCCACGCUAGAACAAGUCCAACUUGUGGAUGCAAUUCAGGCCCUCCUCAUCACCGAUCCUUGGGGGCUUUUCUUUGAGAUUGUCAAGCCGACAUAUCUCGAACUCACGAUGGAACUCUGCUCAACAUCCCAUCUUCAGACCGUGAUAGCCCGCUUUGAUAACCCAAGAACAAUCCAAUUUUGCCUCGACGGUCUAGUACGCUAGUUGAACGUCCCAGAGUUUGGAACCGCACUGUGUCUUUACACUGAGGAGUUCAUGGAGGAGACUGAACUCCACGCUCUUAAUUACCACAUCUAUCACUCUCCUUCACGGUGUUGGAACGCCCUUACCCCUGGCACUGCCUCCUGCAAUCCUAACUGCUCCAAGGCAUCAGCUCUCCCUCCAUCUCUGAGGUACUUACAUGCCAUUUUGGCUUACACGUUAACAGGAAGGCGAGAGAGCACUGGCGUCGUCAACACUCACGACGCCUACUUUUUAUAGUGUAUGUCACACAGGCACGUCAUAGACCUUGCGUAUUUCAUUGCCCUCGUCAUUCAACAUUAGAUGGAGCGGCAUAGGAAGCGGGUCAUCUCCAUUGGGCCCUAUGUGACGCAGUUGGCUUGGAACUUCGGGCUCUUCAACACAGCAACCCAAUCAUCCUCCCUCACUCUCAUGGGCCAAAUGUCCCCACAGGGCAUCUCGAGCAUGCUAAGUAUGAGGAUGAUCGAGAAACGACGUGGCACCUUCCCUCCUCAGUACUGUCUCGCCCAAUCCACCGAGGAAGAGGACCCCAAGAACAUUACCGAUGAUGUCCCUCCAUGUCACAAGGACCCACCGUCUCGGCCACCACCACCCUCUCAUCCAGUUCAUGCGGCGGCUUCAUACGCUGACAUCUCUGAGCGCCUAACUCGAUUCAAGCAGCAGUAUUUUCAGCACUUCGAUCACAUUGAUGCUACACUACACCAGAUUUGUUAGCACUUCCACAUCUCAUCGCCACUCCCACCUCGCGAACCAUCUAGCGAUGAAGAUGUUUAAAAACUUUUAUUUAUUAUUUUAUGUUUUUACUUUUAUUCUACUUUAAGAGUACUUUUUGUUUUUCUUUAAGCUUAUUUUUAUUAGGUUUUAUAAUUUUUAUUUAACAAUUUUGAAUUUUGGCUAUUUCCUAUCGAGUAAUUAUUCCUCCUUAUAUAUUUUCUAAAAGAGUUCCUGAUUCUAUCACAGUUAUAAAGAGCUCUUAGCUCAUCAUCACAUUGGAACUAAAAACUCCACCGGGAAAGGUUCUCCGCGACUGCCAUGUCCUGCUCGACCAUGACCAUAGCUACCACCAGAUAUAAUAUUCUUUUGGUGUAGAACUUAUGGACUAAUGAACCUUUACCACUACCGGAGUAUCCUCCUCCACCCUCAUGCUAAUUAUUUUCCAAAACUCCAGCUCAAGGAAAUUCAUUCAUCACUGAGGAAGUUUUACUUCUCUCCCUAUCUUAUGUUUAUAUUCUUUUCUAUAUAUCUAUCUUUGAACAUUGAGGACAAUGUACAUCUUAAGUGUGGGGGGUAUUCAUUUCACUAUCAGAAAAAUCCCUGAAUGAUUGCCUUGUUCUCUUGAAAAGAUCUAAUAUCAUGUUUAGGAUAAAUUUUGAUUGAUUUAUAAUUUUUAUUGAUAUAUCUUAAAUUAAAACAUAAGCAUUCAUGCAUUGAUUAUUUAAAAUUUAAGACAUUAGAGAAUUAAGCAUGCUAAGUUGUUGAUUUUUAAGAAUUUAAAAUUUUAAGUUUUUUCCCCAAGUUUAGGUAUUAUCUUGAAUUGGAAUUCACAAAGUUUAAACAUCAAAAAGCCAUAAUUUUUGUGAGAUCUUGAGCCUUUAGAGCAUCUAUUAAUUCUUUCAUGCUCACUUUCAUUAUGAGUGCGUCAGUAUCGAAUUGUUAUUCUAGAACUUGCUUGAUUAUGCAUGCCAAAAUCACACCAUUUGAUUUGAUAUGUCAAAAUGAGAAAGGCACUUAGGUUUAACCCACUCACUCCAUAAAAGCCUACCUUCAUAAUUAACCCUUAGUGAACCCCCUUGAGCCUAACAACUCAUUCAUUAAUUUACCCUUAAUAUUAACCCAUAACUCAUUAUUGUUGAAAUCCCUUAAAUUAAUUUGAUCCCUACUUUUGUCGAGAUUUGAGUUGGAAUAGUUGCUUAGCUAUGUUUUAUUCUAUUUUUUAAUUUGACUUGUUCUGAAAAAAAUACAUGUAUACAUAUUAGCAGUAGCUAAAGAAGUUAAAUUCCAUAUUCUGAGAAAAAGGCCUGUUGUACGCAAUUGAUGACUAGUCAUUUUUCUAGUUAGGAAAUUUUUCAAUUCAAACUUGAUUCAAACCUUUUUCUUUCAGUUUGUGACCACACCCUCUAACCAAAGCCACGUUACAACCCUCUAAAGACCUUUUGAUUGAUGUUUCAUCUCAAUUUAUAGUGGUGGAGAUUUGAUUUUCAUGCAAGCCUAUGGUAAUGACUUUUCAUUAUUGACUAUUGAGUGCUUCACUUAUUGUCCUUAAACACCUCAAGUGAUUUGAGUGAAUCUUUAGUGAGGAUGUGAAACUCUGUGAUAUUUUGAAUCAAAAGUAAUUACUUAGAUAAGGGGAGACACUUAUGUUUUCAUGAUAAAAUGCUCAACUUGGAAUGUUUGAAACUUUGAUGUUCUUUCAGUUGAAUUUUCAAUGUAUGAUUACCAAUGGAUUAUUUUGAGAUAUUAUCGAUAGAAAUUAUAAGUUGAGAAGAAUUUAUUUUCAUUAUGAGUUGAGGAUUUUGCUUGAGGACAAGCAAAUGCUUAAGUCCGGGGGUAUUUGAUAAACCAUAAUUUAUACAUAUUUCUAUCCCAUGCUUAGCACAUUUUAUGGAUAAUUUUUCCUUAAAUUUGAUGAAUUCGAUGCUCCUAAUGCCUUAAUUUCAUAUUUUAUACUUAGGUGAGCAUAGGAGAGUGAAAGGAACGAGAAACGGGCCAAAAAAAGAGAAAAUGGACUAACGUACGAAAUCAACACAACCUGGACCUCCUCACACGGGCAAACCACACGGCGGUGUCAAUUUGGCAGAAUCGAAGCACGACUCACACGGGUGGACCACACGCUGGUGCCUAUUUAACAAGCUUGACCACGGCCUGAAGUAAUCACACACGGGCAUGUCCCUACCGAGCCCAAGUUUAGUCCAAUUCGAAAAAGGCCAAUUUUUAGGGUUCUUAGGCAUUCUAAAGCCUAUAAAGACACCCUAGAGGAGGAGGAAAAAGGACACACAGAGAAGGAAGCAGGGAACUGCUCAAAGAAAGCCGAUUGAUCCAUCUCAGAAUCCGGAUUCAUCACCAAGACUAAAGAUCUCCCCUCAAUUUCCCUUCAGGAGUUUUGGGUUUUUCUUUAUGUUUUGUAUUCAUUAUUCUUCUGAGAUGUUUACCUUUUUAGUUAUGAACUAAAACCCCUAAAUACCUAAGGGGAAUGAAACCUAAGACAAAUCUUGUUAUUAUUAUCUGAAUUGUAUGAUAAAAUUUGACUUGUUCUUAAUUAUGUGUUCUUAAUUCUUGUCUUGAUAUUCUAGGAUAUUGAUUCAAGUUAAGCUCUUAUUCAGAAGAGGAAUAGACCCUAUCAAAGAGUACAUUUGUCAUAAUUAAGCGGAGUUGAUUGUAUGCCUAGAGAUAGGAUCACAAGAUUUUGUCAGAUUAGGGUGAAACCUAAUAAGGGGAUCCAUAGAUCGAGUUAAUGCAACCUUAGGGAGUUAAUUAGAAAGAGAUUUCAAUUAUUCAACCUAGGGUUGACGUUGUUAGUCUCGAGAGCGAUAAUAAUAUAACUUAGGGAUCUCUACGGAUCAAGUCAAAUAAAUAAAUCGUCCAAUUCAGAGUCAAAUAACAAGUGAAGUCUAGGUGGAUUUUUCCUUAGGUAUUGUCUUAAUUCAAUCGUUUUUCCAAAAGUAAUUCCCCAAUUCUAUUUUCUGUGAAUUCUUAGUUUAGUUAAUUAGUUAGUUAAAACAAACCCCAUUAUUCUUAGGCUAGAUAAUAAAAAGACAGUCAUUACUAGUACUUUUAGUUCCUUUAGGUUCGACAAACCGGUCUUGCUAAAGCUAUACUACUGUUCGAUAGGUACACUUGCCUUCAUCAUGAUAAUAGUUAGUUUCAAGAACGAUUCAUUAUAAAUAUUUAAAACCUGUCACGAAUAUCAUGUAUCAAUUCACAAUAAAACAUAGAAAAAUAACACGAAGUAAGCUUCAUAGCUUAGUAAGCUCGUAUGUAAUUAACUUAAUUCAUCGAAAAAGUGUAAAUCAACCAAUUUCACAUUAACUACAAACCUUUCUCAUGUCUUAAAACAUUAUUAAAUACCAUCCCAUUAAAAUUUCUCUAUUUAAUACUCGAAUAGGUUCUGUACAUACCCGUUGAACCAUUCGGAAUAGAAAUUAGAUACUCAAUAGUCUCAUAAGAUAAGUAUAUAUACCAUGGUCCAUAGCCAAAUCAAGGUAACUUAUCCGAAAAAACAAUUAUCAUGGCCCGAAGCCAAAUCAUCCGAUAUGCAUGGCCCGAAGCCAAACUGGUAUAACAGUGCUAAUAUCAUGGCACGAAGCCAACUCAACUUAUCAUCUAAUAACAUGACACUAGUAUCCAAAUAUAUUCCUAAAGCUCAACUGGGAUUUCACACUUUCCGUUUCUAUCAUCGAAUGCAUUCGUAAAGUCGUUUUCACAAUUCGAACAUUAUCUAUAAUCUCAUAAUCACAGUUUAUACAAUAUCAAAUCUUUUAACAUACUUUUAUAAUGAAAUUACCACAUACGAACUUACCUCAUAUUCAGAAUUGACAAAUCGGAUCAACAACUCGAUAACCUUACUUUUCCCCCGAUCUAAUUCUGGAUUCCUCUUUUCUUGAUCUAAAUAUAUUAAAAAUUAACUUAUUAAAUCAACCAUUCAUUCAAUUUAGUCCAUGACAUACAUUUAGGCCUAUUUGUACAUUAGCCUCUAAGCUUUCACAUUUAAUCAAUUUAGUCCCUAUUUCACAAAUAUACAAAAUUCACACAAUUUCAAUAAACUCAAGCUUAGUCGAAUUACCAUAGUCCCCCUAGAAGCCCAUAACUUUCAUUUAUUUUCAAUUUUAACCACUCAAUUUGCACAUUUCACAAUUUAAUCCCUAUUAUGCAUUUUCAUCAAAAAUCACUUUACAAAACAUGAAAAUCUAUCGUCAAAAAUUCAUAUUUCAUCUUCAAACAUCAAAGAACACAUAGAUUAAACAAUGGAAACUCUCAAAGUCUUUUACAGUUUUUAAAUUAAAGGUACGGGCUAGCUAGAUUGAGCUGCAACAAUUACAAAAAUAUAGAAAUCAUCAAAAAUCGAGCUAAAGUGGACUUACAAUUGAAUUAUUAAAUGGCCAAAUAUCACAAGCCCUAAAAUGGUUUUCUUCUUUUCUAUUCAUGGUUGAAUAUGAUGAUAUUAGAUAAUGGUCUCAUUUUUUUUAUUAAUAAUAUUAUUAUUAAUCAAAAACCAAUAUUAACCUUAAAUAAAAACCACCAAAUUUCAUGAUAUUAUGCCCAUAAAUGUUCACUCAAUUUAAUUAUGGUCUAAUUAAACCAUAAGGGCCUCUAUUUUAAUAUUCCAUAGCUAUUUAACACCUUUAACAAAUAGAACAACACUUUUACAUUUUACGCGAUUUAGUCAUUUUUCUCAAAUUGACUAUUCAAAUGAUAAAAUUAACUCACAAAAUUUUCACAUAUAUCAAAUAACAUGUUGUAAAUACCAAAAAUAAUAUUCAAAUAAUUUUCCAACAUUGGAUUUGUGGUUCUGAAAUCACUGUUUCGAUUUGACCAAAAACAGGCUGUUAUAGUUCUUGUGUCCCUUAGGGUAGUGGCAUGUAUAUGUGGCUAUGUGGUUUGUUUUGGUACAAUAUGACAAUAUACUAAACUAAGUUGCUAGUUACUUUAUUAAUAUUGUAAAUAGGUAUCUUUUUGGUACAAUUAGUAUGGUAUGAAAUUAAACACUUGUGAUUUGUUCUGGCUCGUGAGUGAAUUAAGUGAUAUGCUAGAAAUGGAUCAAUGUUUACAUGUUUUAGUUGUUAAUGUUGGAUAUAAUUGUUGUGUCUAUGAAGGGCACAAUGGUUGGUUGUUUUUAGGACAUUAAAUGGUAUGUUAUGUUGAGUUACUUGUGGUCUCAAUUGUGGUAUGCUUUAAGAUGAUAUUAAAUUAGUUGUGUAUGUUUUAAAUGUGGUAAUGCAAAUGUUUAGAUAAGUUUGUUUGAUUGUGAUUGAGGUGCCUUAUACGGCAUAUUGGUUGAAUGCAUUUGGUCAUUUGAAUCGGUCAAUUUAAUCAUGUUUUGGUAUGUUUUUGAUGCCUUGGUCAUGGGGGUAAAUUGCUUGUAGGUACACAUUUGGCUUGGUAAUGGAAAUGGCUUGAUUUUGGCCUAUUUCAUGUCCACAUGGCCUAAGACAUGGGCCUGUGUCUUAGCCGUAUGUGACACACAGCCAUGCGACACAGCCGUGUGUCCCCUGUAGGUUUUAAAUGCAUUCAAGUCAGGUAAUUACACGGCCUGGCAUACGAGUGUGUAAGGCCAUUUCAAGUGUUAUACAGCCUAGCACACGGGCGUGUGGCUUGGUCGUGUGACUCAACUCAAAGAGGUACACUUGAGUCACACGGGCACGGACACGUGCUGGGACAUGACCGCGUGUCCCUAUUUCAAUUGUUACACAGCCUGAGACAUAGACAUGUGUCUCAGCCGUGUGAGUCACACGGCUUGGCUACACAGCCGUGUGACCCCUACAGUUCAAUUUUUCUAAAUUUUUCCUGAACUUUUCAAAUGUUUCCAAUUUAGUCCCGAAUUGUUUCUAAUGUAUUUCUAGGGCCUCGAGGGCUCAGUUAAGGGACAAUAUGCAUGUAUAUUAAUGGAUUAUGUUAUGUUUACAUUAAUGUUUGAAAUGUUUUUUUUUAUGUUACAUUUAUAUGGUAAUGCUCGGUAACCCCAUUCUAACGACGGAUACAAGUUAGGGAUGUUGCACUCAGGCACAUAUGGUUUCUCGUUCAACAAUUGCAAUUGUUAUUGGCAAGAUGUUUCAGUUACCGUCUUGUGCAACAACCAACAACAAAUGAUGCUCAUAUCUUCCAUAUACAGAUGUGUUCUCUAUUUGGAAAAAAGGUUUACAAUACCAAAAUGCAUUAUUGUAUAGCUUGAAUGUCAAAAAAAGAUGAUGAAGAUAUCUUUCUUCCUUGGAUUGUUCUAUCUCCAUGGUACGUAGGUGUUAUUUGCAAAUAGAUGAUGGCACCUUAAACGUGUUGCUUUAGUAUGGUCAACCAUUGCUAUAGCUUAUUAUAUGAUUUAUCCCAUUCAGUAUACAUUUUAUCCAUUGCCUUCUGUUUUGCAACCUAUGAUUUAUAAUAAGAUAUGGUGUAACCAUAUUUGCUAUGUAUAUAUUAGCAAUCAAAGUCACCACAAGAAACCUAAUAUUUGUUUUCACCAAAAGUAAGAUAAUGUUAGAGAUAAGGCCAUAAUCCAAUUUCAGAUGAACUUGUGAAAUACCUCAAAUAAUACAAGUAUGUAGAGUGAUAAGUCGUAAUUUAUACAUAUUUUUUAUCUCAUGCUUAGCACAUUUUUGGAUGAAUUAUCAUUAGAUUUUUGGAAUUUGAUGCUCCUAAUCCUUUAAUUUCAUGUUUUAUACUUAGGUGAGCAUAGGAGAGUAAAAAGAGCGAGAAAUGGUCCAAAAAAAGAGAAAAUGGGUCAAUGUGGGAAAUCAACACGGCCUAGACUUCCUCACAUGGGUAGACCACACACCCGUGUCUAUUUAGCAGACUUUAACAUGGCCUAAGCCACCCCACACGGGCGUGGCACAUGGUCGUGUCCCUAUUGAUCCCAAGUCUAGUUCUACUCAAAAAAAGGCCACUUUUGAGGGUUUUAAAGCAUUCUAAAGCCUAUAUAAACACCCAAGGAGGCGUCUAGAGAAAGACACACGAAGUAGGAGGCAAGGAAUUACUCGAAGAAAGCCAAUUAAUCCAUCUCAAAAGCCGGAUUCUCCUUCAAGACUAAAGAUCUCCCUUCAAUUUCCUUCAGGGUUUUUUUGGGUUUCUUUAUGUUUUGUUAUUAUUAUUAUUCUGAGAUGUUUUCUUUUACACAUAUGAACUAAAUUCCCUAAAUACCUAAGGGGGAUGAAACCUAAAACGGAUCUUGUUACUAUUUUCUAAAUUAUAUGAUAAAUACUUGAUUUGUUCUUAAUUAUGUGCUCUUAAUUCUUGCUUUAAUAUUCCAGGACAUUGAUUCAAGUAUUGAUGUGCUUAUUCAGAGGAGCAAAAGUCUCUGUUUAAGUGUAGAUCUAGCAUAAUUAAGCGGAGUUGAUUGCACCCCUAGACAUAGGGCGACAUAAAUCUGCCGGAUUAGGGUCAAACCUAAUAAGAGAAUCCAUAGAUCGAGUUAAUGCAACACUGGGGGUUUUAAUUAGAAAGAGAUUUCAAUUAAUCAACCUAGGGUUAGAUGUUGUUAAUCUCGAGAGAGAUAAUAAUAUAAAUUAAGGAUUUCUACGGAUCGAGUUAAGUGAAUAAAUCGUCUAGUUCAGGUCAAAUAACAAGUGAAGUCUAGGUGGAUUCUUCCUUGGGUAUUGUUUAAAUCAAUUAGUUUUCCCAAAAGUAUUUCCCCAAUUACUUCAUGUGCAUUCUUAAUUUAGUUAAUCAGUUUAGAUAAAGCAAAUCCCCUUAUUUUUAGGCUAAAGAAUAAAAAAAUGUUAAUACUAGUACUUUUAGUUCCUGUGGGUUCGACAUUCUGGUCUUACUAUAAGCUAUACUACUGUUCGAUAGGUGCGCUUGCCUUUAUCGUGAUAAUAGUUAGUUUUCAAGUACAAUCAAUCAUAAAUAUAAAACUUAUUACGCACAUCAUGGAGUGUUAUUUUUCUUUAUCGUCCACAACCGUAUCUUCUUCCUCAUUGAUGCCAUGAUUUUUUUAGGAACAUCCAUUGUCAGGUUUUCUGCGUUUCGCCUCAUAUUUAUUUGAUCAAGAUUUUUUAACUUGGAAAUUAAACUCAUUCUUAAUGUUGUAUUGCUUUACUACAAAAAUAAUAGCAUGUUUGCUGGAAAACCCCAUUUCUAAUUGCAAAUUGUCUAAAUUUGUAGAACUCGCAUGACCUGAUUUUCUAUGAGGUAGUUAUGGAAAUUCUAACAUAUGUUGAGAAUCAAUGUCAACAUUCAACACGUGGUAUGGAGGUUCAUAUGGCCUGAAAUCUUCUUAGGUUCUUCUUGCAUUGUUUGGAACUUCAUUAUUAGAACCACUCCCCUCUAGUACAGAAAGAACGACCUUUAGUUUAGAAAAUAAUACAAUUUCAGAACCAUCAGGGUCACACUCCCAGAUUAGGUCAUCAUUAGUUUCAUCACUUUGUGCUUCCUCUUCAUUAUCAACCCGAGUUGUUAAAUUAUCUAUUAGAUUGGAUGUCCUUCGUUAGUGUAGGGAGUAGAGAAAACAUCAUUCGUUUUUGGAAAGCCUACAUUAAAUUCAAAAUUACUUAUAGAAUGUCUUCCCAUAAAAUUUGAUGGCAUAUCCACAUAAGAGUUUGGAGCAUAGGACAUACACAUAUCUAUGUUGAAAUUAAAUGUGCUCAAAGAAUUUCGUGUUCGAAUCUUUGCAUUCAGGUUACCAACUACCCCCAAUAGUACACUAAAGCUGCAAUCGAAGACUACAACAAAUGAAUGUCUUCCUAUUGAUGAUUCUAACAUUCCUUGAUAUUAGCUUUGCAACAACCCAUGGAACUACCAUACAACUAUGUUGUUGGACUUUAUGCUUCAUGUUCUUGACCAAAAGCAAGAACUAUAUUAACUAGAGAUGCUGAUAAACUUGGACCACCUUUGGCUACUGUCAAAUUGGGCAUAAAACUCUACUAUAAUAUUCACAGUUGAGCAGUACACAUCAAUUAUUAACUUGACAUAUGCGUCGUCAUUUAGCUCAAAUGUAUCAUAUUUUACAGGGUUUAUUGAUGUUAGGUAUCUAUAUUUCAAGCUUGAAAUUCUCCUCCACUCGUACUUGAGACUUUUCUUCUAAUUCUUGACAGAAUUUAGUUCAAUUUGACGCUCUUAUUAAAAGCCAAAUCCAUAGGUCGAGUAUAUACAAAAAUGACCCCAAUUUUGGUAUCACGAAUUUGAUCGUCGUAAUAAAUAAUUUCUCUAAUUCUUUUACUCAUCUUUGGAAAAAAAACCUAUUUAACACACAACAGAAAAAAUAUACAUUAUAAUAUUAUACAAAAAUAAAUAUUUAUUAUUAUUUUGAUAUCUUGUUACAAUAUAAAUUACUAACACAUAAAUAUGUAGUUUAAAAAUUUUGAACCAAAUUUUAUAAAUAAAGUAACAACGACAAAUAAUUAUUUGCUUAUUUGAACUAAAUUAGUCUAUUAGGGUGAGUUUCCAAAUUAUGCUGCAGCAACUUCGAACUUUGUUCAAGCAAAUGAAUAUAACAAUUUCAAAUUUUAAACAACACUCUUUCUCCUCAACAUGCAAAUUUUCCCCUCGAUAUGUAUCUUAACUUUGAAAAACCUCUCUAUUUUAUAGGAAGACUCUACCACCAUAUAUGAAACAUAUUUCAAAAUGUUGAAAAAGAUUGAGCAUGACUACACAAAUCAAAAAAAUGCUUCUUUUUAUGUUUGGGAUUCUCGACUUCCAUUUUAUAGGAAGGCUCUACUAUUUGAUUUCUUAUAUGGAAAGGCUGAAUUAAAAAUGUUUGAUAGAGAAGAUAUCCCGAGAUUCUUGGGAAUAAAAUCAUUAAAUUUAUCUUUUGCUUCUUUUUGUUUCAUAUUUCAAUUCAACGGUUGUAUUUUUUUCAUCUAAAGGCUGAAUUUCAAAAAUUUAUGGGACUAUCAACAUGGCGUCCUACAAGGAAAAAGCAUGUCCUAUAGGACACGCUUUCCCUAAAAAAAAGUUACUUACAAGGUGCACUUUUACCUUGCAGGACGCCACGUCGACAGAAAUGUUCCCAACAAGACACACUUUUACCAUAUGUCACACAACCAACCAAAAAUAUUUAUUUAUCUAAAUAAUAUAAAACCCAAGCUAAACCCCUAAUUUUAUAUAAGUUAAAAAAGUAUACUUUUACCCUUUUGUCUACAAUAGUUAUAUAAAAUUAAUUUUAAAGGUAUUUUUGAACUUAAUCAAAUCAAUUCAUAUUAGAAGUAUACUUUUCUCUUUUUGGGGCCGACAAACCUUUUUUUUUUAUAUGACACAAUAUAAUUUAAAAAAUUAAAAUAUAAUAAAAAUACCAUCAAGAUGAUGAUGAUAAUAAUAAUAAUAAUAAUAUGACAUGAACACAUACAUUAUGAAGCUCUCUACAAGGUUUAAAAUCAAAUAUCAAAGAACUACUAGCAAUCAAUUGUACAGAUACAUAAUGAAGCAGCCAGACAUCGGAUCUUCACAAACACGUAUAACAUUACAACCACUGGAAAAUUAGCAAAAAGACCAUAUAUAAAAAUAGAAAAGAAAAUGUAUAGAACACAAUCUAAUUGGUCAGGCCUUCAGUGAACUUGACGCCGGUUGCCGGCAACCAUGAACGUCCGUUAAGGAACCUACCAACAGUGAAGGAAUUAGCAGUGGCAGCAUCUCGGAUAAUGUGGUAACCAGGCCAUUUAACCCGUCCAGAUAAUGAAGAACCAGGGCCAUAGUUCCUAUACUCACCAUACCAAAGUGUGUUCAAGGCGAAGUCGCCAUACCACUCAAGCCACCCUCUAGGGUGCACCAUACCACCCAUGUAAGUAUUCAUAAAAACUGUCCUCGAAUAUGGCUUCCAUGGCCUCCCUAAGUAAGUCGGUUGGGUGGCUAGAAUAUAGCUAUUCUGAAUCGAAAAGCCAGUGUUCUGAUUCGGGCUUUUCCGCCCCUGAGCGGUAACCGUCACCUUCUGAAGUGGCAAAGGAACUCGAGUGAAUAUCUUGCAGUUCUGGAGAACAGCUGCACCAUUGCCAAAAAUGAAGUCUAUGGUGCCAUAAAUGUUGCAUUCUCGAUAAAAUUGGCGGAGGGAGUGAACGUAGAGGGUAUCCUGAUACCCUUCGAUACUGCAACGAAAGAAAGCCGAUUGAUCGGAAUCCACUCGGAGAGCCACCGCCUGGUGGUUCUCUGGUCCGGCCGUGUUUCGGAACGUUAUGUCUCUUGCUAUAAAUCCCUUUCCAGAAACAGCUGCAAGAAUCAAGUUUCAGAGAAUUGUAUGAAAAGAUCAAAAGCGCAAGGAAUAUUACAAAACUUGGAAACUUUUAUAUUCCAGAAAAAAGCUUGAUGAAGCGUGUGCAAUCAUAAAUGGAAUUUCACUUUACAAAAGUAAUACUUCAUUCAGUCAUUCAUAUAAUUAGGCUAAUUGAAUGCUUAAGUUCCAUGAAAAUUUAAUCAGAAUUGAUAAUAUUUACCAACAGUGGCAGUUCGAAAUGUUGUCCAUCCUUGCAUGAAAUUCCGGUCCGCUGUGACUACAGUUUGUCCAAUUCCAUCACCGACAAGCAUAAUAUUGGUUUUCUUCUUCUUCAUGUCAAUGUUCUCCUUGUAAACUCCCUUCUUCACAUAAAUGACGUACCUCCUAUUAUUAUAACUUGGAGCUUCAUUAAUGGCAUCGGUUAUCGUCUGAUAACGUCCACUACCAUCUAACGACACAACGGCAUCUGCAUGCAUGCGACUUGAAUGAUUUCGUAGAAGCUCUUGAUCACCAUCGGUUAUCCAUUCCGGAAAUUUCGAGCUCGUAUACGUGGAAGUGCUAUUGCGGGGUGGUCGAAAAGGCAAGGUAUGCAAUUGAGUGUACAUAGCUAAAACAUUGCCGAUGAGUUGCGUAACUUGUUUCAGGCUGCCUCUGAUGAAGCUCUCAAGGUGUCGGUCGGUACCUUCGAAGCCUUCGAGGCAGGUAUCUUGGUUACUCAACGCAGCACUUAACCAAGCUUUGAGGUUGCCUUCAUAUUCAGCACUUGUAUCACCAUCACGAAUCUUUCUCAUCUCAGUUAAAGACCAGGCCAACUCGGAUACAGAGAAAUCAAGGAGUUCCUUGCAAUCUUCAAUGGCAAUUUGUUCACGAUAACUGACAGACAAACCAGUGAACCUUGUCAUCGUUUCAAUGGCCUGUCUGGCUUCAUUCAGCGUGGUCCUUAGUGCAGAAUGCAAAACAGAAGAUGGGGCGUGAGGCUCCAAGUUUUGAAGGUGAGUUUGAAUAUUUGAGAGGCAUAAAUCACGGUCAUCAAUGCCUUCACAAGCCUGCAUGAGCAAUGGUUGAGUGUUUAAGUUGUGUUGGACAUCAGAUAAAACUUGAGAUGAAGGUAAGAGUAAGAGAAUAAUAAGAAAAAAAUUGGGAAAGGCCAUUGUCUAAGGAGUUGAAGGAGAGAGGAAGGGAAUUGUGGGUUUUGUUUUUACAGAGAACGUAAAUAUUUUUAUAAUGCAAAGAACUAAGGUAUUGUUUGCUUUGAAAGAAAGGAAAUGAGGUUUGAGUUAUGAAAACAACUAGGUUUAUGCUUUUCCCCUCACCAAGUUAUGCUUUCUUUUAAGAUUCUAUCUUUAUAUUUUGUCUUGUACUGUUGCGGUGGGACGUUGGGUGAGGAAAGGCGGGGGGUAGGGGAGGGGCGGCGGUGAGGAGAGAAAAUGUAAUUUGAUUACAAUAUAUACAAAAAUAAUGUGUUCAUGAUUUCACCUUGAAUUAUUUUAAUGGAUUAGCAUGCACAUUCAACACCCUCUCAUGUUUUAUUAUAAUUUUUGAAUUAUCUACUAUCAAAUUCUUAGAAUUAUAUUUUUGAUGACUAAUAUAUUAUGGAUCUGCUCUCUUUUUUUUUAUUGUCUAAAAUACAAUGUACAUAAAUAUUUAUAAAAUAUCAUAAAUUUAAUUUUAACAAAUAACAAAAGAUAGUCCUAUUUUUAAUUUAUACGUAAUUUGUUUACAAUUUUUUUAAAAAAAAUUAAAAUACUUUUUUUGAUAAAUUUAUUUAGAGUUUCAUUUAUAAAUUUAUUUUUACUUUAAAUCAUGCAUUUAAAAUUAUUACACGAAAUUUGACUAACAAUGUAAUCAAUAACAAUUUUUAUUUUUAUUUUUAUUUUUUUGAAAAAUUCAUCAGACUAGGGUUUUAUAAAUCAAGCCAAAUAAAAAACCCAAGCGCAGGUUCCAGAAACAGAACAAAGGAAAAAACUAAAAACCAACAAAACUUAAAAGAGCGGCUGACGAAUAGCAGACAUCCUAAGACCCAAAAACAACAAAUAAAGAAAAAUCUAGAAGCAAAUUAAAUGAAACAAAGAAACCCUACUAAGAUUAGUACACACUCCUCAGUAUUAAACGCUAAUUUAGCAUUAUAUUUAAAAAAUACUUUUAAAAAGUAAUUUUUAGAAUUACUUUUAAAAAUUUUAAUUUAAAAUUUAAGUGUUUAGUAUUAGUGUCAAAAAAUACUUUUGAGAAAUAAAAUAUUCAUUUUAAACAUAGUAUUAUAAAGUAAUAAAUAUACAUUUAAAUACUAUUCAAAUUAGUUAAUAUUAUGAUAUCUUACUAAGAAUAUAAAAAAUCAUUUAUUAUGACUUAUUGUUAAUAUUGUAAUAUAUGAAAUAAUAAUUUUAAAUAUUUUUAAGUAAUUAAUAUUAAUUAUUUAUAAAUAUUAAUAUAAUUGUAUUACUUUAAAAAAAUAUUUUUUAAAAAUUUUUAAUUAAUAAUUUUAACACAUUUGUAUUAUUUUAAUUUGAAUAUAUAACCAAUAUCAAAUAUUAGCAUAACAGAGAAAACAUAGACCUAACAAAUUAAAAUAUUACAUGCAUUUGAAUUAAAGUUUCAAAGAGGGGUAAUAUUUAUAUACCAAAUACAUCAUCAAAAAUUUUACAUUAACAUUUACAAUUUAAAGUGAAUUCAUUAAACUAGAAGCUAUAACAUCUCUUAUUAAUUCCAUUUCAAAACCACUUGAAUUUGUUGAUUCACCACCACCAUCAUCAAGAUGAUCACUUGGCAAAGAAAGGUAACUUGCCUGUAAAACAAUAAAAGAAAUAGAGAUCAUAACUUGCCUGUGAGUCAAAGCCUUGGCAAGUUAAUAAUAUUCUAGUAUUUCCUAGCCCCUGUCAUAAAAUAUCAAGAAAGUGAAGAGGUAAGGAUGAUUUCCUGUUUCCCGCAAUUCAUAACCUUUUUUGCUACAAGUUAGAAACUAUCCAGAGAGGUAUGCAAUAAAGACAGAGCAAUAAAUAAUUUGUCCCACAUCAUGCAAAAGCAAUCUUGGAUGCAAGCACAUCAAUUUUCAGAUUUCUAUCUCCCAAACCAAAAGGAAAUAAUGGAGUGAUAUAGGUCUCGGGAACUAGAAAUUUCAAGAAAUGAACUCAACAUGGCUAUGACGUGUUCCAAAGGUUUCGAUCAGAUUCAGUCUCAUCUUAUGCCUUGACUGUAGUCUCACCACACCUCUCCCAAUCAUUGCCUCCAGUAAAUGCCAUCUUACAGGAAGAAGGACAAGUUAUUAAGUGCAAUACCAAUUAAACAACACAUCUAUCUGAAUUUGUUUUUACUUUUUUUGCUCACCAGUCCUCUUACUUUAUCUACAUAUCACUCAUGUUGCGUUCCAAGUUAAAAUACUUAAAAAGAAAAGAAAAAUCUGCAGUUAGAAGAAGCCAUAGGACCAAAUCAUUCACCUACUUCCUCACGAGAGAAAUAGGUAAAUUUGAAUGCAUAAAAUUGAUAAACCAUCAUGAAACAAUCCACAAAUUUAUAUGACUAUAUCAUACAACAAGUUAAGUAGGAAAAUUCUAAUGACAUUACGCAAAAUAAAUUCAUAUUAUACGUACAAAAGAGUAUUCCACUAAAAACGAUUUAGAAUGAGCUAACUCAAAUUUAAAAUUUAACCCUGUCCAUAUUUGUAAUAAUUAAUUCAAUGGUUAACUCAUAUUUUUAAACUAUUUAUAUUAUUUAAUAAUUAUAUAUUUUAUUUAUUAAAAUUUUAUAUAUAAUUAUUUUAACAAUUGUUUAAAAGUUUAUAUUAUAUAGAUUUAAUUUUUGUAGUAUAAAUUAAGUAAUAUAUAAAAAUAACUAAUAUAAAAAAUUACAAAUUUCAAAAUGGAUUGAAUUAAGCCCAGGCUUUGAAUGUUUAAAUUUAAACUUGGCUCAUAUUUUAAUCAGGUUUAAUUUGGGCAUAAUAUUUUUGCAAAGAGUAAAGUUUUCAAACUUAGAUAGAUAAUCUAAAUGUAUAUACUAAAAUAGAAAAAAUUGACUCAAACUAUACUCUUUUAUAAUCUAAAUUACUAUAAUUGUAUUACGAGUUUUAGUUCGGGUACGGGUUAUGUUAUUGCCACUUCCAUCUCUUCAACAGUUGAUUGAUUGAAAGUAAAGAGAAAUGUAACAUUAAUAAGGAAUCAAAAGGUUUGGGUUGAAAGUAUAGGUGUAGUUGGGGUUUUGGGCUGAUUGUAAGUUGUGAGGGGAUAUCUCUAUUGGUUUGUUACAUGCUUUACUUAUCUGAAAAGUUGACAUAUCUUAAUGUAAUGCAACCCUAGGUGCAACUACUUUCAUAAACCCGUUUUUGCUGAAUAUAACAUAUGACAAGUAUAUCAUUUUAAUAUUUUUCAAUUUUUUUCCUUCUUUAAAAAUCGAAUAAAUUAAAAUUACCAAGAUUUUUCAUUUGCUUUCUUUUGAUGCUUCAAUUCUUUCCUUAAUUCUUUAUAAUUUUUUCUAGUCUUUAUCUUACUAAAAUAUAACCCUAAUCGCAGCCCAAAGCCACCACCUCAGUUUGCCACCCCAAAACCUCCCCGUUAUCUCCGAAAUCUUAGAUUUUCAAGAACCGAACUACAACUUUUGGAAACCCCAAUUAGAAAAUCUCGAUCAAUUAUUCCUUUUUUAGCUUCACUAGUAUAAAAAGAUAGUGCAAAAAAUUGUUCAAAAGUCUCAACCUUUACCAACUACAAAAACUUUACAAAAUUCUGUGUAAUUUUAUAAAAAUAAUUUAUUAUCAAAUAACAUAUUAAAUAUUUAAGCAUUAUACUCCUAGAAAAUUAAGCAAUUAAAAGAUUAUUUCAUCAUCAUUUGAAUCUAUCUGUGAUUUUUCUACUACAUGCACGCCUUUCUUCAAAUGUUUAAAAAUAAAACCAUAUAUAAAACACAAUUCAGAUGCUCAAGGGAAGAACUAAAAUUUGACACCAGAAAACUUGGUUUGUUUCAAAAUAGAUAAAGAAAGCCAUGGCAACAGUUAAUAAGCUUGCAAAUAAAUAACCCCCCCACCUGAACAGAAAACUUCUAAAAAGAAGAGAGAAAUUUUAGUUCCCUCAGAUCAGAAUGAAUCCAAAAGAUAUUUUAAUCACUGGAUUAUCAGCAUUAGCAUGGUUUAAAAGCUAUCAUAGGGAACAUUUUUAACACCAACACACAUAAAUAUUAAAAAUGAAAAAUAGAGGAAAUUUUCAAACUAAAAAAGAGGGCUCAGAUAAAUGUUGGAUUAUGAUUCAAUUCCCAGACCUUUUCAAAAGGUCUCAUAGAGCUGGGAUUAGACAUUCAUCAUCAUCGACGACAUAUAGAUAAAAAAAACCGGGUAAACAAAAGGCGAAUUAAACAAUCAAAACAAUUCUUUUUUCCUCUUUGAAGAAAAUUCAUAAAACCAGAAAAAUAGAUAGAAGAGAUGAACAAGAGAAGGCGGCGUCUAUCGGUUGAGAGAGCCAGAUAUUUAAAGGGGAAGAAAUGAGAAGGUAUAGGGUUUAAUUUUAGGUAUUAUGACAAAUUUAACCUUUUACAUCUUCUAUCAAUGGUAGGCGGCGGCCAACGGUUAAGAUAGCCAGAUAUUUAAAGGGGAAGAAAUGAGAAGGUAUAGGGUUUAAUAUUAGGUGCAAUGACAAAUUUAACCUUUAAUUUUUAUAUUUUUAUUAAUUUGGUAUUUAUUUUUUAUUGAAUUUUAUUCUCAAUUUCUUUAAAAAAAAGUUAAAUUUUACUAUCAAUUUUUUAAAAACAGUUUAAAUGUUUUUUAAUGAAAAUGUUGACUAGUGUUAAAUUUUUAAAUAUGACCGUUCGUAUUCACGUGUACUUAAUAUUUUUCUUAAAUUUAUGAUGUAUAUAUAAAAAAUAGUAUUAUGUUAAUAUAUUACACAUAUAUUGUCACACUAAUAUCGUUAAAAUUUUUAAUUAAAAUUUUAUUAAAAACUAGUUUAACUUUUUGUGAAAGAAAAACAGUUAAAUUUAGUUCAAAAAUAAUAAAAUCGAAAUUCUAAAAAAGUUAAAUCUUUUUAUUUUAAUGAUGGUUGUAGCCAAGUAUUGGAUUCCCAAAGGCUAGAAUGAUUUUUGAGUAAAUAAAGGGGUCCAAUAGCCCGGAUCUAUAUUCUGUUUUAUGGUACAUAGAGUUUAUAAAUGAUAGAUUUGAUAAUGGGUCGGGUCAUUCAAUCCGGCCUAAAAGUUCGUUAAAAAAGUGAGAGAGUUCAGGCAAAAGUUUAAGUUCGAAAGAUGAGUUUAGGCAAAAAAUGAGACUCGUUUUUAAAACGGGUUGGACCUCGAUUACAAAUUUUUUUUUUGGGCUCGACCUGGACCGACCUGGAUUUGUAAUACUAAUUUUUUAAUAUUAUUUUUAAUAUUCAUACUAAGUUACUGAGAUUAAUUUUUUAAUAGUUGAUUGGUUAAUUUAUAAAUAUUUUUUAAUAUCAUUUUUGUAAUUUUUAUAAAUAAAGUUUUAAAUAAAUAUUAAUAUUAAUAUUUUAAAAUUUUUUAUUUAAAUAAAGUAUAAAACUACUUAAAUUUAAUAUACAAAAUAUAAUUAUUUGUAAUUUGUUUAAAAGACUGUUUAUAUAGAUUUUUAAUUUAUAAAUAAAAAUAAAAAUUAAAAGAUUGAAACGAAAAACAUUGAGAUAAACUGUUUGAGAUUCCUUUUAAUAUUUUACCAUAAAGAAACUAAUUAAAUGUGGUCUGAAACAGCAUUAGUUAAAAUUAGGGCCGGAACCAUCAUCAACAAUCAAAGUUGAGGCAGAGGAGUCAUAUGGCAAAUCAAACCCAUCCAUUUUCAAGCCUGAAACAGCAGAAAACCCGAAUCCUGGAUUUCCAUGGGCACGAGGGCUGCGAAUAUCACCCACCUCUUCCCCUAAAAACAUCCUGCGGCAUGUUGAUUGUAGCAAAAACAUGUUCCAUGAAACUAAAUUUUCUUUUAAUGAUAAAUCAGUAUUGUAACUGAAACAAACUGUAAUCAACUAAAAUGGAUGAUAUAUUGCAUGAAUAACGCACAAGUUGACUAGAAAGAAAGAAAGAAAGACUCCUUAUGAACAGCAUUCCUCGACGUUAUUGCUGUCACAUAUGAUUGGUGGUUGUCUGUUGCUUUGGCCUAAGCUCAAUCCCCUCCACAACUAGCCCUCCUUUAAGGUGCGUUCCUGUGACUUCCUUUAGUGACAUCUUUACUUCUAAAUCAUCACCUCCAUUAUUAUAAAAACUUCCCAAUUCAAUCUCAAUCCAUCCAUCUUCACGUUUGCAAGCAACCCUUUCUUCCAUUAUCCCUCUAAAGGCCAUUGAUCUUAGAACUAAUUCCAUCCGGUUCGAAUACCAGAGUGUUUCUAAACAUUGUUUCUUACUUUCGUAUUGCCGUAGAUAAACAUUCCCUUCUGAUUUCGCAUUUCCAAUUUCCACUGUAACUUUUGAUGGCAAAAAAUCUAACCCAUAUGCACGAUCCACAAAUUUCACAAUAACAUAACACUCGUAGGUUGUUUUUGGAGACAGCAUACCAGAAUUGAUCUUGCCUUGGAUUUCCAACCACCAUAUGGUUCGAAGUUCUACUGCUACAACAAACCUGGGAAUGAAAAAGUAGUUUAAACGGUUGGGACAAUGAAAGGGAGAGGUUUAAGAUAAAAGAAAUUGAAUAAAUGUGAGAGACCUUGAUGCUGGGAAAGGUUUCCAGGACCAGAAGAGAGGGUUGUCGGCCCAUGCUAUGUUCAACUCCCUUGCACUCAACAUAUAUUGUUUUUUACCUGUUGUCUUCUCUAAUGAAAACGUCUGUCAAAUAUUGCAAAAUUAUAUCUCUCUCAUGGGUUGCCAAGUUUUCAUGGUGUUAUUGAACAAUAGCCAUCCAAGUUGAGAAAUCAUGGAUCUCUUAUUUGACCUGGCUAUUGGAAGGGGGGCAGUUUACCAGGGUCAUGUUUUGCAUCCACAGGCGGGUGGAACAAAUAUGAAUUUUUACAUUAAAGAACUCAUAUUUGAUCCACCACCUGUCAACAGAAAAACAACCUUGGUCAAACUGUUUUUGUUUUGUUUUUUGCAUUAAUUCCUCCGAACUCAGAAUUUAUGAAUUAAAAAGCAGAUUGCAUAUUUGCAUUUGCUGGCACCUGCUUUCUAUGGAUCAAUGAUAGCUCUCCAUUGAUACAUGAAUGAAUGGUGGGAGCAGACAUAUAGUAAGCCUUCAUAUACUUUUUCAGAAGGUGGUAAAUAGUUUUAAAAAAAAAAUUCUUAAUAAAAUAACUACUUUAGUAAACUAAUGAAUAAUGUCGCAUUAACUUGUUAGUUUUGAAAAAAAAAAAAAAACCCUGAAAUUAAAAUUGCUUUACCUUAAGGCCUCCAUCAAUUAGAUGUGGGUUACAUAACCUGAAGAACAAGUGUUUUUUGGAGGAGAAAAUUAAAGGAUGGCAUAGCCUGGUGAGAAUUUGUUGAUAAUCUGGUGGCAGGAAUUUUUCCCAAACACUGUCGGAAUUAGCUGAAAUCCGAAUGGAGGAAGAAACAAGCGAGAUUCGACAGGCAUCAAUGGGAGAUGUGAGGGAAAGAAUAUGUGCAAAGCAAUCAUCAGGUAAAAGAUCUAAAUUCAUGAUUCAAAAGCAAGAAGAAAGGUAUGAGGUUUGAGGGGAUGGAUGUUUGUAUAUAUGCGAUAUAGUGAAGGACUGAAAUGCAUCGUUAAUAUGACAACAUAUUCUUUGUUGGAGUUUGCUUUACAUGACGACAUGACCACAACAUAUGAGCACAUCAUGUAAUACAAUAUUGUAGGAUAUCGGCCAUCUAAUAUUGAAAUUUGAAAUGAUCCCAAUUUGGGUUUUAACAUAUACUGUCAAAUUCAUCAAAUUGUGGGGUAGUUUUUUAUGUCAAAGUUGAGCUGCCAAGAAUUCUGCUCUUUGGAACCAUUUCAUCACAUUUAGUCGACACCAUCAAAAUUGGAGAAAAAGUUGGAACAUAUAAAAUCUUGACUUAAUAUUCAAAAUAAAAUAAAAGUAUAAAUUAAUUUUGGUUGGAAUUAUUAAAGAUAUUGUCCAAAUCGAUAUGAAUGGUAGGAUACUGGUCUGGUCCUUUUCUAGAUACAUCCAAUUGUUGUUCAAUCAAAAUUUCUGUCAUUGACAUCCGAGUGGAGAGACCAAAAAUUUACUCCUAUCCCAAUAUCUUUCUUUAAUUCUAAGAUAGUUCAUUGUCUCCAUCUCCAAAAAUGCGUGUGAAAAGUGAAUUUGAGGGUAAUCUUUGGGAAGAACUCAACCCAAACUUCUUCCACAAAUAUGUGGGGACUAGUAUUAAAGGAAAGUUUAAAUAAAUAAUGUGUUUAUUUGUAGUUAGCAUAAAUAUAAUGGUAAUAAUAAUAUUACAUAUUGUAACAAUAUUAUAACGUAAAAUAAAAAAUAAAUUAAACACAUCACACUAUACUCUACCAUCCAUUCAAAUCCAUCCUAAAUAAUUUAAGUUUAAUUAUGAAUAAACCAUUUCAAUGUGUCAUAACACAUUGGUUUGCCAUUUGUUGGACUUUCAUGUAGAAAUUAAUAUGUUGUAAUAAGUGUUACAACGGAACUUUGAAGCAAAAUAUUAUAAUAAAAGAAUUAAAGUGUAAAAUGGGAUUAAGAUUAUUUAAGCAGUUUGAAAAGUAAUUUUAUCACUUCAAAGUUUUAACUUUAAGAAUGAAUCUAUUAAUUUUUUUUUAAAUACAACUAAUGAUUAAAGCCUUAGUUAGUGGCAAAUUUUGAUGCUAAGUUUCGGGAGACUAAUAAAACUUUUAAAAAUGUUAAGAUUUUAAUGAGAAUUUUUUCUUUAAAAAAAAUAAGGGGUUUAAUUGAAUUUUUUUUGUAAGAUUAAUGAAAAUUAAAAUUUUUUAAAAAUUUCAAAAAAAGAAAUCAAAAUUUUGUAUACCAAGACCUUCAAGAGAAUCCACCUUUGGCCCUAACUUGCUUAAAACUAGACUUGUCCAUGGGUCGGACCAUUCGGCUCGGUCUAAAAGUUCUCUCGAAAAAUGAGAGUGUUUGGGUAAAAAUAUAGGCCCGAAAAAUGGGAUUGGGAAAACAAUAAGGCCCGUUUAGAAUACAGAUCGAGCCUCCAGCAAGGCGUUUUUGGCCUGGCUCUAAUAUGCAAAAAAAAUUGAUGUUCUUUUUUACUGCUUUCUUGUUGUUUUUUUAUUGUUUUUUUUCUACUAUUUUGCUACUAUUUUACUAUUAUGUUGCUACUAUUUUGUUGUUAUUAUUUAGAUAUUGUAUUACUCUUAUUUUAUUGUUAAUUUUGUUACUAUUUUAGAGGUAUUUGCUUAUUAAGUUGCACCUAUUUUAGUGUUAUUUAAGUAUACAUAUUAUUUUUUAAUUUGUUGGGAAACAUUUAUUUUAAUGUUUUUAGUAUUUUUGAUGUAUUAUAUUUUUUAAAAAAUUAUAUAAAAAAAUUAAUAUGACCGAGUCGAGCCCAGGUUUUAGUAUUUUAGACCCAUUUUUUGGACCAAACCAAACCCGAACCUAACAAAUAAGUCUAAAACUUUAAUUAAACCCGACCUAUGAACACCUCUACUUAUAACACGAAUACAAAAAUAGCCUCACUAAUAUACAAUUGCUUGCACCAACUUUACCUAGAUAACUUACAAGUGAAUGAAAACUCUCCACUAAAGCUUAAGCUAUCAAAAAUUAAACUACCCUAAAAAUGUUCUCAAAAUGAAUUGAAUAAAGCUCUUAAAAACCAUUGCUAAGUAUAAGUCCACGGUGGUACAUGUGACAUUUAAACUUAUACAAUAUCAUCUUAGCUUGUAUUUUAAACUUGGUUAAUUAAUAUUUGUGGCUUGCACUCAAUUAUUAUUUUGGUAUCUAUAAUUUUUUUUUUGAUAUUUAAAUUUUUUAAUUAUGUAUCACUUUAUCCUAGCUGUUAACGCUGUUAAAAAAAUGAUAUGGCACGUCACUCAGUUUAUAUUUUUUAUUUUGAAUAAAUUAGAAAAUAGAAAAAAUAAUAAGAAAAAAAUCUCAAAUUUUAAAAAAAAAAAGAAAACUAUUAAAAAUGUUCCAAAAUUUUAAAUAUAUAUUUUAUUUUAAAAAUAUAUAAAAUAGAAAAGAAACACAAAAAAUCCAAAAAAUAAAAAAAGUCAUAAAAAUCUCAAAAAAAAAUUUUGAAAAAUAAAAAAAUAUAUAUAGAAAAUUUCCAAAAAAAUUAAAAUAUGAUUUAGUGACUGUUAUUCAGGAAGACAGCUUGCAGUGAAAUUAUGAUUAUGUGGUAAACAGUGACAAAAAUUUGUUAAUGAGUUGCUUAUUGAUUUCUUAUAAGCUUACUAUGAUCUGUAGGUGUGGUUGGCCGAAUAUUAUAAGGGGUUAAUACGUAGUUUGUAUUUGAAUAGUUAGAUUAACGUGUUAGUAAUCCAAUUGUAGGCGGUUCGUGUGUGGAUCUCGUCAGCAUAUCGUCGCAAACAGGUGUGUAACUAACACCCUCUUUCUUAGUCUGGUUCGGCAAAAGUUGAAAAGCCGAAAUACCGAAAACCGGUAUUUUGUAGAUUUGCGAGUGUGCGAAUGCUCAUGAGGUAAACCGAUUAAUGUUUUUGGUAAGCUGCAAAAUUUGGACUGCAAAGUGCAUGAUUUCUGUGCCCUCGAUAUUUUUGGGCUUAAUGGGCCAAAAUUGGAAUGAUGGGCCAACGGGCCCAAUUCGGUAAGAACCCUCGGUACGUGAUUCUGUUAGUACGUGAAAAGUAGGAAUAUGCAUGAAAAACCCUAAAAUAAAUAAAUUACUGAAAUACCUUUAAAAGUGGAAAAUUUACAGUUUUACCCCUAGUAGAUAAAUUACCGAAAUAUCCCUAGGGUUAAAUUGACCUAAAUGCAUGUUUGACUGUUGUUAUUUACUGCAUGCCAUGUUGUUAUUAUCUGAUGCAUGGGAUUGGGAUAUUGACGGAGGAAGUACUGAAAGUGGCUUGUCCACGUACUGGAGACUUUGCCUCAAUUUACUGUUAACUGAGCAGCAAGGCUGCAACUGUGGAGUGUUGGGCUGGGUGGGUUGAGCUAUUCCCCACAUGGAGUGUAGAGCUGGUACGGGUGGAGUGUAGUGGUUGGUGGGUUGAGUAGUCUCCCCAAAUGGGCUUGCAUAUGUUAUUGAUGUUGCAUGUAUUUUAAAAUGGGCCUAUGGGCCAUACUGUUAUCUGAAUAAGGGGCUAAGGCCCAGUUUAUUGUAAUCUGAAAAGGGCUCUGGUCCAGUACCACUGUUACCUGAAUGGGCUUAGGCCCAAUAAGCUUGAGUUGGCUUGGGCUUUGAAUGGGUUUUCCUUACACACUGAGUUUCCCCAAACUCACCCCUUUUAUUUUCAUCCACGCAGGAAAUCCCCAACCAUAGUGGGCUUGGAGCUGUGAGGGAAUUCGGAGUGGCCAUCCGUUCUGAAAGUUUGGUUUUCUUUUGGUGAACUGGACAUCCUAUUAUUUACGUUGAGGUUUGGGUUUUUAAAUGUAAUAAGGCCGCUUAAUUAUUUUUGAUGGUUUUAAUAUGUAUUACUAAGAUAGAUAUUACUUAUUUUAACUGUUGAAAUUGGAUAGCUUUAGGGCGCGUUUUUAAAAAAAAAACAACAAUUGAUUUCAAAAUAACACGACAACAAGCAAAGCUUCCGCAAUGAAAGUAUUUUUCAAAAUUAAUCACUUUUCCUAAAAAUGACUUAAUCAAAUCAGUUUCCUAGAAAUAUACAUGACGUUAAGGUGUGGCAAUGGCGGUGUGCAUGUCUAGGAUUGGAUCCGAAGGGAGCUUGGUACUUAAGUAGUCCGAUAGACUCACCUCCUCUUUUCCGGUUUCCUACCUGGUGCACAGCUUCCAUUCACUUUAACCUAUAAUGAAAUUAUCUUUUAAAACACUAAGUAGGUUUUUCUGGAUCAACAAUAUAAAAUGUUUUGAACGCUUCGAUGUGGCAUGUCGGAUCUGGCCAUAACGUCUGGGCCAGGUUUGGGGUGUUACGUUUAGUGGUAUCAGAGCCUAGGUUGCAACAACUCGGCUGUGGAUCGGGUAAAAAAAAGGGUUUUCAAAACUUUAUUCCAAAAAAAAGAGAGGGUAUUUUUUUAAAAAAAAACCUGACUUUUGAAAAUAAAUUUCCUGUUUAAAGGAGAUAAUCUCUGAACUUGUUUUUUUUACACAAAUGUUUGGAAAAUGGAUUUCAAAAAGCCUAAAUCUUUUGAGUUUAUCUGAAAACUGAUGAGGUGGCACACUGAAUCCCCAGCACCAAGGCUGUAAGUACUAUUCUGUUUUAUAUACUGAACUGUACUGUAGUUAGUACUAAACCUUAGAGAUAGUACUAUAGAUAAUGUAGCGUAAAGGUUACAAAACUGAGACUAUAGGGUAAACUAAGCCCUUGGAAACUGAGACAGUAGCUAAAUUGUGGUUACGCGAGAACAACUCUGAAAUCUUAUCUGUUCUUAAGAUAUUCUAUAAUAAACAGUAGAAACAGUAAACUAACUGCAUAAAAUUUGUAAUCAAAUAAAUCGAUAUGAGUACGUGAGCUACUCGGGGAAGAGGCCGUGGUCGAGGCUGUGGUCGAGGCCGAGGUAGUACUCAAGCUGGAUCUUCGUCUUCUGAACACAUACCCGCUGGAGUAGCACAACCACCACUGGUGGAUGAGAAUCGGCUGUAUGAUCUGGCUGCGGGGGAUGACGCUCUGUUCCAGGCCAUGUUAAGAGUUUUGGAAAGGGUGGCCGGAGCUAAUAUCGGGCCUAUGAAUAGGGGGUCUAUUUCUGAGCGACUCCGGGCCAACGGAGCGAAAGUUUUUAGGGGUGUAUCUGGAGUAGCCCCAAAUGUGGCUGAGUACUGACUGGAAGCCACGGAGUGGAUUAUGGAUGACUUGGACUGCUCAGUGGAGCAAAAGUUAAAAGGAGCAGUAUCCUUACUACGGGAUGAGGCGUAUCAGUGGUGGAUCACUGUGAGAAAGGGUUCCCCAGCUGAGAGGGUAACUUGGGAGUUGUUUAAGCAGUCUUUCAAGGCGAAGUAUGUCGGAGCUAGUUAUGUGGAUGCGCGAAGGAAAGAAUUCCUGAACCUGACCCAAGAUGGUAAAACCGUUGCUGAAUAUGAGGCAGAGUUUCUGCGAUUGAGCCGGUAUGCUAAUGGUAUUAUCUCUACAGAAUACGAGCGCAAUGUUCGCUUUGAAGAUGGCCUCAGGGAUGAGCUAAGGGUGCUCAUAGCUCCGCAAAGAGAGCGCGAUUUUGCUGCACUGGUAGAAAAGGCUAAGAUAGCCGAAGAGGUGAAGGAAGCUGCACGAAGGAACCGUGACAGGGAUCGAAACCGGUUCAGGAGAGAUACUGGACCAACUGGUGCUGCAAACCGGAAUGUUAAGAGAGCUAGGAUGGAGGAACCAGUUCGAGAGGUUCCGGUAAACACUGUUAGACCACAAGCUUGUGGAGAUUGUGGUAAAAUGCAUCUGGGGGAAUGUUGGAAACAUUCUGGGGCUUGUCUUCGUUGUGGAUCAAAGGAACUUAAGAUCAGGGAUUGUCCUAAGAGGCCAGCUCUGGCUCAAGUGGUUGAACAAAGGGCUGUGCAACCCGUGCAACCAGCGCAAGGUGGACCGUCGCCGUCGAGAGGUCGUGGCCAAGGUCGCGGUGGCAAUGGCCAUGGACGUGGGGCACCUGGAAGGGGUAUUGUUAACACUGAGGCUCGUUAGCCAACUUUGGUAUAUGCUGCUCGUCACCGCGAGGAGGGUGACUCACCUGAUGUCAUAACUGGUACGUUUUUUAUCUCUGACGUACCCUAUACUGCUCUGAUAGAUGUGGGGUCAACUCAUUCAUAUGUUGCAUAUGAUAUUUCUGGGGCAUUGGGCGUUCACUUUGAGGAAACUGUGUGUGGGGUAACUAUGAUAAGUCCGUUAGGUCACUCAGUUAAAGUAGAGAAACUCUUUAGGGAGGUGCCUUUAGAAACUCAAGGUAGGAUUUUCUGUGGAGAUUUAAUGGAGUUAACAUUCUGAGAAUUCGAUUUGAUCUUAGGGAUGGAUUGGUUGACCAAGCAUAGGGCAACGCUGGUUGUGCAACUAAGAGGAUGGUGUUAAGGACUAUUGAGGAUGAGGAGGUAAUGAUUAUUGGGGAACAAAGAGAUUACUUGUCCAAUGUGGUAUCAACUUUAAGGGCUGAGAAACUAAUGCGUAAGAGAUGCGAGGCGAACUUGGCUUUUGUAAAUCAAGUUGAAACUGGGGAUCUAACUGUGGAUAUCGUCAGGACUGUUAGUGUGACAGCCCUAAAGUGACCCUAGUCGGAAAGCGGUUUCGGGACCGCUAAACCGAGUCACCAAAUUAUUUGAAUGUGAUAUUUAUUGUCUAAAAUAUGUGAUUAUGAAGGUGUGAAAGUUUUAGGCUUCGAUUUAGUAAAUUGUAUGUGAAUUUAGUCAAAAGGACUUAUGGGUCACAUUUUUGAAAUGUGAUAGGCUAAUCUACAAGGACCUAAUAGUGCAUGUAAUCAAAAGGGAGGACUUGCAUGUCAACUUUCCCCCUAAUAUGUAGUGGCCGGCCAUGAGCAUGGGUGGACAAGAUGUUAUGGCUAAAAACAUGUCAUAAACAUGUUGGGGUAAUGCAUUAUGUAAGGAUUAAUAAAAUAAAGAGCAUGAGCAAUAAAAUAUUAGUGUUAGUAGGAUGAUAAACAAAAAAAAAGGAUGUGUGUGAUUGUCCCCCCCAUUGCCGUGAGUUGAAGGAAAGAAAAACAAAAAAAAAAGUGUUCAUCCUUUGGUUCAUCCUUGGCCGAAAAUUUUAAGGAGGAAGGAAGAAGAAAGGUUGAAGAGGUUCGGCCAUGCAUGUAACUAGGCUAAGGUAUGUUUGAUGAUGUUCCAUGAGAUGCAUGCAUGUUUUAGUUGUUAGCUUGAGUUCUACCUAGCCCAUGGUCUAAAUCGUGCUAUGCGAUAGAAAUGACACUCGGCCAUGGAUGCAUCAUUCUUGCUUGGUGUUGAUGUUGUGUUGGUGAGAUAUCAAGUUAUUUUUGUGACCAAGUUGAGAUUUGAAUUUUUGGAAUGAGUAAGGUUUUCGGCUAUGGUAAAUAUAAGGGUGAUGGAUGUUGUGUCAUGCUAAAUCUAGAUGAAUAAUGUUAGUGCUUAUAUCUCGAUAUUCAUGAGUUUCUUUCUUGGUUUUACCUCAAACCCAUGAAGUAUUUUAAUUGGUGUUGUUAGAGGUUUCCGUCAUGGGAUUAUAAGCUUGUUAGUUUUGAUGAUGAAAUUUAUGCCUUACAAGGGUAAAUGGUGUCUUGAUGCAUUCGGCCAUGGUAGAAAGUAGAUGUGAAAUGGUAGUAAGAUAAAAUGCAAAAUGUUAGUAUUUGAUUACUAGUGUAUAAAUGCGUAUUAGCCGAGUUUUGAAUUUGAAACGAAACGGUAUAUAACCAAUACAAGUAACCAUACUUGUGGGAAGUAUUAAGCAUAUAAUUGGCCUCAACAUAUACAUGCAUACUCAGCUGUGGAUCGGGUAAAAAAAGGGUUUUCAAAACUUUAUGCCAAAAAAAAAGAGAGAGGGUAUUUUUUAAAAAAAACCUGACUUUUGAAAAUAAAUUUCAUGUUUAAAGGAGAUAAUCUCCGAACUUGUUUUUUUUUUACACAAAUGUUUGGAAACUGGAUUUCAAAAAGCCUAAAUCUUUUGAGUUUAUUUGAAAACUGAUGAGGUGGCACACUGAAUCCCCGGCACCAAGGCUAUAAAUCUAUUCUGUUUUAUAUACUGAACUGUACUGUAGUUAGUACUAAACCUUAGAUAUAGUACUAUAGAUAAUGUAGCGUAAAGGCCACAAAACUGAGACUAUAGGGUAAACUAAGCCCUUGGAAACUGAGACAGUAGCUAAACUGUGAUUACGCGAGAACAACUCUGAAACCUUAUUUGUUCAUAAGAUAUUCUAUAAUAAACAGUAGAAACAGUAAACUAACUGCAUAAAAUUCGUAAUCAAAUAAAUCGAUAUGAGUACGUGAGCUACUCGGGGAAGAGGCCGUGGUCGAGGCCGUGGUCGAGGCCGAGGUAGUACUCAAGCUGGAUCUUCGUCUUCUGAACACAUACCCGCUGGAGUAGCACAACCACCACUGGUGGAUGAGAAUCGGCUGUAUGAUCUGGCCGCGGGGGAUGACGCUCUGUCCCAAGCCAUGUUAAGAGUUUUGGAAAUGGUGGCCGGAGCUAAUAUCGGGCCUAUGAAAAGGGGUUUAUUUUUGAGCGACUCUGGGCUAACGGAGCGGAAGUUUUUAGGGGUGUAUCUGGAGUAGCCCCAAAUGUGGCUGAGUACUAACUGGAAGCCACGGAGUGGAUUAUGGAUGACUUGGACUGCUCAGUGGAGCAAAAGUUAAAAGGAGCAGUAUCCUUACUACGAGAAGAGGCGUAUCAAUGGUGGAUCACUGUGAGAGAGGGUACCCCAGCUGAGAGGGUAACUUGGGAGUUGUUUAAGCAGUCCUUCAAGGCGAAGUAUGUCGGAGCAAGCUAUGUGGAUGCACGAAGGAAGGAAUUCCUGAACCUGACCCAGGGUGGUAAGACCGUUGCUGAAUAUGAGGCAGAGGUUUGGGUUUUUAAAUGUAAUAAGGCCGCUUAAUUAUUUUUGAUGGUUUUAAUAUGUAUUACUAAGAUAGGUAUUACUUAUUUUAACUGUUGAAAUUGGAUAGCUUUAGGGCGCGUUUUCAGAAAAAAAACAACAAUUGAUUUCAAAAUAACACGACAACAAGCAAAGCUUCCGCAAUGAAAGUAUUUUCCAAAAUUAAUCACUUUUCCUAAAAAUGACUUAAUCAAAUCGGUUUCCUAGAAAUAUACAUGAUGUUAAGGUGUGGCAAUGGCGGUGUGCAUGUCUAGGAUUGGAUCCGAAGGGAGCUUGGUACUUAAGUAGUCCGAUAGACUCACCUCCUCUUUUUCGGUUUCCUACCUGGUGCACAGCUUCCAUUCACUUUAACUUAUAAUGAAAUUAUCUUUUAAAACACUAAGUAGGUUUUUCUGGAUCAACAAUAUAAAAUGUUUUGAACGCUUUGAUGUGGCAUGUCGAAUCCGGCCAUAACGUUUGGGCCGGGUUUGGGGUAUUACACAAAUCCCCUUAUUUUUAGGCUAGAGAAUAAAAAAAAGGUUAAUACUAGUACUUUUAGUUCCUGUGGGUUCGACAUUCUGGUCUUUCUAUAAGCUAUACUAUUGUUCGAUAGGUGUGCUUGCCUUUAUCGUGAUAAUAGUUAGUUUUCAAGUACGAUCAAUCAUAAAUAUAAAACUUAUUAUGCACGUCAUGGAGUGUUAUUUUUCUUUAUCGUCCACAACCGUAUCUUCUUCCUCAUUAAUGCCAUGAUUUUUUUAGGAACAUCCAUUGUCAGGUUUUCUGCGCUUCGCCUCAUAUUUAUUUGAUCAAGAUUUCUUAACUUGGAAAUUAAACCCCCCACACUUAAGAUGUACAUUGUCCUCAAUGUACAAAGAUAGAUAUAUAGAAAAGAAUAUAAACAUAAGAUAGGGAGAGAAGUGAAACUUCCUGAGUGAUGAAUGAAUUCUUUGAGCUGGAGUUUUGGAAAAUAAUCGGCGUGAGGAUGGAGGAGGAUACUGCAGUGGUGGUAGAGGUUCAUUAGUCCAUAAGUUCUGCACCAAAGAAUAUUAUAUCUGGUGGUAGCUAUGGUCGUGGUCGAGCAGGACAUGGCAGUCGUGGAGAACCUUUCCCGGUGGAGUUUUUAGUUCCUAUGUGAUGAUGAGCUGAGGAGCUCUUUAUAACUGUGAUAGAAUUAGGAACUCUUUUAGAAAAUAUAUAAGGAAGAAUAAUUACUCGAUAGUAAAUAGCCAAAAUACAAAAUUGUUAAAUAAAAAUUAUAAAACCUAAUAAAAAUAAGCUUAAUGAAAAACAAAAAGUAUUCUUAAAGUAGAAUAAAAGUAAAAACAUAAAAUAAUAAAUAUAAGUUUUUAAACAUCUUCAUCGCUAGAUGGUUCACGAGGUGGGAGUGGCGAUGAGAUGUGGAAGUGCUGAAAAAUCUGGUGUAGUGUAGCAUCAAUGUGAUGGAAGUGCUGAAAAUACUACUGCUCGAAUCGAGUUAGGCGCUCAGAGAUGUCAGCGUAUGAAGCCGCCGCAUGAACUGGACGAGAGGGUGGUGGUGGCUAAAACAGUGGGUCCUCAUGACAUUGAGGGACAUCAUCGGUAAUGUCCUCGAGGUCCUCCUCCUCGGUGGAUUGGGCGAGACAGUACUGAAGAGGGAAGGUGCCAUGUCGCUUCUCGAUCAUCCUCAUACUUAGCAUGCUCGAGAUGCCCUGUGGGUACAUUUGGCCCAUGAGAGUGAGGGAGGAUGAUUGGGUUGCUAUGUUGAGAAGCCCGAAGUGCCGAGCCAACCGCGUCACAUAGGGCCCAAUGGAGAUGACCCCCUUCCUAUGCCGCUCCAUCUAAUGUUGAAUGACGGGGGCAAUGAAAUAAGCAAGGUCUAUGACAUGCCCGUGUGACAUACACCAUAGAAAGUAGGCGUCGUGAGUGUUGACGACGCCAGUGCUCUCUCGCCUUCCUGUUAACGUGUGAGCCAAAAUGGCGUGUAAGUACCUCAAAGAUGGAGGGAGAGCUGAUGCCUUGGAGCGGCUAGGAUUGUAAAAGGCAGCGCCAGGGGUAAGGGCGUUCCAACACCGUGAAGGAGAGUGAUGGAUGUGGCAAUUAAGAGCGUGGAGUUCAGUCUCCUCCAUGAACAAUUUCAGUUAUAAGAAGAUCAAUUACCAAGUGUUGGUAAUUAUCUUGAGUAAUUAUCCUACAAAAUAUGUCAUAAACAAGUGUCAUUAUAACUUCAAAUACUCUAAUCAAGAUAAUGAUAAUGAUAUGGAUAAGAAUCUUCAGCAAAUCAAACCUUAACCUUCUUUUUCAUGUUAGUCGAAUGGAUGAGGAUAAUUAAUUCAUAUUCUAGCAUGGAAUUCUCCUCAUUUGCUAGUUAACUAUAUGCAAUCAAGACUCAUGAAAUAGUUAAACAUGCCAACCAAAGAAUUUUGACUACACCAUAAAUGUUGUUAUAUCUGUCGUUUGGAUAAGAAAUGGAAGUUUCCAACACUUGGAUUUUCCAAAGUUGAUGAUAAGGAAAGUACAUAGAUGUUCCUUUGUUGCAUCAUUGGGUCACGAAGGAUGCGUAUGGUUAUAUUAUCAGUUAGGUGAAGGAUAAGCUAGCUGGAUGAAAAUCACGUACACUUUAGCUAAUAGGAAGGAAUAUGCUUGCGAAGUUAGUUUUUGCUGCCAUUCCAUUUUAUACCAUGCGGACAAUGAAUUUCAAAAGGCAUGUGUGUGGAUAUUGAUAGUGUCGAAACCAUUUUUUUGAAAACGGGCAUCGAAUUUGUUCGAAAGAGAAGAUUAAAACGGGAGUCGCCACCGAUCUUUAUUUGGUGUGAUCGGAUCACCUUUGUUUUAAAAAAAACAAUUUUAGUUCACUAAAACGGCAUUUUGGUCUACGAAAUUCAAGAGAACAAGUUCGGGAGUCGGUUAUGUACGAGGAAGGAUUAGUACCCUCGACAUGCCCAAAAAUUGGUACCGAACUGAUUAAUUAGUGUCUUAAUGUCGAAAAUUAAAAAUCGGGAAUAGAUUUGUAAUACGAUCCUUUUUUAUUAACAUCGAUUUUAAAAUUCUUGAAUUAGCUCAAAACGAUUGUUAAAGAUUUCCUUAUCUCGAGAUAUCGGAGAAUCACAUCUCGUAAGUUAGGACGCAAUACCAUGAAUUCCCGAGCGUAAGGUCGUCUUUAAAUUAAAUUGGAACCCCGUGUAUUUUAAAACUCAAAAGGAUAUUUAGCUAUUUAGAAUCAAUAAGAGAACCGAAACCCCGUAUGUUAGGGCACAAUUCUUCGAUAUUCCAAAACGCGAAAUAUUGCCUCAUUUUGAAAUUUCAUUUUUUGAAUAGUAGUGAAUACGGUAUUUAAACGACGUAUGUUAUUUGUUUAGGUUAAAAUAAAGCGUUUUAUUGGAUAAAUGUAUUGGGGUUUAAUUCAUGAGGCGAUGAUAUGAAAAAAUAUAGUAAUGAAUGUGAGACAAAUACACAUGGACACAACAUUAUACAAAUGAAUAACAAUAAUGCAAACUUACGAAAUAAACGAAUCAACAUUCACAUUAUGGCAAUAAUCACACAAGCUACAUUAUUUAAAUAUUAACACUAACAAUUAAAGACAAAUGAAUUUAAUAAUAAUUUAAAAGGUAUAAAGCAAAUAAAAAUGAAUAAGAUGUAAAGCAAUUUUAAAAUGAUAAUAGAUGAGAUUAAAAUAAUGUGAAAAAAAGGAGAUUUAAAAUCGACAAUAUACAAAACAAUUUAAAAUAGAGGAUAUGUAUAUAUAUAAUAUUAAAAUAGGUAAUAUAUAUAUAAAUAUAUAUAAUAAAUACUUAAAAAAACUAAAAUGAACAAUAAUACAAUUUAAAACAAAUAAGAGAGUUUAAAAUAAAUAUUAAGAGGCUCAAAAUAAUAAUAUGUAAAAAGAAAUUUAAAAUAAAUAAUAUAUAAAAAAUUUUAAGUAAAUAACAUAUAAAACAAUUUAAAUUAAAUAUUAUACAUGAAAAUUUAGAAUAGAACAUAUAUAAAAUAAUCUAAAGUAAAGAAUAUGUUAAAAUAAAUAAUACGUGAGAAAUAAAAAAAUGAAUUUUAAACGAUUAGAGUAGUGUAGACGAAUAAAGUAUGAAAGGAAACUUAAAAUGGAUAAUACAUAUACAACCGUUUAAAACAAAUAACGUAUAAAAAUAUUUAAAAAUAACUAAUAUGUAUAGUAGUUAAAACAAAUAAUAUAUGUAAAAAUAUUUAAAAUCUAUAACAAUUUACAAUACAUAAGACGUAAAAAGGAUUACGAUAACUAAUAAUAAAAUGUUCUAAUAUAAAUAAUGUAAGAUAAACAAACUUAAAAUAACUAACAAUAAAACAGCUCCUAAAAAGUUGAAAUAAUAAAUAAAUGAACAAAUUAAAUAGAUUAGGACUAAGUUGAAAUUUAAUUAAAAUUUAAGAUGCAAAUUGUAAAAAAAUAGGCCACUAAGGACCGAAGUGAAAUGUGCAUAAAGAACGAGGGACUGAUUGGGAAAAUAUUCCCGCCCUCCAUGCGCAGUGUUUCAAACGGGACCAAAUUGAGAUGAGAGCAAAGAACACGGGAUCAAAAUUAAAAAAAAAAACGCAAAAGAAAGAAUAAAAUGGGGCAAAUUGAAAACAAGAGGCAAAACAGAAGGACCCACAGCGCAAAUAUCCCAUUUGAGCUUUAAAAACACGCGGAUCGCCCCAUUAAUCGGGUCGGGUCGCGGGUUCCCUCUCUAAAACGACCCCGUUUUGAGGCGUGUGGGGAAGGUAGUAAAACGCUGUCGUUUUACUCUGCUAUUAAAGCCCAUUUUUAUUUUAUUUUUUUUAAUUUUAGCAACAUCUAAAAAAAAAGUUAAUAAAGAGUUCUCAUUGCUCUCCCUUCACUCCUAUGACCGGCGAUAGGGUUUCCUGGUGUCCAUUGCGCCGCCGUUGUGGGCCAAUGGCCGGCGUUGCGCGAAUGGGAUUUUUUCAGCUCCGAGGAGGCCAACGGAGGUGAGUACCCUCCCUUUUCUACUCUUUCGUUUUAUUUUUUAUUCCAAAAAAAUAUAAAAAAAAAAACAAAAGCAACAGAUAUUUAAGAGCAAAAAUGAAAUAGAAGAGGAAUCACCUUCUAAAGUUUUGGUUUUUAUUGAUUUUUUGUAUUAGAUUUUCUUUGUUUUUUUUUUGUGUUAAAAACUGAUUUUACAAAAAAGAAUAAAAAAUAAAGGAUAAAAAAAAUAAAGAAACGGAGAUAAAAAGACGAGAGAAUGAAGUUCAACCUUUUUGUUUUUUGAUUGCUUAAAUUGUGUCCUUUACAAUAUUUCGUGUUUGUGGCUAUAUAGCUGAAUACAAAAAUGCUUUAGUAUAUUCAUUGCUAUUGUUUUGCUUCGUUUCUGCUUUUUGCUUUCUUUUUGUUUCUGUUUUUGCAGACUUAGAGGGUCAACGAGGGUGAAAACAUGCCAUUUUGAUGCGAGGAAGCAGCCAUUGAGAGGAUGGUAUGCUGUCAGAGGCACGUGGGGUGCGGGGCAACCGAGGCUGCGGCGAUGGAGUGGAUGGGAACCCUAGGGUUUCCUGAAAAUUUCAAAUAUUUUGGGCCAAUCGGGCCUUGUGAUGUUGGGCUCAAGAUUUUGGGUUGUGUUUUGGGUCUUAAUUGGGCUGAUGGUUUAGGUUAGGUGUUGGGUCUUUUAAUUGAACUAUAAACAUUUUGGGCCCGGGCAAAAUUUGGGUCCUACAGCUGCCCCUCUUUGCUCAUUGUCGUGUAAUGGGAAUGGAGCAAAGACUAUAAGAGGGCCAAUUUUGCCUGGAUCCACUGAGUGGCGCUUUUUUUUCUUUGAGUAGCUUCAAUAUGCCCUACUCCAAUCAGCUCUACUGCAACUCCAGGGAGAUAAGACUUGUUAUUUCAACCUGUUUCACUGCAACUUUAGGGAGGCAAAGGUUUGUGAUCUAUAGCUUCGAUUUACUCCACUGCAACUUCAGGGGGUAAGAUUUGUAACUUCAACCUGCUUCGCUGCAACUUCAGGGAGACAAGGUUUGUUUUGAUUUGUUCUACUGCAACUUCAGAGAGAUAAGAUCUGUAAUUUAUGGCUUCAAUCUGUUCCACUGCAACAUCAGAGAGGCAAAGGUUUGUGAUCUAUAGCUUCGAUGUACUCCACUACAACUUCAGGGGGUAAGAUUUGUAACUUCAACAUGCUCCGCUGCAACUUCAGGAAGACAAGGUUUGUUUUGAUUUGUUCUACUGCAAUUUCAGAGAGAUAAGAUCUGUAAUUUAUGGCUUCAAUCUGUUCCACUGCAACUUCAUAGAGAUAAGACUUGUUUUGAUCUACUCUACUGCAACUUCAGGGAAAUAAGAUUUGCUAUCUCCAGUCUGCUCCACUGCGACUUUAGGGAGAUAAGACUUGUAACUUCAACCUACUCCGCUACAUCUUCAAGGAGAUAAGGUUAGUGGCCUCGAUCUGCUUCACUGCAACUUCAGGAAGAUAAGAUUUUCCAUCUUCGUAGCUUCAAUCGAUCUUGUUACGUUGUCCUCUGAGGGAUAUGACUCGUAAAAUUGAUUUCUUGAGCCUAUGCUUAUGCCAAAUGAUUAGGAUGUCAUGAAUGAAUCAAAUUCCCCAACCAGAUGUGUAUAGGUGAUGUUUGAAUGAAAGCAAAAAUGUUAUUUUCUUUUAAUGCUUAAUUUGAUAUUACUCGUUGUUCAUCGAGGUUUUAUCACUGACGUAUUACUCUCCCCUUUUUCUUUAGCUGGUAUCUUUUUAAGAAUAAUCACAAUUUGGGCUAUUCUUUUCCAAUGUCUCCUUGAAUUUGGGUAAUUCAAAUUAAUUAGUCCCGUUUCAAGUCCUUAUUUCAUUUAAAAUCAUUUCAGAGUAAUAUGCAGAACUCAUUUUGGAUGUCAUUAGUCCAUUAAUCGUUAUUUCAAUGAAAAGUGCUUGAAAAAGAUUAUCGCAAUGGACAAGACGGAAUUUUAUUGAGAAAGAGCUUGAAAUGAAUAAUAUAAUCAAGAUAGCAAAUUCGCUAAGAUACAAACUGAAUAAAAAAUAAAAAAAAUAGGUGCCUCGGAUAUCGUAACAUGAGCUUCUCUGCCCAAAACUUCUUGAGGACCCUUUAAAUUUGAUAUGUGUUUAGAAGACCAAGAGUACUUUGUUCAUGCCCCAAGAUGUAGCAUCCCUCCUUCUUGUUAAUUUAGAGAAGACAAAAUUACUGUAUGCCCCAUUUCAAUCAAAACUUGAAUUGCCCAUUCCUGGGUUUUUAACUCAAAAACCUUUUGGUCUCAAAGUGCCCUUUUUGCGGGUUUUCGCCUUAGCCUUUCCUUUUUUUAGGUAAAGUACCUCUUGACUGAAUCUGAAUUCACGGGGUUAGGCAAGCUUUUGCCAUCCAUCUCAGUCAAGAUCAGAACUCCUUCAGAGAAAGCUUUCUUCACCAUAUAAGGUUCCUCCCAAUUUAGCAUCCAUUUUCCUUUGAAGUCCUUUUGUAUGGGAAAAAUCUUUUUUAGAACAAGGUCUCCUUUACAGAAUUCUCUAGGGAUAACCUUCUUGUUAUAAGCCAGCAUCAUUCACUUUUGGUACAUUUGACCAUGACGAAUAGCUUUCAACCUCUUUUCUUCAAUUAAGUUCAACUGGUCGUACUGCGAUUGGAUCUAUUCUUCUUCAUCUAACUUUAGUUCUGAUAGGACUCGUAGAGAAUGAAUUUCAACCUCAAUAGGCAAGACCGCCUCCAUUUCAUAAACCAAAAAGAAAGGUGUUGCCCCGGUGGAGGUUCUGACUGACGUUCGGUAGGCGUAGAGGGUGAAUGGUAAUUUCUCGUGCCAAUCUUUAUAAGUCUCAGUCAUUUUUCCCAUGAUUUUCUUGAUAUUCUUAUUGGAUGCUUCCACCGCACCAUUCAUCUUUGAGCGAUACGGUAACGAGUUAUGGUGUUUGAUCUUGAAUUGGCUACAGACCUCUGCUAUCGUGUUGUUGUUCAAGUUCAGUGCAUUGUCGGAUAUGAUCCUCUCAGGCAUCCCAUAUUGACAUAUAAUCUCCUUUUUUAAGAACUUGUUGACUACCGAUUUCGUGACGUUGGCAUAAGAAGUGGCUUCUACCCACUUGGUGAAGUAAUCGAUGACCACAAAGAUGAAUCGAUACCCGUUAGACACUUUUGGCAAGAUUGGCGCGAUGACGUCCAUGCUCCACAUGAAGAAAGGCUAUGGAGAAGUCAUGACAUGAAGAGGUGAAGGAGGUACAUGAAUCUUAUCUCCGUAGAUUUGGCACUUAUGACACUUUUUUUCACAAUUGAUGCAAUCCCCUUCUAUAGUGGACCAAUAACAUCCAAAUCUCAUGAUUUGUCUGGCCAUUGUAAAACCAUUAGCGUGUGUUCCGUAGACACCCUCAUGGACCUCUUCCAAUAUCUGCUUAGCUUCGAGAGGGUCCACAUAUCUUAAGAGUACCUGAUCCUUCCUUCUUUUAUAUAGGAUCUCUCCGUCCAAGACAUAGUCACUGGCUAGCCUUCUCAAUGUCCUUUUAUCAGUUUCUGUCGCUUGGUCUGGGUAUUCACGAUUCCUCACGUAUCGUAAUAUAUCCUGAUACCAAGGGUGAUCGUCCUUUUCUUCUUCUUUUUCGAUGUUGUAAUAAUGAGCCAGAGCCUCAUAGAUACUCAUUUGGAUAGGCUUCACAUCCUCCUGUUUAUUUACUUCGAUCAUUGAAGCUAAAGUUGCCAAUGCAUCAACCAUCUAGUUUUCAUCUCGUGGGAGGUAACAGAAAGUGAUAUCGUCAAACCCCUCAAUUAACUCUAGAACCAGCCUUCGGUAAUUGAUCAACUUAGGGUCUCUUGUCUCCCAUUCACCUUUGAGCUGAUAGAUCACUAAUGCCGAAUCCCCGUAUACUUCUAACAUAUUGAUUUUACGUUCAAUGGCCACACAGAUUCCCAUGAAGGCAUGCCUCGUAUUCUGCCAUAUUAUUUGUGUAAUCAAAAUCCAAUUUACUAGUAAAGGGAUAAUGAUCUCUAUUUGGGGAUACCAUAACUGCCCCGAUUCCAUUACCCACAGCAUUUGAGGCUCCGUCAAAAUUCAGUCUCCAAGGAUGAUCUUCUUUAGAGUAUUCUUCCGUGGUCACAACGUACAUUAAGUCUUCAUUUAGAAAAUCAAAACUCAAAGGCUCAUAAUCUUCUAGAGCCCUAUUGGUAAAAAAAUCUGCUAUCGCACUCCCUUUUAUAGCCUUCUGGUUCACAUAGACUAUGUCGAAUUCAGAAAGCAAAAUUUUCCAAUGAGCCAUUCUUCCGUUCAAAACAUUUGACUAAAUCAUGUACUUCAGAGGGUCUAGUUUUGAGAUAAGCCAAGUUUAUGGUACAACAUGUACUGUCUCAGUCUUCGGGUUGUCCAGAUCAAAACACAACACAAUUUCUCGAUCGGCGAAUAUCUUGUCUCGCAUUCAGUGAACUUCUUGCUAAGAUAGUAUAUCACCUUUUCUUUUCUUCCUGACUCAUCAUGUUGGCCUAACACGCAUCCCAUGGAGUUCUCGAACACUGCCAAAUAUAGUAUCAGUAGUUUAUCUAGGCAAGGUGGCAUCAGCACCGGGGCAUUAGACAAGUAAUGCUUGACUUUAUCAAAAGUUCUUUGGCACUCUUCAUCCCAUACACCUGGGUUGUGUUUCCUAAGGAGGUAGAAUAUCGGGUCACAUUUCUCCGUUAGUUGUGAAAUGAACCGGGCAAUGUAAUUUAGCCUUCUUAGGAAACCUCGAACUUCUUUUUGAGUGCUUGGCAGAGGUAAUUCUUGUAUGGCUUUGACUUUAUCUAGGUUGAUUUCGAUCCCCUUUUCACUGACUACGAAUCCUAAUAGCUUUCCUGACUUGGCGCCAAAGGUACAUUUCGUAGGAUUGAGCUUUAACUGGAACUUUCUUAAUCUUAAAAAUAGUUUCUUCAAGACUUUUACGUGCUCCUUUUCUGUUUUGGAUUUCGCAAUCAUAUCAUCGACGUAAACUUCGAUUUCCUUAUGCAUCAUGUCAUGGAACAGAGUUACCAUGGCUCUCUGAUAUGUUGCUCCUCCGUUCUUUAGUCCCAGUGGCAUCACCUUAUAACAGAACGUUCCCCACAUGGUCAUGAAUGUGGUCUUUUCUAUGUUUGUAGAAUGCAUCUUUAUCUGGUUGUAUCCCGAGAAUCCAUCCAUGAAGGAGAAAAGUGAGUAACCUGCCGUGUUAUCCACUAAUGUAUCAAUGUGAGGUAACGAAAAAUUGUCUUUUGGGUUGGCUUUGCUCAGAUCUCGAUAGUCCACGCACAUCCGUACUUUUCUAUCUCAGAUCUCGAUAGUCCACGCACAUCCGUACUUUUCUAUCUUCCUUAGGAACUGGGACUAUAUUGGCUACCCAUUCUGAGUAUUUAACCACUUGUAAGAAACCGGCGUCGAAUUGUUUCUUGACCUCCUCCUUUAUCUUCAACAAAACAUUAGGUCUCAUUCUUCGGAGUUUCUAUUGGACUGGCUUGCACCCUUCCUUUAAGGGAAGUCAAUGUACCACGAUAUCGGUAUUCAACCCGGUCAUGUCUUGAUAUGACCAUGCGAAGACAUCCUUAAAUUCUUGUAGUAACUCAACGAGGUCUCACCUUGUUUCUGCGGUGAUAAAUUCCAAUCUUCACCUCUCUUCCCUCUCCUAAGCUCACAAUUUCCAUUGACUCCUUGUGAGGUAAGAUUUGUUUCUCAUCUUGUUCUACCAUUCUUAACAAAUCCGGAGAUAAGUUAUAGUUUUGGUCAUCUUCAAAAUCUUGAGAAUCUUCUGUACACAUAUCUUACUCAAAAGGAGACUUUGAGUCAGGAGCAGUAUUACUCAUAUCGUUGAUAUCUGGAGACCUGUUAUAGAGAUGAAGAAAAGUCCAAAGAACGAAAGAAUCUAAGAAUAUUUAUUGGUGGUAUGAUUAUGAAUGAAAUGGAAAGAAUAAAAGAAUAUUUGCUCAAGAUAAUACGCAAAGAUGCAUUCUUAUUAAAAUAACGAUAUUGGAUAAGAGCCUAUUUUACAAAAGGAUUCUUAUUGCCCCUAGGCUUAGAGCAAUAAGCUUGUUUUGGACAUUACUCUGAAUUAAUUUUAAAAGUUACAGGGAUCUCCUCCGCGGUCCAAUUGUUUAAGACGCUCCCAGGCGCAUAUGGGCAAAUGCCUACUUGAUUCUCUUCUCUCGUUUCUUCCUCGGAUAUGGCAUUAAUGCUCAAAGUAGCCUCUUUCCCUGUCGAUUUUCCUUCAGAGUAAAUGGUCCCUCCCGACACGAAUGUUCUAGAUAUAUGAGGAAAGAUCAUGGGCUCCCAUUUGACCUCCUCUCCGUUUAAACGCACUCUUCUUCUCUCUUGCCUUUUCUCUAUUUCCUUUUUCUUUUACCUUGCAUCUGGUUUGUACCCUAAGCUAAAAAGGUCUCGUUUAUCCGUAAGCAUAGGUGUCUUGAUCCUUCCUUGUAAGCUUCUUCCAAGCCCCUUUCCAGGUAAAGCCCCUUUCCAGGUAAAGCUCCUUUCCUAACCGUCAGUUGUAAGCCCAUCCUGGUAGUUUUGGAGAUUUUUGGGCACCGGGACCUUGUUCCCUUCGACGACGAAAGUUGCAUUCACAAAUUCUAGUGAUCAGAAAGAACAUUCUAUUACUUCACAUAUGUCCCCACAUAUGGUGCCUCACUGUAAUGGAGGUAAUGAUAUCCUCUUCCGCGUUUACAGUCACCAGUCGGCCUUCUGUUAUAAAUUUGAGCUUUUGAUGUAAAGAUGAUGGCACUGCCCCCACUGAGUGAAUCUAGGGCCUCCCCAAUAAGCAAUUGUAAGAAGUUUGAAGUCCAUUACUAAGAAAUCCACCUCAUACGUGCUUGGACCGAUCAAAAGGGGUAUUUCAAUCCUUCCUAUUACUUUUCUCUCGGUGCCAUCAAACACCCUUACUAUAUUUUGGCAUGUCUUGAUAUGAGAACUAUCUACUGGCAACCUAUUCAGUGUGGAUAGGGGUAAGACAUUUAGUGUAGACCCAUUGUCAAUCAUACUCCUGGUAGUGUAUGUCCUUUACAGCGGGUGGUGAUGUGUAGCGCCUUUGUUAACCCCAUUCCCCCUAGCGGUAUUUCAUCAUUAUUGAAAAAUAUGAAAUUAUCGGUGCUUAUAUUAUUGACGAGUUGGUCCAGCUUGUUAACAGAGAUAUCAUCUGUGACGUAAGUUUCGUUUAGUACCUUCAUUAACGUGCUCCGAUGUGUCUCUGAACUCAAGAGUAAAGCUAGCACCGAGAUGCGAGCCAAUUGCUUAUGUAACUGUUCAACCACGCUGUACUCACUAUGCUUAAAGAACUUUAGGAAUUCUUUAGCUUCAUUCUCGGUUAUUGGCUCGUUGAUUGGCGAUUCGAGCCUGACCGUCUUUUCCUUCCUUUGUUCGACCACUAGGGUCUUUCCUUUAACAGUUUCAGUUCCUGUACGCGCGGGAUCAUAACGUCUCCUGCUGCGUGUAUAGAAACCUACAUCUUGGUUCUCCCUUGAAGCGCUAGCCGGGUUCUCCCUACCCGGGAUCGUCACGUUGCAGUCGUAAUUCUAGGGAACCCUUUUACUAUCCUUGUAAGGGAAGGAUACCGGAUUCUGGAUUAUGACUCUCGACGCCAUUUGUACUUCUGCUUCAUUGUUCUUUGGUCGCGAAAUUAUCACCACAGGAUGAUUAUCUCUUUAAACCCAUUUUGUUGUUAUUUUCUAUGAGGCAAAACCUCUCAUUCUUCUGGUCAUUCGAUUUCUUCGCAAAAUUCCAUAUCCUUAUUAUCCAUCAGAUUUUGCACUAUAGACCUGAACUUAUUGCACUCUUGGAUGUCAUGGCCUUCAUCAUCAUGAACCUCACAGUAUCUUCUUGCUUCUCUGAGCCUUGAAUCUUGUGUGACUAAACCUUUUUCCACCAUCAUCUUCCAAACCCAUUUCAACAGGAUUUUUACCUUUGAUACAUCUAUCUUGGUUUUCCUCCUUCCCUUUUCAAUUUCGCGUUUACCCCUUUGUCUGAAUGACUAGGUAGCGGAUUCCCUGCCAUAUUAGGUCCUAUGGGCUCAUCGAAUUUCACAACGCCUAUUCCUAUGAGCCUUUCGACUACCUUUUUGAAGGCAGUGUAAUUCUCAAUCGUGUGUCCUGAGAUUCCGGCAUGGUAUUCUCAUUGAGCGUUUGCGUCAUACCACUUAGGGAAUGGAGGUUGCAGGGGUUUCAAGUAGUAAGGUGACACCAUAUGGGCAUCGAAUAAACUCUGAUACAACUCCCCGUAUGACAUUUGGAUAGGCGUAAACUAGACUCUUUCUGUGUUAGGCCUCGGGUUUGAAUCUUGUCUUGUAGAUCCUUGAUGGCUGGUAGUCACUGUCUUUGGUUGGCUCACAGUGACUGGCUUGGAAUAACUCUUAUUGUAUACGCUCGCGUUGUUCACCUCAUUUUCUUUCCUUUUCGAAGCUGAUCUUUUGGCAUUUUCCCCUGUUUCGAUCUUUCUGCAUCUUAUCGCGUUUUCUAUCAUCUCUCUUGACAUUACUAUGUCUGAGAAACUCUUAUUAGCGCUUCCCAACAUGUGGUUGAUAAAUGGAGCUUUCAGAGUGUGGAUAAAGAGUAUAGUCGUUUCUUUCUCCAGAAGAGGUGGUUGGACUUGCAUCGCCACCUCUCUCCAUCUUUGGGCGUACUGCCUGAAGCUCUCAUUUUGUUUCUUCUCCAUGUUUUAUAACGUGAUUCGAUCGGGUGCUAUGUCUGUCACGUAGCCAUAUUGCUUCAUGAAAGCUUGUGCCAAGUCAUUCCAUGAGUGGAUUUGCGCGAGACUUAGUUUGUUGUACCAUUUGGCCGCAGACCCGACCAAACUGUCUUGGAAGGAGUGGAUCAAUAAUUGAUCAUUAUGAACAUACCCUGCCAUUCUUCGACAAAACAUGGUGAUGUGGGCCUCUAGAUAACUAGUUCCAUUGUAUUUUUCAAAGUCUGGGAUUUUGAACUUAGGAGGGAGGACUAGGUCUGGGACCAAGCUCAAAUCUUUAGCAUCGAUCCCACAAUGAUAAUCAGCACUUUCCAUCACUCUGAACUUUUCCUCUAACCACUUGCAUCAGUCUUUCAAAUCUUUUGAGAGCCCCGUACUCACUCUUUCUUCUUCUACCAUGUUAUCUAGAUCAGAGAUUAUAGGAUUAACAGGGUUAUCCCCGAGAUUAGAGCCUGAGCCCGUUUGAUAAUUGAUUGGCAUCGAGGUAUCAGCCUGAAAUUACUGAGGCCUGAUCGUAACGGAUGGUCUUUGCAUGUGUAGCUCGGGUUACGUUUAAGCAUUCAUCGGGGUGAAACCAGGAGGUAGAGGGGAUCUUCAGUAAUGGAUGGCCUCUGCGUGCGUGUUUCAUGCUGUGUUUGGGCAUUUGCCGGGGUAAAACCAGGGGGUAGGGGAAUCUCCAUUUUUAUUUCCCAUAUCGGCCAUAGGGCCCUUUCUUUUGUCUGGCCUACUAGUCAGUAGUCGGGUUAGCUCUUCCAUCAUAUUUCUUUGGGAUUCCAGCAUCUGGUCUCUCAUUUCCUGCUGGAUUUUUGCUAACUAUUCUUGCACUUGUGCUUGCAUCUACUCCUGCAUCUCUUUCUGCAUUUGCUCUAGUCUCUCUAGUUUUUUAUCCGUUGCUUUAGUUUUUCUUCUUGUACUGUAGGGAUGUGUAUUUGGGAGAUUUUCGUCAGUUUCCAGAUUACUGAAAAAUUUUAAUUAAUUAAGGUCUUUUCAUGAAAUUUAAUGCAUAUGAUGAAAUGUAAUGCAAAUGAAUGAAUGCAAAAAGAGGUGUUGAUUCUAAUUCAAUUUAAUUAGAACAACUUUACUAGAAGAAAAUUUUCUUUACAUAGAACGGAUGGUUACAUAUACGACUUUGCCCUAAUGCCCAAAGCCUUAACCUUCCUAAGAAGCCAAGCUAAGUUUCGGCCUCGAUCUGAUUCUGACUCAUAUUUUAGGCUUAAUACAUCAGCCUGAACUGCCAAGGUUUGCAAAUGAUAGGCUAUCUCUCGAAUUUGAGCCACAGCUUCACCCAUGACAUAAUCUCUACUUCUGAUUUGAUCUUGAGAGUGGUGAAGUUGUUCUUUGCAAUGUUCAUUGUUUGCCACAAGGAAUUCCACUCGACAUUUACUAUCUUGUAGUGCCGCAUCGAGUUCCUCUAUCCAUCCUUUCAACUCCUCGAUUUUGCUUAAGUUGGUCUUUAACUCAAUUAUGGAGUUACGGUUACGAUGCAUAUGUAGCGAUUUUUCCAGUUCGACUAUCCGAGCUUGUAAUUUCUAUUUUUCGCUUUGGCUUUCUGACGAACUCUUUUUCAAAACAUCUUCCCGCAUUUGAACAUCUUGAAACAUCUUGAAACUUCUUCUCCCAGUGAUCAGCUCUAGCCUUUUCUCUUUCAAUUUCUUGACGCCACUGAUCCGACGUCUUACCCAAAUCGGCAGUUCUUAUUGACGUACGCAGCUUCUUAUAAUCAGUCUUCAGACUAUCCAAGUCCUCUUCAGCUUUAUUUUUCCCUUUCCUUAGCUUCUCAGCCUCUAGCUUGUGGAUGUCGACAUCUAAUCCUAGCCGCAUCUUUUCCUCCUCUAAUUGCUCUAUCUUCUUUCCCAAUUCUGAGCUCUUUUUCUCAAAGUCUUGCUUGAUGAUUUCUAGCUCGGAUGGGACUACUUGUAAAUACUCUUCUAUUGGUCGGGCAUUUUCCUGACUUAGCAUUGGGAUGUUGUUGUUGACUCUUUUACCCCACCACCGGUCAUACUCAGGGGUCGUCAUUGGACCUGCCGUGAAUCCUUUCAUUCUUCGUGUUUGGUUCCAAGCAUCUGAUAUCUCACGAACCUUCUUCUUAUAAUUGUUGUCUUUAUAGGAGAACUCACAUUGUUCCAACCCUUGUAUCGUUAGUCUAAACUGUCUUGAUCGAUAUUGCCGUAACACGAGUAAUGGAGCGUAUCCAACGGCUCCCUAUAUUCUAGCCAGAGGGACCCAGUCAAAAUCACCGCACCGAUAUAAGAUCCCGUCGGGGAUCAACCAUGGAGCCCUCCAUUCAACAUCUUCGACUCGUAAAUUCUGGAGAAUAGUUAUCCAUUUCCUUUCUGAGAUGUUGUCUCGCCUCGAUGUAGCCACUAACUCUCUUAAUGGGGAAUAGUCCUUGGAGAAAACCCGAUAAGAGACUUUUUCUACCUUCCAAAAAUGGCUAUGGAACCAAGCCAAUAGAAGCUGUGCACAACCAAUAAAUCUUCCUUCGUCUGCUCUCCGACAUGCAUUCAAGGAUCUGAAAGUUUCUGCUAGGAUUACCGGGACGGGUGUGGUCCCUUUAUUAAGGCGAUCGAAUAAAUCCGAGACGACUUCCUCUACAUGUCCUAAUGCCUUAGGAAAGAUAAUCAAACCGUAAAGGCUUAAGGCGAAAACGUCAACCCUCUUUUUCAUAUCCGGAUGUACUAAGAUUAAGUCCAUCAAAUUCCUCCAAUACUAUCCAUUUUUUUCUUGAUCCGAGUUGCAACCCAUUGUUCGCUCAUCCCCGUGGUAUUCAUCAAUUUCUUCAAAAAAUUCAGGACAUUAACAGGUCUUGAAUAGGCCCUGUCGGCCUGAAUCUUCGGGCAAUUAAGUAACGCCAUGUAUUCUUUUACAGUAGGUACUAAAUCGACUCCUCCGAAGGUGAAGCAACUGUAGGCGGAAUUCCAGAACUGCACGAGGGCUCGAAACAAGUAUUUGUCCACCUUUACAUCGAGCAGAUAGGGUAGGUCACCGUAAUUACAGUAAAAGAGUUGCUUGACCUUAUUAUUCCAACUAUUCCAUAUAUCCUUUAAUUCUUACAGGUCGUUCUAAGUCACACUGAUGCGAGUGAAAUCCCACAACUCCGAUUCAUAUCCGCCGGUCAAACUAUCUCCUUUCUCUUGUUGCGUUAUCUCAAACCACACUUGGACGGCCACAUUAUCCUCCACUCUAUCAAGAAAUCUUUUUUCCAUGCUAAACUUUUCUAUCUAGUAACCGAAUGUGAAUCAACACCUUUUUAUGAUGAGAUGCCAUGCAAUAAUAGCAAAAUACAACAAGUCAGUAUUAAAACAAAGAAUAAAACUCAAAGCAAACAGGAAAUAAUUAAGCACCUAAUCAGGUAACCACUAGGGUUUAGUGUGUUUCUAGGGUAGGCUCUUAGGGCUCAUUACAUGUGGUUCGAUUCUAAAGUAAAGGUACCUGAACCAGCAGAUUCUUCGAUCCUCACCCAUUAUAGGCUCAUAUGGGCCGAGUUCGAUUUAGAGGAAUACAUUUCCCUACGGCUAUACGGAGAUGAAAAUCUCACGAAGACGCAAGUACGGAUGUAUCCAGAAAGCGAUCCACUAUCCUAUACGGAGGUGAAGACCUCACGAAGGAGUAGUUUCUCACUUCCACUUAAGAGGUAAAAUUGACUGAUUAUGCAGUAUGAUGCGCAAAAGUAUACUUAAAAGAGUUAAACAGAAAGCCAAUCAUAAAAAAAAACAAAAACCACAAAGGGGAAAUGCCAUGAAAUGAUCGCAAGUUUAAAACGAAUUUUUAAUUUUUGACAAAGGACAAAAACUAAUCAAUUUAUGGCUCGACCUUUAGCAGAGUCGCCAGCUGUCAAACCAUUUUUUUGAAAACGGGUAUCGACUUUGUUCGAAAGUGAAGAUUAAAACAGGAGUCGCCACCGAUCUUUAUUUGGUGUGAUCGGAUCACCUUUAUUUAAAAAAAACAAUUUUAGUUUACUAAAACAACAUUUUGGUCUACGAAAUUCAAGAGAACAAGUUCGGGAGUCGGUUACGUGCGAGGAAGGAUUAGCACCCUCGACACGCCCAAAAAUUGGUACCGAACUGAUUAAUUAGUGUCUUAAUGUCGAAAAUUGAAAAUCAGGAAUAGAUUUGUAAUACGAUCCUUUUUUAUUUACAUCGAUUUUAAAAUUCUUGAAUUAGCUCAAAACGAUUGUUAAAGAUUUCCUUAUCUCGAGAUAUCGGAGAAUCACAUCCCGUAAGUUAGGACACAAUACCAUGAAUUCCCGAGCGUAAGGUCGUCUUUAAUUUAAAUUGGAACCCCGUGUAUUUUAAAACUCAAAAGGAUAUUUAGCUAUUUAGAAUCAACAAGAGAACCGAAACCCCGUAAGUUAGGGCACAAUUCUUCGAUAUUCCAAAACGCGAAACAUUGCCUCAUUUUGAAAUUUCAUUUUUUGAAUAGUAGUGAAUACGGUAUUUAAACGACAUAUAUUAUUUGUUUAGGUUAAAAUAAAACGUUUUAUUGGAUAAAUGUAUUGGGGUUUAAUUCAUGAGGCGAUGAUAUGAAAAAAUAUAGUAAUGAAUAUGAGACAAAUUAAAUAUUAUACAUGAAAAUUUAGAAUAGAACAUAUAUAAAAUAAUCUAAAGUAAAGAAUAUAUUAAAAUAAAUAAUACGUGAGAAAUAAAAAAAUGAAUUUUAAACGAUUAGAGUAGUGUAAACGAAUAAAGUAUGAAAGGAAACUUAAAAUGGAUAAUACAUAUACAACCGUUUAAAACAAAUAACGUAUAAAAAUAUUUAAAAAUAAGUGAUAUGUAUAGUAGUUAAAACAAAUAAUAUAUGUAAAAAUAUUUAAAAUCUAUAACAAUUUACAAUACAUAAGACGUAAAAAGGAUUACGAUAACUAAUAAUAAAAUGUUCUAAUAUAAAUAAUGUAAGAUAAACAAACUUAAAAUAACUAACAAUAAAACAGCUCCUAAAAAGUUGAAAUAAUAAAUAAAUGAACAAAUUAAAUAGAUUAGGGCUAAGCUGAAAUUUAAUUAAAAUUUAAGAUGCAAAUUGUAAAAAAAUAGGCCACUAAGGACCGAAGUGAAACGCGCAUAAAGAACGAGGGACUGGUUGGGAAAAUAUUCCCGCCCUCCAUGCGCAGUGUUUCAAACGGGACAAAAUUGAGAUGAGAGCAAAGAACACGGGAUCAAAAUUUAAAAAAAAACGCAAAAGAAAGAAUAAAAGGGGGCAAAUUGAAAACAAGAGGCAAAACAGAAGGACCCACAGCGCAAAUAUCCCAUUUGAGCUUUAAAAACAUGCGGAUCGCCCCAUUAAUCGGGUCGGGUCGCGGGUUCCCUCCCCAAAACGACCUCGUUUUGAGGCGUGUGGGGAGGGUAGUAAAACGCUGUCGUUUUACUCUGCUAUUAAAGCCCAUUUUUUUUUUUUUUAAUUUCAGCAACAUCUAAAAAAAAAUAAAGAGUUCUCAUUGCUCUCCCUUCACUCCCAUGUCUGGCGAUAGGGUUUCCCGGUGUCCAUUGCGCCGCCGUUGUGGGCUAGUGGCCGGCGUUGCGCGAAUGGGAUUUUUCCGGCUCCGAGGAGGCCAACGGAGAAGAGUAACCUCCCUUUUCUACUCUUUCGUUUUAUUUUUUUAUUCCAAAAAAAUAUAAAAGAAAACAAAAGCUACAGAUAUUUAAGAGCAAAAAUGAAAUAAAAGAGGAAUCACCUUCUAAAGUUUUGGUUUUUGAUUGAUUUUUUGUAUUAGAUUCUCUUUGUUUUUUUGUGUUUCAAAACUGACUUAAGAAAAAAGAAUAAAAAAUAAAGGAUAAAAAAAAUAAGAAACGGAGAUAAAAAGACGAGAGAAUGAAGUUCAACCUUUUUAUUUUUUGAUUGCUUAAAUCGUGUCCUUUACAAUAUUUCGUGUUUGUGGCUAUAUAGCCGAAUACAAAAAUGCUUUAGGCUAUUCCUUGCUACUGUUUUGCUUCGUUUCUGCUUUUUGCUUUCUUUUUGUUUCUGUUUUUGUAGGCUUAGAGGGUCAAUGAGGGCGAAAACAUGCCAUUUUGGUGCGAGGAAACAGCCAUCGGGCGGAGGGUACGCUGACGGAGGCACGUGGGGUGCGGCGCAACCAAGGCUGCGGCGCUGGAGUGGAUGGGAACCUUAGGGUUUCCUGAAAAUUUCAAAUAUUUUGGGCCAAUCGGGCCUUGUGAUGUUGGGCUCAGGAUUUUGGGUUGUGUUUUGGGUCUUAAUUGGGCUGAUGGUUUAGGUUAGGUGUUGGGUCUUGUAAUUGAACUGUAAAUAUUUUGGGCCUGAGCAAAAUUUGGGUCCUACAGAUAAAAUUAUUAGAAAUUUUAUUUUGAGUCAUUAUGAUGCUAAACGAUGCAUUAAUUUAAUCCAGUGGGAUGCUAAGUCUUAGGAUUGGUUUGCACACAAUAUAUUUUAUUAACAAGUAUUUUCUUAUUAAAUUCGGAUUCCAAUUGAUCUAAAAUUAAUAUAAUGCUUUUCGAGUUUUAAAGUCAACUUAUAAGUGGAAGGAAAACAUUAUGUUUUGUCGAUAUUUGAAUAGUUUCUCUAGAUUAUGGAAAGGUAUCUCUACAAUUUGUGGAGCAGUUUAAGAUGGCAUAAUUUGGAAUUUAGGAAUGGGAAAACCAUUGACUUUUAGAGGGAUAAAUGUGACAUGAGUCUCAAUGCCAAUUUUAGGCUCAUAGAUGUGAUGGGCUUACACUACCUCAAGGCCCAACAAUAAGGUUAAAUGCCAAGCAAAUCAAACCAAGAUUCCACCAAAGCCAGUAUGUGAGGAUUAAUCUUUUCAAGGAAACCAAGAAUGAUACAUGCACGGAAUGGGUGAAAUGUAUUAAAGUCAAUUCAACCAAGCUGUCAAUUUUCAACCUGAAAAGAUUACUCAACUUUUGACAAAUUUUUGGAUGGGAUCUAGGCAUUUCUGGAUUAAAAUGUCUUCAUAGCGUUUGAAGAUCUAUCUCUUAGAUUCGAAACGCACUUUGAAUCACUUCAUUUUAAGUUUGAGAACUCAAGUUAUGACCGUUUUAGUGAAGACCAUGUGAACAGAAUUUCUGGACAGGAUUAUGAUAAGAAUUACAAGUUUCAAGCUUUUUAUUUGAGUUGAAAUCAUAUUGGGUUCAAGUUUUAGGCUUAAUUUUUAUUAUAUAUGAGUCUAAUAUUUUAUUUAUCAGCUCUUAUUAUUUUAUUAUUUUUUAUUCCAAAUUUUUUUAUAAUUAUUAAGUAUUUUAAGUUAUUUAGGAGUUUUAUGCCAACAAGAAAGUUUAGUUUAAAACUACUUCUUGUUUUGGUUAAUUAGAGUUCUAGUAUACUUAAGAGUUUUAUUUAUAUUUAUUUAGCUAGCCUAUAUAAAGGACUUUGCAUUGUACACAAAGGAAUCAAUUUAUUAUUAUUUAACAACUUCUAUUUUGAGUUUUUUUUUCAAGAAUUUUUCUUGAGUUUUUUUUAGAAGAGUUUUAAAAAUCUUUUCCAUGGGGAUCAUCUUCAAAUUUUUUCUUGCUAAAUUUUCUUUCUUUGAGGGGAAAUUAGAGUCACUUGAAGGAGGUUGUGGAUUCUUCUAUUUCCAAGGCUCUUAGGACUUCUACACGUCACGUUCUAUCUUUUCCAUCUAUCUUCUUUACUUUCAUCUUUAUUGUUCUAAUCUUUGAUUUAUUGAUCUACUUUAUUUAUCUUAGUUAUUUAUUUUAAUUGUUUUAUCUGACUUGGAUUCAGUUACGUUUCAGGUUGUGUCAAAAUCCAAGUUUUUUUCUGAACGUCUAGAGCUCUAAGUUAAAUCUGCAACUUGGACAAACUUUACGAUCCGGUUCCACACACUCAUCCAUCCAUUUCAUCCAUAUCAAAAUGGAUAGAAGUUGAGUACCCAUUUUUCAUUAUGUUCAGUAGGUAGAGAACUUGUCUAGUUCACUUACAUCAGUUAUGUCUAUGAUAGUAGAUGAUUGUUCAUAGGACUAGAGUAAAUUUGGAUACUUAGUUCUCAAGGAUGUUGUUUUGAAAAUUGCUACUUCCUUGCCCCUAAUAGAAUAUGAGAUUGAUGAUACACCAAGCUGGUGUUGGGAUGAAAAGAGAAGUUCCACAAUAAAGUUUGCUUACAGAUCUUUAAUUUACCAAAUAAGGAUCCACGAUGGUAUUAAUUGAAAAUAUUUAGGAUCUCUGUGAGUUAAAGCUUCCUUAUGAAUUGUUUGUAAAGGUAAAAUCCUCACGAAUUUUGAGAGGUGUAGAAGAAAACUCAAUGAUAAUAUGAAUUGCCCUUUUUUGUUACAAUUGUGUUGAAGAUAUUGAUCAAGUCUUAGAACAUGUUUGUAUGCCUCUAGCAUUUGGUCUAAGUUAGUUAAGCAUGAGAAAUUAAAUGAAUUUCUUAGCUGGGGUAUCAUAAGUUGUGCUUUUAGGAACCUAAAGAGGCUAGAUUAUUGCUUGGAGAACCCAAUUUGGAUUUUGUUGUUGGGGACUGUGGAAAUGUAGAUGUCAGUGUACUUUUUACCAGAAUUUUGUAGAGAAAGAAGGGGUCUGAUAGUGAACUGUAUGCCUUUUUUAUGAACUAAUGGAUUUUGUGCUUUUCAAUGUUAAAAUUUUAAUGGUUCUAAUGGAAUGUGAUUCAUUGAAAUGUGAUUGAUGAGAAUAUUCUUACUAGGAAAGUUAUUUUACAAGGUUUAGUAUACACUAGAAAGUAUUAAUUAAAAUCCUAGGAAAGUUACAUUAACAUGUUUAGUACAUCUAACACAUCCUUGAGAAUGUAAGGUUACUUUACAAAAUUACCCUUAUUAAGUAAAAAAUAAUAUUAAUGUAUUUUAACAUUUUUAUUAUUAAUAAAUAUUUGAAUAAAAUAUUUAAUAAUAUUUACUAUUAACAAAUAUUUAAAUUAAUCUACAAGAUAUGAUUUUUUUGAUAUUUUGAUCGAAUCCAUUAUAUGAAUACAUUAAAAAAAAAACUUGCAUAUUAACUCAAGAUUGUGAAUAUGUACGACUAACAAUUUUUUCUUGUAUUACAUUCAAGGUAUAAAUUCAAGUAUAUAGCUUGAAACUAUUUUGGUACUAAUUCUUUUAAAUUGGUAGUUUGAUUUUGAUGUAUGACAUUUUUUCAAUAGCCAUUAGAUUUUCAAUUUUUAACACAAAGGAAUUAUCAUGUGAGUUUUGUUAGGGUCACAUGUCAUAGAUCUUUCUUGAUGAGAAAAUUAGGCAAUGAACUAAUUUAAGAUUUGAAUUUGAGAUUAGGUGAUACCAAUAUUAUUGUUGGAGUAAUGAGAUAUCAUCUGCGAAUAGGCUUGGUGUGCACACAAAUACUUAAUUCUACAUGUCUUAAAGUUUUUUAUGCUAGAAAACAUAAUGUACUUAUAACAUAAUAAAAUAUAAAUAUUUACUUUUAAAAACUUUGAAAUAAUGAAUUGAAGCUGUAUAGAUGAAUAAGAGACAACUACCUUUUUUUCUUUUUAUGUUGGAUAAAUUAAUUAGUACCCUAAGCAUAAAGAAAAUAAAAGUUAAUUGUCUAAAUAUUUUCUUUUUAUUUCUCAUCUAGAGGAAAAGUAAUUUUCGCACCAAUUAUCAAAGUAACCAUUUUUCAUUUUUUUUAGGAAAAUAACUCCCAAGACAAUACUAUAUUCCUUGGAGAUGAUCAAGUAGGAUGGAUACAAGGUUUUGGAGGAUGGCAUUGGGGUGCUUUUGAGGGGCUUGGACAAGCUUGGGACGUCAGGAUUGAAAAAGUGGUUUUGGAGAUUGAGAAAUUUUCAGUAGUAAAAUGUUACGCAUCAAGAAGGAAAGGAGUUGGCUCAUAUUGUCCAAUUAAAGUUGAACAUAUUUAUAGGAGGGCAAUCUCGAUAGUUUGGCGUCAAGGACUCUCUCCUUUGGGUGUUUGGAUUUGUACAAACCUCCUUCUAGUGUUGGAACUACUAGAUGAUAUUAGUCAAAUAGUUUGACAAAGGUUAUGCUAUAUGUUUAAUGUUAUUUAUUUUUUAAUUUCUGUUGAUCCAAGUUUUCAUUUUUCUUUGAAAGUUAUAUGAAUUUUGAAAUCCUAAAAAUGGGAUUCAUACAUUUCCAUGGAUGGAAAUAAUAAAGUUCAACCUAAUUGCACUGCGUAAAGUAAGAUUAGACUAAUGGAAAACAGAAAAUGCUUUAUGCUUUACUACAAACAAAUAGUAUCCCCUCUUCUCAUCAUUUAUAAAAAGGCAGGGUAUCCAAAGAUCCGACUUAAGAUUUAAUAUUAACUAAAAGUUACACUUUUAACAGUAUGACUCUGCCCAUUGUUUUAGUAAUACUGGGAGUCCAACUAGCAGCAAACACCACAAGGUCUUAUUAUCUUUGAUAGGUAGCGCCAGCAUUUUGGUAAAUAAAUAAGUGGAGCUUUUUAGCGGGUGGGGGCAGAUUUAGGGCAUUUGAGACCUUGCUUCCCUUCUCAGCACUCCGCAGCGAACAGACCAGGCGGAUAUUUGCCGUAAAGGUUGAUGUAGCUGAACAUGGUGGAAGCACAAUCGGUUCUAAAAUCAUUGAUCUGUUUUGCAUAAGGGCAUGCGAAUUUCUUGAACGUUGCACAACAGCAACGAUUUGCUGGGUAUUAUAAUUCAGGAAUUCAAACUUAAUAGAUCAAGCUGCACAAGAUUAAAUAAAUAAAUAUCAAAUUUACACGAGUUGUAAUCUAAUAUAUAUGCAAUUGUACUCAUUUAAAGAAAUGAAAAUAUUUAUUUUCAUAUCAUAUUAACAUAAUUGUUUGUGUAUGUAGUAUAUCAAUAUAAAAUAAUAUUAAUUUGAUAACGUCAUUAAUAAUUUAUGAAAAUUGAAUUAAAUAAAAAUUUCAUGUUCAAAAUCAAUGUUCAUAAAAAUUCAUGUACAGUUAUAAUAUUUAUCCCUAAAAAUACAAUAAAUCAUGUUAAAUGAUCUUCCAAAACAUGAGCGAAUCAAAUCUAAGAAUUUAACAUUAUGUUCGGGUAUAUCAUUGUAAAGGAAAAGAAAGGUAAAAGGAAGAUUUUAUUUUGUGUAGAUAGUUUGAAAUUAAUAAAGGAAAGUUUUGUUUGGUGAAGAGAAUGAUUAUAUGUAAUAAUUGUAUUUGUAAAAGAUUAGUAGCAUAACUUGAGUAUUUUACAGAAACAUCACUUUCUUUUUUCCAAUUUUUGUAGAAAGUAAAGGAUAUUCCUUUGCUUAAAUGAAAAAAAUCCAAAUAUUAAAUUGUUGGGAUAGAAAGAAAAGGUUAAAAGUAGAAAGGAAGACCUUUCUUUACCUGAAGCAGAUGGCUGGUUGUAGAAGCGAGAGAAGCGGAGCCACUAUCUGCAUCAGAACAUUAAGACAAAACUAAAACAUCACACCAUCUAAUGUAUCUGAUACAAGUUGAGAUGAAUACCAGAAAUGGAAGUAGACGCAGCAGCCAUAACUAUGAUAAUUGCCAAAUAAGACAACAACCAAUUUCUCUCCAUUCUUUCUUCUUCUUCUUCUUCUUCUUCUUCUUAGCCAAACUAGUUCAAUACUAUGUGGUUGCUAGUUAGAGAUGGUUAAAUGCGGAUAACACUGCUUUGAUGACUGAAAAGCAACGCCUUCAUUUGAUGGAAGACUUGACACAAUCAACAUGAUCUAAGUCUUUGCAUACAAGUGGCUGUCACAUUUAAGUUAGAUUGUUUUACCAAUUUUUUUGUGUUCAAUAGAAAAUAAUUUAUUGAUUAACGAAAAAUAAUUUCAUUUUACUGUAAAUUGAUUUCUCAUUUUUCGAAAAAUAAUUCUCUACUUAGAAAUUUUAUUUUUAUAUAAAAAUUCAAUUGAAUCAAGUAUAAUAUUAUUAUAUUAAUAAUAAAUUUUUAUUUUUAUUUUAAAAAUACUAAAAUAUUAAUAUAAAAUAUUAUAAUGUUCAAUAUUUUUAAAAAUUCAUACUUAAUUAGUUAUAUUUAAUAAUAUAAAUAUUAAUAAAUUAUUUAAUAUUACAAUUUUAUUUUAAUAAUAGAUUUUAACAAUAAUAAUUUUAAAAUUUAAAUAAUAUUAUAAUAUAUUAUUGAAAACUAUUUAUAUUAAUAUUUAAAUAACAAAAAUAUAUUAUAAUUUAUAAAUAUUUAAUAAUAAAUAUUUUAUAUAAAUUUUCAUUGUCAAAAAGAGGUGUUUCUAUAAUACUUUCUAACAAAUAUAUUUAUGUGGUACUUAUUUUACAUCUAUCCAUGAGUCGGGUGGUUGACCUAGUUUAACUUGAGCGAGUUUGGGCAAAGAUUUUAUGCCCUCAGAUUGGUCCACCCCAAUUUAAAAUUAAAUGUUUUUAUUUUAAAUUUAGUUAUAGUAUAUAAAUAUUAAUUUCACAUAAUAUAUUUUUACAAUUUUAUCAUUUUUCUAAAUAGCGAUAUGGGCAAGUUGAGUAUGAAUUUUUUUUAAAAAAAAAUUUUGAGCAUUGGUUCGGCCCGACCUAUAAAUAUGUCUAAACUUGUUUCACUAAGAACAACUUUUAGAUCAUGAUUUUAGGAAAAUAUGCUAAACAAUGAAAAAUAUUUUAUCCAAAAUCUUUCAAACACCAAAAAAUAUCAAAAUUUUUCAGAAAAUUAAUUCAUCUUUCAAAAAUUAUUUUCCAAAAGCUGUUUUUAAUUUUUUUAAAAAAAUAGAAAUAUUUAUUAAAUACAAAUGUAAAACAUAAAUAUAUUUGGAGUAAGCAGUGGGAGAGCAUAGUUUUCCAUUACCAUCUUACACAUCCUUGUUUUCUUUUCUUCUGGCGCACAGCAGGUUGGCAGUCCACCACCACUUCUUAUAAUAAUCAGAAAUUUGGAUUGUUUUUCCUAUUCAACUUAUAUAACUGAAUAUCAAAUCCUGAUUCUAACUUAGUAGUUCUAUCUCGUAUUCACAAUCAUAGUGGAUAGAGAUAUUGUUAUUAGAGUAGGGAGAAAAAUGGCAUGAGCAGAACAAGAUAUGGACAUGAUAAACUACAUUGAACUUGGAAAUUAAUACAAUACAUGACAGCAUUUUGAAGUUGUAACAAUAUUAACUUCAUGCUAAGAUAAGGGAGAAGAGUGGAAGAAGAGGCAGAUGGCUGAAAUAUCAUCCAUUGCAAUAUCCUUCCUCUUCUUUUUCCAAGCCCGGACUGCAUACUCCACUAGCCGCUUAGCUGCCUUCUGCUUGUCCGGUGUCGAAGAUACUAUUUGAACUGCUUCCUGAUUGGAUACAACAUCCCAUACCUGCAGAACAAAGCUUUAGUCACGAUCAACAGCAUUGUCAUUUUAUCAACUUUGAUCAAACCCUUAGUUAUAUAUGCAUACCCCGUCGGUAGCCAGCACCACGAAUUGGUCUCUGCUGGUUAUAUGUCUUUGUGUGACUUCUGGAACCGAAAUAAGACCGUAAUCUUUUAUGCAGUAGUCCCCGAAAGCUCUCGACAUUGCCAGCCCUGGUGACUCCUCAUCAGGUAGCCAAACCCUGUGCACCCCUGGCUCAUCAUGCAGGCAGAAAACUCGACCUUUGCACUGAACUAUUCGCUCGGCCUCCUCUGCAAGCAACAUCAACCAAAAACAUAAGGAUUCUUAAUGGCUUCUCUUUCCAACAGUUUUAGAGAGUGUGGCGAGAACUCACGAGGUAAAUUUGGAUUGAAAUCGAUGGUAAGCUGAACGGGAACCAAGUUUCCAUCAUCUGAUGUAGUAGCCAGAACAGCCCGUGAAUCACCAAUGUUGGCUACAUAUAUGAGGUCACCCUGUCCAAUAUAAAUGUCAAAUUAUUCUCAAAUAUCAUAAUAGUUGAAGCAAAUACCCAGAGUAUUCCAUAAUAAGAGCUUAGUUUACCUGUCUGACAAUUGUUAAGGCAGUUGUUCCACUGUAAAAGGAAUCGAUCUUCCUAUGUUGCUCGAGCUCGUGAUCAACUGCUGCACAAGUCCUCAGAUAAGAAUGCUUCCAUAUAUGAAACCUCUGAUGCUUUUUAUCAGACUCUAAAUCGAUCUCCGGGUCAAGGGAUGCCUGAGCUAGAGUUUCUUGCCAAUUGCAAAGCAACGAUGAAGGCAUUGAUUCUCGAACCUUUUUGGCUACAAAAUGACCCCAUGGACCAUGCCCAUCAAAUAUCCCGCAAAACAACAUGUCUGCUUGACAUCCAAAUUCCUAUUCCGAGUAAACAAAAGCCACAUUUAUGAAUCAUAAAAGGGAGUCAAUUUACAAGGUAUACAAAGUACAUACUCAAUGUUUUAUACCUCCCAUACAAUGGCACAAUCCUGGUUCACUCCUUUCCUGCCUCUCUUGGAGAAAACUGAGGCCAAAUUGUUGGAACCAUCGACAUUUACAGAACCGGAAGACCUCAAAAUCAGGUAAUUUUUCUUUGCAUUCUUUGCCAUUGCCUCAGCAGCUUCUCUUCCAUCACCAUUCCCUGAAAUUUUCCCACUUAUUGACCUUGCUAACCCAUUGAACAUGGAAGAAAAUUGCCUCAUUGUCUCUACCAUUCAAUACCCACCACCAAAAAAAAAAAGAGAGCCUGCUUUCCUCAUUGUAGAUCCAGAGUCUGCCCACAGAAAACAAAUAAAUAGUCACACAAAGUUACAGACAAGUAAAAGAAGCCUUGGGAAUACUUCCUUUUUCUAGUUUUUGUUUUGUUUAAAUCCUUGCUCCAGACAUGGUAGGUAGAAGGUUAAAAGAACAUUGAACUUGAGUAAUACAGUUAGCCAAGAAAAGACAUAAUCCGACUCAGAAAGGUAGGAAUCUAACAAUUUAAUAACAGUAAAAAAAUUAGAACCUGUUGUUAAUGUGAAACACUUUACAGAGAAUAUUCAUCAUGACAUGGAACUCUAAUAGAAAUUUGAAAGAGGCUAAACAAGUGCCGGCUAGUAAAUAGAUAAACUCAACACUUGAGGCUUAGCUGGCUAUACCCCAUCAACAGGUCUGUUUGGUUGCUGAGAAAGGAUACUGGGAACAAAAGGGCAAACUAGAAAUUGCAAAGUUUUAGUAUGUUCAAGGACAGGUGAGUGGCUACUUGAAAAGUAAAUAAAAAAAAAAAAAGAGGGGAAAUCUAGAGUUCACUAGAACUUCAACUUAGUUGAAAUUUCCCUUUAUGGUAAAGGCAAAAACUAAAAGGAAGAGCUUUCUGUUUUUCCUUAGAUAAUAUGAUAUAUUAUUCCUUUACUCCCUACCCUUUUAUUCGAUUUUCCUGAAAAUCAAAGAAAAAUAAAAUUUAACGUGCAAAGUUGCUGGAGUAACACGACUUUAAAAUUUGCACAUUAAAUCUCAGUACUAGUUUUUCUCUGAUGAUACCUAUAAAUUAAUCUCGAGUACUAAGAUUUGAUCAUAUUUUCCUUCUCUCUCACACAAAUCCAGAAACCAGGCUUUUCUUUCACUUUCUCAGCAAUCAAUCAAGCCAGUCCAACCAGAGGGAAAAAAUGCACCAAGAUCAAACCCAGAAAAAUGGAAAAGAGAAGCUGUAAUUAGACUGGGAAGCUAAUGCAAGCAACCAGAAUGUGAUGACUUGAUCUUCACGAGAAAAGCUAAGAAACUGAGAGAUAGAAGAUGGAGAAGGAUGUGAAAAGAUAGGCAUACUUAAAAAGAAAGAAAAAUUCCUUCGUUUGGUUCUGGGUUUUUAAGCUCCAAUUCUUAUCAGUGAAGAAGAAUAAAGAAACAAAAGAAGCAGUAAGCUUUGUACAUGCAAAAUUGCAAGCACAAGCACUUCCAUUUUUCUGUUCUAAGAACGUUAAACUUAAAAACCCAGACUUCCUUUUUUGCCUUCGUUAUCCAACAACAUUUUUCUCUUUGCCCUGCCCAUUUUCGUUAAACCUUUUAUAAGCUCCUUUAGCUUUCUUUUCGUUUCCCUUUUUAUAAUAUAAGGGUUGAAUUUGGUUUAUUUAGAUACAGCUCAUGAUUUGGUGUGUUUUAUAAUUUAGCAUUAAUUCUUGAAUAAAAAGAUUACUAGAAUUUAAUUGUAGAUUCAUGUGGAGUUCAAUAAUACUUUUUUUACAUAUAUAUUAUAAAAAUAGGAGGAAAAAUGAGAACGACAAAUUUUGAAUUUUAGUGUUGCUCUGUACAACAUUAAUCAUAUCUUGUAUCAAUUAAUGUACUAAUUUCAGUAGCAUAAAUAUGAUUAGGAUAAAUUAUAAAAAUAGUAACUUUUAUUUGUCUCAUAUUAUAUUUUAGUUACUUAUGUUUGAAAUGUUACGUUUUAGUCAUUUACGUUAUCGUUUUGUUACGAAGUGGUCACACUAUUAUUAAACUCUGUUACCUCCCUAAUGACGAUCCUACAUGGCAGUCCAAAUGAGUUUUAAAUGCCAACUUGGAUGUCUAGUUGUUGGGAUGAAAAUAAGUUUUUAAUUAAAUAAAUUUAAUUUGGACUGUGUUAAGGAUUGGAAACAAUUAUAGUAGUUAGUAGUUAGAGCUUAGUAGUUAUGUAGUUAUAGUUAGUUAACUGUUAAUACUUUGUGUUAUAAAUGCUGUGCUUUGUAUUCUGUAAUUCAUGUUCUUUUGUUAAUCAUUUUCACUUUUCUUGAUUCGAUUCUAUAGAUCUCAUUAUGGCAUCUGAGCCUUAAAUUUUUUUCGCCUUCUCUGCAUUUCUUCUUUUUGCUUCUACCAUGGCGAAAAAAGCAGUUUCUAGCAAUGAUGAAGACAAUCGCCACUCAAUCAACACGGCUACACCUAUAGCUGGCUCUUCUCCCGAUCCUGGUUGUAAUUCUUUGAGAAAGAUUCAACAGUUUUCUAAACAUGAUACGAUGAAACUAAGUGAGCUUAACUUUCUUUUAUGGAAACAGCAGGUUCUGUUAAUUCUUGAGGGGUAUGGGUUGCAUGAUUUUGUUCUUAGAACUAUUAAUGUUCCUCCACAGUCUUUUGUUGAAAGAAAUGGCAACCUUGUUGCUAACCCUGACUUCUUGUUUCAUAAGCAACAAGAUAAGCUGUUAGCCUCAUGGUUAUUGUCCACUAUCUGUGAUGAGAUCUUGGUGUAUCUUACUAGUGCUUAAUCGAGCUUUGAUGUAUGGCAAACAGUUUUUCGGCGAUUUGCUACCAAGUCCACUAUGACAGUUUCCACUCUAAGGCAUUCUUUAUAUUCCCACAAGAAAAGACAGUUAACUGUUAAAGAGUACUUGGCCAAGAUCAAAGGUUUGUGUGACACUUUGAUGAUUGCAGGCAGUUUUAUUUCUGAGCAGGAACAGAUUAGCAUCAUUCUUGCUGGUCUGUCAGUGGAAUAUGAGUCAAUUCGUAUUGUGGCUUCAGCAAUGAGUGUUCCUAUUGAUCUUCUUGUUGAAAUGCUGACUGAUUGUGAAGCUCGACAACAAGACUUUGUUUCGAGUAUGCCCUUACAGGCUAAUGUUGCUUAACACAGUGGUACUGUUGAAAGAAAUGCUGGGCAGUUUGACAGAGGCUCUAGACCACCUUAAAAAGGAAGUGGCUCUAGGACGUUUCGAGGCAGAGGCCAAGGGAGGAGGUUUGCUCAUAACAAACCUCAAUGCCAGUUGUGUGGUCGAAUUGGACACACAAUUUAAAAAUGUUACUACUGAUUUGAUGAAUCAUUUGAAGGUGUGUCUAAUCAGCCAAUGCAAGUACAUUGUCAUCAGUUUCAGGAUUCUUCUAAUUCACAGUAUGGAGGUUCUUAUUGUUGUUCUCAAAGGCCCAUUGUACAACACUCUGGCUUGCAAGUUAAUGCUGCCUCCACCAAAGAACAGUUUCCCACAGGCUUCCUGAACACAAAAGUCUGGUAUCCAAACUCGGGAGCGUCCAACCAUGUUACAAAUGACUUGGAUAAUUUCCAUGAGGCAACACAAUAUACAAGUAACAACAGGCUUUUCAUGGGAAAUGGUGUGUCUGUACUAGUGGCUCACAUUGGCUCCUCCUCUUUUACAAGUUCAAACAGAAUUUUUCAUUUGAAAAAUGUGUUGCAUGUUCCAAAAAUUUGCAAAAACUUAUUGUCUAUUGCCCAAUUUGCUAAUAAUAAUCAGGUUCAUUUUGAAUUUCACCUUUUCUAUUGCUUUUUGAAGGAUAUCAAGACAGGGACCAUAUUGUUGGUGGGCCGCAUUCAUGAUGGCCUGUACCAGUUCGAUUUGUUAGGCACUCAGAGAUUUAACACUGCUUCAAAUCCUUCAGGUAUUGCUCACACCACUCAUCUGGGAUCUCCUGUUUCUAUUAGUUCAAUAUUUUAUUUGUGGCACAAACGCCUUGGUCAUCCUUGUAAUAAAACUGUUAUGACAGUUCUUUAAAAGUGUAAUGUUGUUUCAAAGAUUAUAGGUUGAAUUCAGUUUGUUCAGCAUGUCAACUUAGAAAGUUUCAUAAGCUUUCAUUUUCUCCCUCAACUACUGUUUAUACAGCUCCUUUUGAACUUAUUGUAUCCGAUCUCUUGGGUCCUACUCCUGUGGCAUCUGACGGUCACUUUUAUUAUGUCUCAUUUGUUGAUGCCUAUUCUAGGUACACUUGGAUGUAUCUUAUCAAAUGCAAGUCUAAGGCAUUGGACAGUUUUCUUAAUCUACAGAAAUUUAUUGAAGUUCAGUUUGGAUGUAAAAUAAAGAUUCUUCAAACUAAUUGAGGAGGAGAAUUUUGUUCUUUUCCAAAGGUCCUAUCUCAGUUGGGGAUUCAUCACCAACUCUCUUAUCCUCAUACUUCUGAACAAAAUGGCUUGGUAGAGAGGAAACAUAAGCAUAUAAUCAAUACUGGUCUAACUUUGUUGGCUCAGGCUAAUAUGCCUAUGCAUCUUUGGGCUCAUGCUUUCAUCAGUGUUGUAUACCUUAUCAACAGACUUCCCACAUCAUUUCUCACUGGCAGAUCACCCUAUGAGGUGUUACAUAAAACUAUGUCUAGCUACAUGCAUUUAAAAGUAUUUGGCUGCAGGUGCUAUCCUUAUCCUAGACCUUUUAAUUCUCAUAAACUCUAAUAUCUUUCCUGGCCUUGUGUGUUCUUUGGCUACAACCCUAUUCAUAAAGGAUAUAAAUGUCUCGAUGCUACCAGUAGGAUUUUUAUCUCUAGGUAUGUGGUGUUUGAUGAAACCUGCUUUCUUUUUGCCAGUUCUGCCGGCUCUAGAGGUGAUUCUGUCCCUUCUUGCACUUAACCUAAGUUCCAACAUUAGCAGUCUCAUAUUCUAGUUGUGGUGCCCCCUGUGGAUCAACCUCGAUUUGAUGCUCCAAAUUUGUCUAUCAUUUUAGACCAGCAAAUUCCAGGACUUGUGUCAGGAUCUGCUAUUUCACCCACUGGUCCUCUUCUUUUAGAGUCUCCUGCCUUCGAGGUAAGGCCAAAUGCCAGCUUCUCAGCAAGGCAUGAAACUUCCAAUAGUCAUUCCACUCAUCCUUCAAAUUCAUCUCCUCCUGAUGUUUUUCCUUCAGUCCCUUCCAAUCAGGAUCCUUCCUCAUCCUUACCUGUCAACCUUCAUCCUAUACAAACCAGGUCCAAAAAUGGCAUUUUUAAGCCCAAGGUUUUCUCUGCUGCAUUAAGUCAGAUUGAACCUGUCAUAAUUGGAAAAGCCUUUGCUAGCAAAGAAUGGACACUAACAGCUCAGCAAGAGUAUGAUGCUCAGUUGAAAAAUAACACAUGGGAUUUGGUUUAUUUACCUGUAAAUCAAAAAGCUGUGGGUUGUAAGUGGGUGUUUAAACUGAAACGACAUGACACUAUUGCUCGCUACAAGGGUCACCUGGUUGUUAAGGGCUAUCUUUAGGAGGCAGGCAUUGACUUUCAAUGUAACAACGCUAAAGUUACGGGUAAUCGAAAAGUGUAUUUUCAGGUAUCCGCUUUCGUAAAAUGGAUUCAUAAAUAUUAUUAAAAAUAUUUACGAAGUUAGUUGUGUGGUUAAUUAGGUUUUGACUAGGUGAAUUAGUUUGAAUUAAGGAUAAUUAGUUGUAAGGAUUAAAUUGAAUAAAGGGUGAAAGUUUAAUUAUUAAUUAAAUAAAAAGUGAAGGAUUAAAUGAGCAAUUAAUCUUUAUAUAACAAGUGUAUGGUGAAAAUAAUUCCAUAUGUGUAAAUAAUAUACAUAUAUUUAAUAAUAAAUUAAACUUACUAAUUAUUUAAGUAAAUAUAUUAAUAUUAUUAUAUUAUAUUAUAUUAUUAUAAUUAAAAAUAAUAAUAAAAGAAACCAAAAAGAAAAAGAAAGAACAUAAUUGAAAAUGAAAUAGGGGAGAAAAAGGAAGAAAAGAAAGAGGGAAAGAAAGAAAGGAGAAAAUUAGGGUUUUAAGUUCAAAGCUUAAUUGGUAAGUCAAUUUAGUCAUUUUCUUGUAAUUUUUAUGUUUUUAGAAUUCUAGUAUUAAAUACUACCUAACCUAUGUUGAAAUUUUGGAAAAUAUUGAAUUUUUAGAUGUUGUCCAUGUUGAAUAAUUUAAGUAAUAGGGACUAAAUUGAUAGGAUUUUAAGUUAGAAUUGACAAAGGGAUUGAAUUGUAAAAUAAAUUAUAAGUUUUGAGUAAUAAGGAUUAAAUUGAGAAAAUUUUAAAAUAUAGGGAUUUAAGUGAAAUUAGAGAGUUGAAAUUAGUCUAAAGUGGAUGUACAUACCCAAUUUUGCCAAGCCAUUCCUAAAUACUAACCCAAACCCCAAAUAUUAAUAACCAAAACCCAAUUACAAAAAACCAACCCACCAAACUAAACCUACCCAACAGCCAUUAAACCCAAAACCCAUUUAGCCCAACACCAAAAAAACAAACAAACUAAAAAACCCUAAAAUCAGAAACCCUAGCCCCCUAACACCUAGGUGCGCCGCACCUAGGUCAACCACCCUCCCUUCUGCCAAGGCCACCAACUGCAACCAGCACCGGUCACCUGCCCUCUGCCACCGGACUGCCCCACCUGCACAACAAAGCAAACAUGCAAGGUAGAAGAAAGACAGUAGAAACAAUAAAAAAAUCAUGUAAAUGGCUUUAAAAAGCCAAGCAAAAACCGACUUAGGGGAUUUUUUUAACAAAAAAGAAGAAAAACUGAUUGUAUUUUAAAAGGUUUUUACUUCUGAAAUUUGGAGGAUAGAAAAACGAAAAGAUAUAAGCUUUAAGGUGAUUUUCGUGUUAUUCAUUUUAUCUUUUAUUAUCUUUAGUUUAUUUUUUUGUUUAUUUUUUUUAUAAAUACGAAAAUAAAAAGAAAAAUGAGAGGGUUUACUAGAGUUACCUUGCGACCGCGUCGACGCUCCAUGAUCUCAUCGUCGGAGGCUUCUUCCUCGUGGCCGGAAUUGUACCAAAAUAGGGUAAAAAGGGGCCUUUCUCCUUUCGAUUUUGCGGAUUUGGAGGCUUCCACCUUUGGGCCCACUCAAAAAGGGAUCGACAAACCCCAUCUUUGCGCUUCGUCAGUCACCGGAUACGGAGGUGGUACGACGGGCGGUGGAAAGCCAAGGGUUGGCCAUGGGGAACUAAGGAGAGAAAUGAGAAGGGAGGGAGAGCAGAGUGGCUCUCUGAUUUUUUCUCUAAAACAGGGGUUGAAAGUGAAAAAAAAGGGUUUUGGUUUAGGUAAUAGAGGCAAAACAGCGUCGCUUGGAUGAUUAGGGUUCAGAGGCCAAAACGACGUCGUUUUGGACCUCUGACCCACGUGACCCGACCGCGCCCGUGGAGGAUCCGCGCAUUUUGACCGAAUGGUCUAUUUGCGCAUGGGAUCCCUCUACUUUCUUGGCGUGUUCCACUGUGGUCCUCCCUUUCCUUUUUAUUUCGAAUUCGCCUAAAAAACUUCAUUCUUAAUUCAAUUUUAUCCUUUUUUUUUUACUUUUUCUCAUUAUUUUAUUUUAAUUUUAAUACUAUAUACUAUUAUAUUUUAUUACUAUCAUUAUUAUGUUUAUUAUUUAUUAGCAUUAGUAUUAUUUUCACUUAAUACUUACAUAUAUACAUAUAUUAUAUAGUAUUAUUAAUAGUUUUCUUUUUAUCUAUUAUUAUUAUUAUUAUUCUUAACUCUAUAUUAUGUAUAUAUUCUUUAGAUAUAUUAAGUAUUUUUUAAAUUCUAUAUUACGUACAUAUGUAUUUAUACUAUAUUAUGUGUAUAUUCUUAAAUAUUGUUAGUUAUAUUCUUAUAUUAUCAUAUAUAUAUUUUAAAUGCUAUAUUAAGUACGCAUAUAUUAUAUAUGGCUUUUCCUUAAAUAUUAUAUUAUACGUAUUUAAAUACUAAUACUAUGUAUAUAUUAUUUCAUUUAUUUUUAUCCCUAUUAUGUUCAUUAUUAAUAUUAGUACAUAUAUUUUAUUAUGUAUGUAUAUAUAUAAUUUGUAUAUAGUAUUAUCAUUUCUAUUAUCAUAUUUAUUAUUAUAUUUAUUAUUUUCACUAUUAUUUUUAUUAUGCGUAUAUACAUAGAUGUUUUUAAGUACUUAUUAUAAAUAUAUAAUUUUCUUACUGUAUUAUUAUGUAUAUCAUUUUUACUCAUUUCUUCAUUAUUUUUUAUUUAUUAUUUUAACAUUCUUAUAUUAUGUAUAUUAUUAUUAUUAUUUUUUUAUUAUAUUUUCAUAUAUUGUGUAUAUAUUUUUUAAAACAUCAUAUUAUUCAUAUACUUUAUUAUAUAGGUAUAUCUUUAUGUAAUAUUAAUAUUGUUAUUAACAUUAGUAUGUGUUUUCAACAUUAUUAUUAUUUAUGUAUAUGUUAUGUAAAUAUUUUAACAUUAUAUUAUAUAUGCAUUUUUCUAGAUUACGUAUACAUAUACUGUAACGUCCCCUAACCCUAUACCGUCACCGGAACAGGGUUACGAGACAUUACCAGUCAGUACAGUCCAAUUUCGGUCAUUAAUUAAAAUAAAUAUUCACACACAUCCUAGUUUUAAGAUGUCGUCCCUUUAAUGGGCCCUCGCGGUCCAAUAUGAAUAGUAAAUUUAAUUCGGGACUAAUUUAGAAUCACUACGAAUUUUUAGUAAAUUUCAAAAUUCAUACUACAUACCGUUGCCAACCAUAAUUUACUCAUUUCAUCAAUACUUUUACAACCUAAAUGACUCUCAUUAAACAUCCUGGGUACAUGCCAUUAUUAAUACUCAACAUACUUUACCUUAAUGAAUUCGGGAUCAUCUUGGGAUGCUGAUUCAACGUACUAUCUUUACUUAACCUGCGCACGGAAACAAACCGUACGCUGAGUAUGGUAUACUCAGUGGUAUUUCUAUAAUCCGAACAAUUAAUAAUAUAACAAAUACUUAAGAUCAUAAUAACAAUUACAAUUAUUCAAUUAUUUAUUCAUAGAUAAAUUUUAACUACUUACCAUAUAAAUUUUAUACAAAUCAUAUAAUAAACACAAUAACAUAAUUGUUCAAUUCUUAACUAAAUCCAUUAUUAUUUACUCCUUUCUUUCACUUACUACUCGGUAUAGCUUUCCUUAAUUUACUCACAAUUCAAUAUCAUUAAACUAUAUUCAACUAUACACUUAUCAAUCAUAUUCCAUUUUAAUUCAUUUCAAUAACUGUCAAUUUCAUUUAUAUCAUAUCAACUUACUAUCCCUGAUAGCUUUCAGUAUAUACAUACGAUUCAUAUAUCUCAAAUCACAUUUCAAUUCAUCAAGUGGCAUCAUAUAUCAUAAAUUCGAACUCCAAUCAUUUCAUGAACCUUUGGUUCAUAUUUUCAAUUUCAUAUCUAAAUUUUCAAUUCUUAAUUCAAUUUCUCGUUUCAUUUCAAUAGCUUGAUCAAUCAAAUUUAUUCGAUUUAUCUUUCACUUAUUUACCCCUAUUAACAAACCCGGACUUUGAUGGAUACACGGAUUCCAACCCAAACACACCAGUACGACACAUUGUGCCUAAAACGGUACAUAGUACCUGAUCAGUAUAUGACACAUAAAGUGCCUAAAACGACACACAAGGUGCCUGAUAAGACACACGAGGUGCCUGACAUACGACACAUAAAGUGCCUGAUCGAUAAAGCCGGCAAAUCCCGUACAUUUCCAGAUCCUAUGGCAUGCCAAUUAUAUCCGACUCAGCCCGACUAGUUAAUAGGGUAUUUCAUUCACUUUCUCAAUUUAAUAAUUCUUUCAUCAAUAUACCAUUCUGAUAAUCACAUAUAUUCACCCAUUUUCACAAUUCAUACAAUUUCAUUCAAUUCAACAAUAUAUUUCAAUUAUUUACAUUACUUCAUAAUUCAAUGCAAUUCAAUUCACUUUUCAAUAUCAAAUAUUCAAAUAUCACAAUCUCAUAUAUUCAUAUCAAUUUCCUCAUAUUUCCAAUCAAUAUAUUUUUCAAUAUAGCAUUCAUUCAAUAUUCAAAUUUCUACAUAAAUCAUGUAUAUUAUAUAAUUCAAUCAAUAUAAAUUCAAUCAAAAUAAUUUCAAUCAAUAUAAAUUCAAUAAAUUCAUCGCAUACCAAAAUCAAUCCAUUCCAAUUGUAAAACAUCAUAAUUCUAACACUAACAAUUGCCAUAUGUAUAUAAAUAUAAAAAAUAAUAACUAAGUUCGGAUUAUAGAAAUACAAACCGUAAUUUUCGAGCUAACUCCCGUUGACUUUGUCUUGUCCUUUCUUAGCCGAGAUUUCUGGUACCACAUUGACUACGAAAUUAAUACAAUUCAUAAUCAUUAAUACAUUACUAAUUCAUAUCUUGAGUUACAGAAUUCUAAAUUAAGAUCCGCUAAUUUUUCCUGAAACUAGACUCACAAAUCUUCUUACAAUAAAAUUUUUCAGAAUUUUUAGUUUAGCCAUUAAGUACAGUUUAUUCUUUAAAUUCACCCUUAUUCUGCUGUCUGACAGUUCAUCCCUUCUUCACUAAAAAUUAAUUAUCUCAUAGUACAGAACUCAGAUAAUAUUCCCGUUGAUUUUUCAUGAAAAUAGACUCAUUAGGGAUUCUAAACAUAUAACUUUAAGCCUCUAAUUAUUUUUAUUCAAUUUUUGGUGAUUUUCUAAAGUCAGAACAGGGGAACCCGAAUUCAUUCUGACCUUGUCUCACAAAAUUCAUUAUAUCUCAUAAUUUAUAAUUCAAUUGCUUAUAUCGUUUCUUCUAUAAGAAACUAGACUCAAUAAUAUUUAAUUCCAUAUUUUAUUCAUCCUCUAAUUCGAUUUAUACAAUUUUUAGUGAUUUUUCAAACUUAGACUACUGCUGCUGUCCAAAAUAGUCUUAGUACAAAAUGUUGAUUUACUUUAAUUUCAAUUUAAUUCUAACUAAAUUCACUUACUUUUCUAUCUUAAUUCAUACUUUAUUUCUACUCAAUUUUUAACCAAACUUAGACAUAAUUAUCUAUUUUUCAUCAUAAAACCAUAAUUUCGAAAUUCUUUCAAUUUAGUCCUUAAAGCAUAAAACUUAUGAAUCACUUUACAAUUCAAUCAUUGUAUCAUUUUUAACAUGAAUUUCUAUCAAUUUAGCCCUUAAUUCAUCAUUUUAUUUAACAUGGACAAUAUCUAGAAAUCUAAUAACUAUCAAAAUAUCAACUUAAUUUCAUCAAAACUUUGUUCUAAAACAUCAAAAUUAAGUAAAAAGGGCUUGAUUGACUUACCUAUUAAAGCUUAAAGCUUUAAACCUUCAAUUUUCCCUUUUCUCCCCUUCUUUCUUUCUUUUUCUCCCCUGCUCUCUGUUUCAUUUCAUUCUGUUUCUAUUUUCUUUCAUUUGCUUCUUUAGUUUAUAUAUAUAAUAUAAUAUAAUAUAAUUAAAACAUAAAGUAUCUUUAUUAUAUAAUAAUAUAAUAAUAUAAUAAUAUACUAAAAAAAUCUUAGAUUUUCUUCACGAUAAAUCACCUCAAUUUAUACUUUUUGUAUAAUUGCCUUUUUAGUCCUUUUUAUUUUCUUUUAAUCUACAAUUCAACGUUUAUCCUUUAUUCAAUUUAGUCAUUUUCUUAAUUACUCUUAAUUAAGCUAAAUUCAUUUAAUUAAACUCUAAUUAACCACUCUACUAACUUCAUAAAUAUAUAUAUUUAAAUAUUUACUAAUUAAUUUUUUUAAAAACGGAGACCCGAAAAUACAUUUUUCGAUAACCUUAAAGUUCGGGUCGUUACAUAUACCUUGUUAAUAUUGUGUUUUAUAUAUCGUGUAUACAUUACUACAUCAUUUUUUUUCUUACAUAUUAUUUUUAUAACUAUAUGUUAUGUAUGUAUUUUUAGCAUUAUACUAUGAAUAUGUUUUUAUACUAUGUAUAUAAUUUGUAAUACUAUUAUUAUAUUCAUAUUUUAAAUAUAUACGUAGGUAUGUAGGUAACAUUAUUAGUAUUUUUAAUAUUACACUUACGGCACUUCGCUCGUUAUCAUAUGUUUGUAUAUACGUUCACCUCUAUUUUGUGUUUAAUACUAUUUUUAUCCUGUUUAAUAUCGCAUACAUUGUUCUCGUUUUAAUGUUAUUGUCAUAUUUAUUAUUUGCUUCGAUGUAUUUAUAACUCUUUUAUUUUUGUUUCCCGCCCCUUUUAUAUCAUUUUGCUGUUCAUUACUUUAAAGAUUUUUAUUCAUGCUUUUAAUUAAUUUCAAUAAAUAAGGCAACGUGCCGAUUUAACAUUAAGUUGUUGAUUUCAUCACUAUGUUGGGUGAAUAUCAUUGGCUCGUGUUAAAAAGGAAUGUUCUUCUCAAAGGAAAUCGAAAUUAUAAAAAGUUUCUCAUGUUUUGGUCGGAUCAUGAUUAAGAUUUAAAUUGAACUCAUAUUUUUGAGAAUUAAGACAACACGUGUUUUACAAGAUACCAAUUUUGGGCGUUGCGAGGGUGCUAAUACCUUCCUCGCGCGUAACUGACUCCCGAACCCUACUUUACUCUGAUUUUCACGUAGACCUAAAUUUAGCCUUCAUUUUUAUUCGAGAAUAAAUUUUCUUUUCAAAAAGAUGAUUUAUUAGGUGUCCGAUCACACCUAAAGAAAAGGGAUCGGUGGCGACUCCUUUUUUUAUAAAAUCGAAAGUCAGUUUUCAAAUUUGCAAGAAAUCGCCACAAUUAGCGACCAAGCUAAAUUUUUACGUUGCUACAGCUGGCAACUCCACUAGGGACCCAUUUUUGAGAGUCGAGUCGAAUUAAACGCGUGUUGUCAAAAUUUUCAAAAUUCAUUGUUCAAAUUAAUAUUUAGUUGUGAUCCCAAAAUUGUGUUUUCAAAAAAUUCAUGCAUUUGCAUCAUGCUGUAAAUAUUCUUCUAAGUUGUUUUAUCUUGUUGAUUUUCAGCUCUCAGUUUUUUUAGUUUUGGUUUAGUUUUUAAAUAAAACGUAAAGGUUUGUGAGUUUCUCCCCACACACCGCGCACUUGCAUUUUGCAUAACAUGAGCUCUCUACCCGGGCUCCGUCCGUUUAAGUGAAAGUAAACGCUAUGCCUUCGUGAGUUAACUUGUCCCUCCGCACAGGCUAGUGAAUACUUUCGGGUUACAUAUGACUUAUGCUUUCGUGAGUUAACUUGUCCCUCCGCAUAGGCAUAAGUAAAUGUGAUCCCUCAAAUUGAACUCGUGAGCCUGUAAUGGGCUACGACCGAGGCUUCGUACUAGUCUUAGAAGACGAUAGUGAGAACAAUUCGAGUACCUGUCUAGAACCAAAACCGCAUAUAGUGAACCGUACGAGCCACCUAAUUAGAGCCAUGCCAAACCUCUGUCCGUUUAGUAGUCACCAAAAUAAGUGCACGGGAGAAACGCCUCUUACCUUUUGCACUUUCACUUUCUAUACGAGGAGAUUAGGUCUGUUUAAUAAACUAGAUUUGGGUAGUUUGAUUUGUUAAAUUUUCCAUGUUUUUCUACCUGUAUUUAAUUACUAAUCAAGGUUGUUUGUCUUUGCCUUAUUUUUUUAUCAUGCCUUAUAGGCAUUAUAUUAGGAAGGUGUUGACUAGAGAUCAGUUUCCAAAAAAUGGGUUUCUAAUGGAAGAGUCAAUUAUACAAACAACCGAGAAAAAUGCCGUGGUUCGGGACUGGUCUCUAAAAACUUAGAAAGAAAAAGGGGAUAGUCUAGUGGAGAGAUGUAUUGCCAAUCUACCCGAGCACGUAACUGUGAAUGUUCACCAGAAUAACCUUGAAGAUUUGGUUCGGGUUUGGAAUCAGUGGGACUCGGACACUAGGGGUAUCUUCACUGAAAGAUAUUGGGACAUAGCCAAUUUGAUUGCUGUCAACGUAGACGAACGAUUGAUCCAAGCCAUGGUCAGAUUUUGGGAUCCGGCUUACCAAUAUUUUACCUUCAAUCGAGAAGAUAUGACUCCGACUAUAGAGGAGUACGUUGCUUUACUUUGUGUUGAAAGUGCACAAUUCUAUAAAGUAUAUGUGAAGGAGCCUAAGCCGAUGACCUUCAAGAAAAAGUUAGUGAGAUUGUUAGACAUGACUGACGCGUGGGCCAAAAAACAAAUAAAGAAGAAGAAUGAAACCAUUUGCAUUCCAUGGUCUUCCCUACGAGAUUUGGUUCUGAACCAUCCUGACAUGUUGAAAAGGGUAAAUCUAUUCGUUUUGGCUAUUUACGGUUUGAUCAUCUUCCUGAAAGUCCUUGGACACAUAAAAGUUGCGGUGGUGGAUUUCUUCAAAAGAUUAAAACAAAGAAUCAACCCUGUCCUGACUACCCUAGCCGAGACCUUCAGAUCCUUGAGUAGUUGUCAGAGGAAAGGGGAAGGACAAUUUAUUGGAUGCGCGCAGUUGCUCAAUGUUUGGAUCUUGAGCCACUUCUGGAAAGUAGAGCGCAUACUGUUCCAUAUGUUUUCAAAAACAUUUGCCCCAUUGGAAGCUUAUCUCAAGAAAGAAUGGCCAGAAGAAGUCACUGAACAACAUUGGGUCUCAGUUUUUCAGAACCUUCGCGCUGAAGAUAUAACGUGGAGAGCACCGUGGAUACGCCCUUCGGUUCUGCUAUACAAAGUCGGAGAUCAAGACUGGGUGCCACUACUUGGAUUAUGGGGAGGAGUUGGAUAUGCCCCGCUAUUAGUCCAAAUGCAAUUUUCUUCGCGACAAUUCGUACCCGCCAUUGGAGGAUUAGCACAGUCCGAGUUUGCUUUUACGGGUGAGGGAUAUAUGAAGAGGGUUCGAGAUAUCGCAAAGUCUUGGAAGACAAUUCAUCUCAUGGAAUUAGCUCUAUACGCUGACACUCUCACCCAAGAUUACGACAUAUGGAGGAAGCAACGGGUGAACAGUCAACAAAUCUCGUCAACAAACUAUACCGUCCAGAAUCCUUUCUCGGAAGAAGUGCCAUCUGAGCUAGAAAUGGCAAGACAAGAAUUUGAACGAGAAAAGGCCAAAAUGUCUCGGGACCGUAGUGCUCUUCAAGAGGAAAACUACCAACUGAAGAUCGACGUUCAGAUUGAAAGAUCCAAAACCGAGAAAGCGCAAAAGGAAGCUGAAGUCAUAAGAAAUGACUUAAGGGACCUCCAUCUGGAAAAUAAAAAAUUAAGAAGCACUAUAAAGAAUAGCGGGCUGGGAAAAUCAUCAGUGGAAUGGAAAGAAGAAUUAAGCAAUAUCAAAGGCGGGAUGGAAUUCUGGAAAGGAAAAGUGAAGAAAGAAGAAGAAAAAACUGCGCGGGCUAUGAUGGAGCUAAGGAAGAAGAACGCCGAAUAUGAAGCUGUAUCUGCCGAGGUAAUGACUAGUCGAUCUAAAUGUCAAGAACUAAAAGAGAGGAUACGAGAUUUAGAAGACAUGCUGCAAGAUCGUCAACAACAGCUAGAUACUCUCUUGAAGGCUUUGAAAGAAAAGAAUAAUCAGUACGAUAGAGACAUUCAUGCCUAUGAAGAGGGCCUCCAAGAAAAAGAAAUGCAACUUAGCUAUUUGAUCAAUAAAGUUCGUGGGGUAACCUUGCACGUGGUACAAUUAUCGGAAGAAGUUGAAAUUCUCAUUUGCCAAUUCCCUCAAAGUCGAAGAUCAAACAUAUUAGAAUUCUUAGCACGAGUAAAGAAAUAUGGCGAUAUAGCUAGGAAGUUUGUGUAAUGGCUGAAUCGAAAAUGGUAAAAUAUUUUAUAAUGGACUCUUUUGAUAAAUAAAAUACCUAAAUAGGGGCCGUCUUAAAAUCAACACUAAAUUCUUGCAUUUUCAUGCAUAACUAAAAUUCAUUUGACAUUUAUGCGUUCAUUCAUUCAUUCAUUCAUUGCAUAUCCCAUAAUCAUUCGCUGAAGUUAAAACAUACAACUCGCAGUUGUAAUACCACAAGACUGGAACCACGUCAUUCGUAUAGAAUGCGCCGACAAGCUAGAGUAAUAGAGGCCGAAUUCAAUGAAAGGAUUGAAAGGAUGGAAAGAAUUUAAAGGGAAUUACAAGAGCAGUUGGCCAAGUCACAACAAGAGACAAGAGACUUAAUGGUGAGAUCUCGAGAAGAAUUGCUCGAACAAAGGGACAAAAUGGCCAAGAUGAUGGAAAUAAUGUCAGCUCUAGUAAAAGGAAAGGGACCUAUGAACCUUGACGUUAUGGAACCACAGUCAAGGGUUAAUCACGAUCAGAAUCUGCCCCAUCCGCCAGGAUUACUCCACCACACACCCACGCAACACAAAGAGGGUACGCUCAAUGGGAACCUACAGGCCUGGAGCAACGACCUGCGCCACCUGCUAAUCUAGGGCAAGGAAUGUUCGUAUCAAACCCGAGGGCUAGUCCUGCUGAUCCACUCGUUCCAGAUUUGGACGAUCCAGUAGAGAUAGCCAGGUUGAAAUUGGAUAAUCACGAUACAAAUGAGAAAUAUAUGAGCCUAGAGGAAAGACUCAAAGUGAUAGAAGGCACUGAAGUCUUCUCCGCACUAGGUGCUAAAGAACUCAGUUUGGUGCCCGAUCUAAUUCUGCCUCCGAAGUUCAAGGUGCCUGAUUUUAAAAAGUACGAUGGGACAAUAUGCCCAAAAGCGUAUCUCAUCAUGUUCCGCCGGAAGAUGACCAGCUAUGUGAACGAAAAUAAGCUACUCAUACAUUUUUUUAAAGAUAGUCUAGUAGGAUCGGCUCUUCGGUGGUACAACCAGCUUAGUAGGGAAAAGAUUCGAUCCUGGAAGGACUUGGCAUUAGCAUUCUGUGAGCAGUACAAGCAUGUAUCGGAUAUGGUGCUAGACCGAAUGACUUUGCAAAUGAUGGAGAAAAAGCUAUCGGAAACUUUUAGACAGUAUGCACAGAGAUGGAGGGACGUCUCGGCCCAAGUGAAACCCCCACUAGCAAAAACAGAGAUAACCGUUCUCUUUAUCAACACUUUAAAGGCCCCAUUUUAUGACAAACUAGUGGGAAUUGCCACGAAGGACUUUGCAGAUAUUGUAAUAUCCGGUGAGCUUAUAGAGAAUGCCGUCAAGAGCUGUAGAAUGGAAGGUCAAGAAAGUUCAAGAAGGGUAGCGCCCAUGAAUAAGAAUGAACCAGAAGCCCAUAUGGUGGGAAUGGGAAGCCGUUAUACCCCUAAUUCAUAUCCAAACCCACCCCGACCUCGAAAUUAUCCACCUCCGAAUUUCUAUUAUCCCCCUCAAACCCCUUAUUACCAAGCACCACUUCCUUCCUACCCCGUAUACGCCGCGAACAACCAAAGACCCGUCACCACAUUCCCACAAAACACUGUACCCGCUCAAAGCCAACCCAGAAACGAACCAAGACCCGCAAGGUCCAAUCCUAAGAGACCGCAAUUUACUCUUAUCUCUGUGUCGUAUGGGGAAUUAUACCCAAAAAUUUUGGAGAAACAACUAAUAUCUCCCCAUUACAUGGCACCCCUUAAACCUCCAUACCCGAAAUGGUACGAUCCAAACGUUAGUUGUGCAUACCAUGCUGGGAACCAAGGGCAUUCCAUGGAGAAUUGCCUAGCUUUUAAGAGGAGAGUUCAAGGACUCAUUGAUGCGGGCAUCCUACGAUUCGAUAGUGCCAGUAAUGCAACUGGGAACCCGUUCCCUAACCAUACCGAAGGGAAUGUGAGCGCAGUGGGGAAAGAGGACGAAUGGCAAGUCAGAAGAUAUGUUUCGAAAAUAAGGACGCCUCUGCAGAAAAUCUAGGAGGUACUGAUUAAGAAAGGAUUGCUCUGUCACCCCGAUAGAAUUUUCGGAGAAGAAGGUCAAAGUUUUUUCGAUUUUCAUGAAAUUGUAGGACACGACAUUCAAUCGUGUGAGGAAUUUAAAAGGUUGCUUCAAGACCGGAUGGAUAAUAAGGAGAUUAAGGUCCUUAACAAAAGGGAAGAGGCCAACGAAAGAGAAGUAUGCGCCUCUGACAGCCAAUCAUCAGGUCUCCCUUGUAGCGCUGAUCGGUCGUUAGUAAUUUAUUACAACGCGAAGAAGGAGUCGGUGAAACCAAAAGUGAUAAUCGAAGUACCAUCUCCUUUCCCUUACAAGGACGACAAGGUAGUGCCGUGGAAAGAUGACGUCAACAUCGUCACACCUAAAGUUGAAAAGUCCGAAGCCACAACUGGAGAUGUUGGGGAGGUAGGCCAUUUUACCCGCAGUGGGCGGUGCUAUUCUAACGAAGUCGAGCCGGCAAAGAAGAAUAGUGACUUGAAGCACCAAUGCAUGUGAUCGAAGAUGAGCAUGAAACUGUGCCUGAACAAGAAGCUAAAAAACCUGUGGACGAGGAGGAAGCACAGGAAUUCUUAAAAUUUAUCAAGCACAGUGAGUACAACGUGGUGGAACAAUUGAGUAAGCAGCCAGCACGGAUCUCGGUAUUAUCUCUACUGUUAAAUUCAGAGCCACACCGGAACUCCUUGUUAAAGGUGUUGAAUCAAGCUUAUGUGGCAAACAAUAUAUUCGUUGAGAAGCUUGACAGAUGGGUGAAUAACAUAAACGCGGAUAAUUUCAUUUCUUUUAGUGAUGAUGAAAUACCACCCAAUGGUAAAGGCUCCGUGAAAGCAUUGCAUAUCACAACCCGCUGCAAGGGUUAUAGAAUACCGAACGUGCUCAUCGAUAAUGGAUCGGCACUCAACGUCAUGCCUUUGGCCACACUUUCCAGGAUUCCGAUGGAUUUGUCCUAUCUAAGGCCUUGCCAUUCCACAGUAAGGGCAUUCGAUAGAAAAAGAUGAGAAGUCAUGGGAAAAAUCGAGAUCCCUCUAGAAGUGGGUCCCUAUAUAUAUGAUGUUGAGUUCCAAGUCAUGGAUAUUACACCAUUAUAUAAAUUCUUUUUGGGAAGACCCUGGAUCCAUUCCGCUGGAACGAUCCCAUCAUCCCUCUAUCAAAAGGUGAAAUUUUUCAUGAAUGGCUGUUUGGUCACUGUCGAGGGAGAAGAAGACAUUGUAGCAUCUAUUUCUACCGACGCACCAUACAUUGAAGUGAGUAAAGAUGCUAUAGAAUGUUCCUUCCGAUCUCUUGAAUUUGUCAAUACCACUUUUGUCGCUGAGGGAAACAGAAUUCCGGUGCCAAAACUGUCGAGAAAUACCAGAAUGGGUGUCAAGUUGACUGUAGAAAGGGGAGCUCGAGCGAGAAGAGGUUUAGGGAGAUAUCUGCAAGGAACAAUCAGGGCUUUAAAGCCAGUACACCACAAGGCCCGAUACGGUUUGGGAUUCCAGCCGGACAUGCGUCAAAGAAGAAAACAAUGGAAGAAAUAUCAGGAAAGAAAGAUCGCAAGAACCUUAGGCCGAGAAAUAGAAUGGGAGCCCAUAACGUACCCUCCUUUGUCAAAAACAUUUACAUCUGCAGGAAUGAUAUACCCCGGGCAAGAUAAUCCACGAAGUACGCUGUUAUUGAUUGAAAGGGGUCUUCAGAAUGUCAGUAUAAAUGUCAUUGACAAAGGAAGUGAUGCAAUUAAGGAUGUCUCAACGAUAUGCCCUUGUCCUCCUGGAUUCGUUUGGAAUAAUUGGACUGUUGUGGAUCUCUUUGUAGUUUCUAAGUCUUCUCCAGAGUAAUGCUCAAUGUCAACACUUUUCUUUUUGUGUGCCCCUAAGUAACAAGUAGGGAUUCUUUUGUAAGAGCUUAUGAUUUGCUCUUUAUCAUUUAAAUGAACAUUAAUAGAGAUGCAGUUUGUCAUGAUCUUUUCAUUCUCAUUAAUUUCAUAAUUUUUUCCUUCUUCUCACAACCUGUCAUUACAUAUAUCCCACAUCAUGCCAUUAUGCUUGUUGGUCCCAAUACUUUGAUAUUCCUCUAUAGUUUUCUUUUCCAUUCAACUUUCAGGUGCUCAGAUGUCAACGAUAUGAACAAACCUGUUACAAAUCUUGAAAUUAAUUUUGAGAAGGCUGUUUGUUUAGGAGAAUUCGAAGCCGAAGAAAAUGCUGAAGACUAUGCCUCGUCUCCUGACUUGCUAAGAAUGGUGGAACAAGAGGAUAAACAGAUUUUGCCUCAUCAAGAAUCUGUUGAAACAAUAAAUUUGGGAAUUGAAGAAAGGAAGCAAGAAGUGAAGAUUGGCACCUCUAUUUCAGGGGGCACCAGGCAUAAUUUGAUUGCUUUGCUCCGUGAGUACGAAGAUGUAUUCGCAUGGUCAUAUCAGGACAUGCCAGGAUUGGAUGAAGAUGUAGUGGUCUAUAAUCUCCCAUUGAAGCCAGAAUGCAAACCCAUUCAACAAAAGCUAAGACGGAUGAGACCUGAGAUGUUGUUGAAAAUAAAAGAGGAAGUCAAGAAGCAAUUUGAUGCUGGCUUCUUACAAGCAUCCAAAUAUCCAGAGUGGGUGGCUAACAUAGUCCCGGUACCAAAGAAAGACGGUAAAGUAUGAAUGUGCGUGGAUUAUCGUGACCUGAAUCGAGCAAGUCCUAAAGAUAAUUUUCUUUUGCCACACAUCGAUACAUUGGUGGAUAAUACAGCCAGGCAUUUAUUGUUUUCGUUCAUAGAUGGAUUCUCGGGUUAUAAUCAGAUCAAGAUGGCCCUUGAGGAUAUGGAGAAAACUACUUUCAUAAUUAUGUGGGGAACAUUCUGCUACAAGGUAAUGCCGUUCGGAUUGAAGAAUGCCGGGGCAACAUGUCAGUGGGCUGUGGUGACAUUAUUUAAUGACAUGAUGCAUAAAGAAAUAGAGGCCUACGUCGACGAUAUGAUUGCUAAAUCCCGAGGGGAAGAAGAGCAUGUAGUGAACCUGAAGAAGUUGUUCGACAGACUGAGAAAGUUCCAGCUAAAGCUCAAUCCGGCCAAAUGUACGUUUGGGGCUACCUCAGGAAAAUUGCUAGGCUUCAUUGUCAGCAAGAGAGGCAUUGAAGUUGAUCCAGGUAAGAGAAAAGCCAUACAAGAACUACCACCUCCGCGCACACAAAAGGAAGUCAGAGGAUUUUUAGGGAGGUUAAACUACAUCUCCCGAUUCAUCGCUCAACUUACCAACCAAUGCGACCCAAUAUUUUGGCUUCUUCGAAAGCAUAACCCGGGAGAAUGGAAUGAGGAAUGCCAGGUGGCCUUUGAUAAAAUAAAGCAAUAUUUGUCUAGUCCUCCAGUGCUAGUAUCGCCAACUCCGGGAAGACCAUUGAUUUUGUAUUUGACUGUGUUCGAAAAGUCAAUGGGUUGCAUAUUGGGGCAACAUGACGAGUCAGAGAAAAGAGAAAAGGCGAUUUACUACCUCAGUAAAAAGUUCAUUGAAUAUGAGGCAAGGUAUUCGUCCAUUGAAAAAUACUGUUGCGAUUUGGUUUGGGUAGCUUGGAGACUUAGGCAAUAUAUGUUGUAUCAUAGACAUGGCAAAUUUCAAAGCUGGACCUAAUAAAAUACAUGAUGGAAUCACCGGCACUCUCAGAAAGAAUGGUACGAUGGCAGAUCCUUUUAUCGGAAUACAACAUUGCCUAUGUAAGUCAAAAGUCGAUAAAAGGGAGCUCAAUAGCUGAUUUCUUAGCGACUCGAACAGCCGAUGAAUACGAGCCGUUGAGAUUUGAUUUCCCAGAUGAAGACUUGAUGUGCAUUACAGAAAAAGAGGGCGAGUCAUCAGAAGAGAAGUCAUAGAAGAUGAGCUUUGAUGGUCUUAGUGUCUUCAGAGGGGAACCAUUAUCCAUUCACUGCCAGAUUAAACUUCUUUUGUACUAAUAACAUAGCAGAAUAUGAGGCCUGUAUCAUGGGACUUCGUGCAGCUAUGGAACGAAACGUCAAAACUUUAGAGAUAUAUGGAGACUCAGCGUUGGUGAUUUACCAAAUCCGUGGAGAUUGGGAAGUGAGGGAUCCGAAAUUAAUUAAGUACAGUGAUCUAGUGGCUGAAUUGAUCAAAGAAUCCAAAGGAAUAACUUUUCAUUACUUCCCACGAGAAGAAAACCAAUUGGCUGAUGCACUGGCCACUUUGGCUUCAAUGUUCAAAGCAAACAGAGAAACAGAAAUAAUGUCUCUGUAAAUGAACAUAUAUGAAGUCCUUGCACAUUGUUUCAGCAUUGAAAAAGAGCCAGAUGGACGACCAUGGUUCUAUGAUGUCUUAGAAUAUAUCAAGAAUCAAAGGUAUCCCGAACAAGCCAGUGAGAAUGACAAAAGAACAAUUAGAAGAAUGGCAGCGGGAUUUGUUCUUGAUGGGGACAUCCUGUACAAAAGAGGAAAAGAUCAGGUGCUCUUGAGAUGCGUGGAUGCUGUUGAAGCCAGAAAAAUACUUGAAGAUGUCCAUGAGGGAAUCUGUGGGACACAUGCCAAUGGUUUCACUAUGGCCAGGAAUAAUAUGAGACUCGGUUAUUACUGGUUGACGAUGGAAAGCGACUGCGUUAGUAUUGCAAGAAAAUGCCAUAAAUGCCAAAUUUACGGCGAUAAAAUUCAUGCAGUCCCUUUGGCCCUUCAUGUCAUGACUUCUCCGUGGCCUUUUUCUAUAUGGGGCAUGGAUGUUAUAUGGCCAAUUUCCCCAAAAGCUUUUAAUGGACACCAGUUCAUUUUUAUGGUUAUUGAUUACUUCACAAAAUGGAUAGAAGCCGCUUCGUUUGCCAAUGUGACGGAGACUGCAGUUUGCAGGUUUUUGAAAAAGGAAAUCAUUUGUCGAUAUGGUUUGCCUGAAAGAAUCAUUUCAGAUAACGCCUUGAAUUUGAACAACAAGAAGAUGAAAGAAGUGUGUGGGCAAUUCCAAAUAAAGCAUCAUAACUCCUCGCCCUAUCGCCCAAAGAUGAACGGAGCUGUUGAAGUAGUGAACAAAAAUAUUAAGAAGAUCAUUGGGAAAAUGACCAAGACCUAUAAAGACUGGCACGAGAAGCUACCAUUUUCUUUGUAUGCAUAUCACAUAUCGGUACGGACAUCUACGGGAGCAACUCCUUUCUCUUUGGUUUAUGGAAUGGAAGCUGUGCUACCUAUCGAAGUUGAGAUCCCUUCUCUAUGAGUCUUAAUGGAGUCGAAAUUAGAGGAAGCAGAAUGGGUUCGAGCUCGAUAUGACCAGCUAAAUCUUAUCAAAGAAAAAUGCUUAAAGGCAAUCUGUCAUGGACAAAUGUACCAAAAGAGAAUGAUCGCGGCCAUGAAAAGAAAGUACGGCCAAGAGAAUUCCACGAAGGAGAACUCGUGUUGAGAAAGAUUCUCCCAAUACAAAAAGACCUACGAGGAAAAUGGGCACCAAAUUGGGAAGGACCAUACGUCGUAAAGAAGGCUUUCUCUGGUGGAGCUUUGAUUCUCACUGAGAUGGAUGGGAAGGAGUUACCUAAUCCAGUGAAUUCAGAUGCUGUGAAGAAAUAUUAUGCUUAAAAAAAGAAAAUCAAGAUGAAAACUCGAAAAAGGGCACUUAAAAAAAAGGAUCAAGGUGAAAACCCAAAAAGGGCGUCUUGAUUAACACAAAAGAUUAGGAUGAAAACCCGAAAGGGCGUUCUAAUGAAGCAAAUACUCAGCUUAAAAAAGCAAGGUGUUUUGGGUCAAACAGCAAGACUACAGUAUUUGAAGCAUUUCUGAAAGCUCGAAAUCUUCUAUGCAAGAAGCCUUGCUCGAAAAGAUUCUUGAUUGAAGAACGUGGAAGAGUUCAUGCGUUGAAUAUCUAGAGCAUUUGUAUACAUUGAAUGCGAUCUCUUUUCUCUUUAUGACAUUUUUUUACUAUCAUUGAUUAACUUUCUUUGUUUGCUACAUUUGAAAUAAAUAAAUGUGAGGUAUCCUUUUGUCCCUACCUAACCAUUUUCAGGCAUCUCAUUAUGUGUUUCAUUUACAUGAUAAAUGGUGAAUUGAUAUACUCUAAACAAAAGAAAUGUUGAUCAUUACAUGGAUAAUAAUUUGAUAAGUACAAGAGUCUCAAAGUAAGGACAAAGUUCAACCAGGGGCAAAAGAGUGAUAUUUGAGAAAUGUUGAUUACUCGUGAAACUUGAGGACGGGUACAGGGCCUAAACAGAAAGUCAAGAGUCGAAGUAAUGAAUGCAGAUCAUCACCAAAAAUCGUGACGAAAAAGGGUAUAUGACAAACAAGCUCGAGGCGCAUAGCAUAAUCAUAUAGGCAUAAAGGCAUUUAAGACCAACAUGUGCAUAUCAUGACAACAUCAUGCAUGACAUAUACAGGUACUCCAGUAGAGCAAGAGGAUGUGAUGAUAGUUGUACUGAAUCAAAGGAAAAGACACCUGAGUUCCACUAGAUGACAUGUUUUGGUAUUCUGAUGUUUUUAUCUCUAUUUUUUCAAAAAUCAACUCAUAUUGCAAGAGGUGAGUUGAGCCUCAGGGCACGCUGAGGUAUUCUCAAUUUCUGCUUGUCAAAAUCAACUCAUAUGGCGAGAGGUGAGUUGAGCCUCAAGGCACGCUGAGGUAUUUUCAAUUUCUGCUUUUCAAAAAAAUCAACCUACAUUGCGAGAGGUGAGUUAGGCCUCAGGACACGCUGAGGUAAUUUCAAUUUCUGUUUGUCAAAAAUCAACUCAUAUUGCGAGAGGUAAGUUGAACCUCAGGAUAUGCUGAGGUAUUUUUAAUUUUUGUUUUUUCAAAAUUUAUAUUUUUCAAAAAAAAUCAACUCAUAUUGCAAGAGGUGAGUUGAGCCUUGGGUUCACAUGUCGAGGUAUUUUCAAAAUCUACUUUUCAAAUUAAGUUUCAAAAACUAACUCAUAUUGCGAGAGGUGAGUUGAGCCUUGGCUCACGUGCUAAGCUAUUUUUGAUUUCUGUUUUUAAUAUCUGUUUUUAAAGAGUCAAUUCAUAUUGUGAGAAAUGAGUUGAGCUCAAGAUCACAUGCCGAGUAAAGAAUAAAGAUUAGAGUUGAUUGAAGACACCAGAACUUGUCUCCCUGAAGUUGCAGUGGAGCUGAUCAAGAAUAUCAGAUCUUGCCUUUCUAAAGGGGCAGAAGAGAAAACCAAAACCUUAUCUCACUGAAGCGGUAGAAGAGCAGAUUGAAGUUGUAGAUCUUAUCUUUCUGGAGUUACAGUGAAGCGGAUCGAAGCCACAAAUCUCAUAUCCUUGAAGUUACAUUGGAAUAGAUUAAAGCUACAAGGCAUAUGUUAGAAAAUGUAGUGGGUUGAACCAAAGCUACAAGAUGCGAUGGAUUGGAACAAGAUUACUUGAAGAAGAGAAGCACAAAGAGGUCAAAACUCAACGAGGCCAGGCAAAAUUGGUUUUUCUUAAAAGUCUUUGCUCUAUUCUCGUUACACGACAAUGAGCAAAGAGUGGCAGCUGUACAUACCCAAUUUUGCCAACCCAUUCUGAAAUACUAACCCAAACCCCAAAUAUUAAUAACCAAAACCCAAUUACAAAAAACCAACCCACCAAACUAAACCUACCCAACAGCCAUUAAACCCCAAACCUAUUUAGCCCAACACCAAAAAAACAAACAAACUAAAAAAACCCUAAAAUCAAAAACCCUAGCCCCCUAACACCUAGGUGCGCUGCACCUAGGUCAACCCCUCCCCUCUGCCAAGGCCACCAACCGCAACCAGCACCGGUCACCUGCCUUCUGCCACCGGACUGCCCCACUUGCACAACAAAGCAAACACGCAAGGCAGAGGAAAGACAGUAGAAACAAUAAAAAAAUCAUGUAAGUGGCUUUAAAAAGCCAAGCAAAAACUGAUUUAGGGGAUUUUUGUUACAAAAAAAAAAGAAAAACCGAUUGUAUUUUAAAAGGUUUUUACUUCUGAAAUUUGGAGGAUAGAAAAACGAAAAGAUAUAAGCUUUAAGGUGAUUUUCGUGUUAUUCAUUUUAUCUUUUAUUAUCUUUAGUUUAUUUUUUUGUUUAUUUUUUUAUAAAUAAAAAAAUAAAAAGAAAAAAGAGAGGGUUUACCAGAGUUACCUUGUGACCGCGUCGACGCUCGACGAUCUCAUCGUCGGAGGCUUCUUCCCCGUGGCCAGAAUCGUACCAAAACGGGGUAAAAAGGGGCCUUUCUCCUUUUGAUUUCGCAGAUUUGGAGGCUUCCACCUUUGGACACACUCAAAAAGGGAUCGACAAACCCCAUCUUUGCGCUUCGUUAGUCGCCGGAUACAGAGGUGGUACGACGGGCGGUGGAAAGCCAAGGGUCGGCCAUGGGGAAGACUAAGGAGAGAAAUGAGAAGGGAGGGAGAGCAGAGUGGCUCUCUGAUUUUUUCUCUAAAACAGGGGCUGAAAGUGGAAAAAAAGGGUUUCGAUUUAGGUAAUAGAGGCAAAACAGAGUCGCUUGGAUGAUUAGGGCUCAGAGGCCAAAACGACGUCGUUUUGGACCUCUAACCCGAGUGACCCGACCCGAGCCCGUGGAGGAUCCGCGCAUUUUGACUGAAUGGUCUAUUUGCGCAUGGGAUCCCUCUACUUUCUUGGCGUGUUCCACUGUGGUCCUCCCUUUCCUUUUUAUUUCGAAUUCGCCUCAAAAACUUCAUUCUUAAUUCAAUUUUAUUUUAAUUUUAAUACUAUAUACUAUUAUAUUUUAUUAGUAUCAUUAUUAUGUUUAUUAUUUAUUAGCAUUAGUAUUAUUUUCACUUAAUACUUACAUAUAUACAUAUAUUAUAUAGUAUUAUUAAUAGUUUUCUUUUUAUCUAUUAUUAUUAUUAUUAUUAUUUUUCUUAACUCUAUAUUAUGUGUAUAUUCUUUAGAUAUAUUAAGUAUUUUUUAAAUUCUAUAUUACGUACAUAUGUAUUUAUACUAUAUUAUGUGUAUAUUCUUAAAUAUUGUUAGUUAUAUUCUUAUAUUAUCAUAUAUAUAUUUUAAAUGCUAUAUUAAGUACGCAUAUAUUAUAUAUGGCUUUUCCUUAAAUAUUAUAUUAUACGUAUUUAAAUACUAAUACUAUGUAUAUAUUAUUUCAUUUAUUUCUAUCCCUAUUAUGUUCAUUAUUAAUAUUAGUACAUAUAUUUUAUUAUGUAUGUAUAUAUAUAAUUUGUAUAUAGUAUUAUCAUUUCUAUUAUCAUAUUUAUUAUUAUAUUUAUUAUUUUCACUAUUAUUUUUAUUAUGCGUAUAUACAUAGAUGUUUUUAAGUACUUAUUAUAAAUAUAUAAUUUUCUUACUGUAUUAUUAUGUAUAUCAUUUUUACUCAUUUCUUCAUUAAUUUUUAUUUAUUAUUUUAACAUUCUUAUAUUAUGUAUAUUAUUAUUAUUAUUAUUUUAUUAUAUUUUCAUAUAUUAUGUAUAUAUAUUUUUAAAACAUCAUAUUAUUCAUAUACUUUAUUAUAUAGGUAUAUCUUUAUGUAAUAUUAAUAUUGUUAUUAACAUUAGUAUGUGUUUUCAACAUUAUUAUUAUUUAUGUAUAUGUUAUGUAAAUAUUUUAAUAUUAUAUUAUAUAUGCAUUUUUCUAGAUUACGUAUACAUAUACCUUGUUAAUAUUGUGUUUUAUAUAUCGUGUAUACAUUACUACAUCAUUUUUUUUCUAACAUAUUAUUUUUAUAACUAUAUGUUAUGUAUGUAUUUUUAAAGUUAUACUAUGAAUAUGUUUUUAUACUAUGUAUAUAAUUUGUAAUACUAUUAUUAUAUUCAUAUUUUAAAUAUAUACGUAGGUAUGUAGGUAACAUUAUUAGUAUUUUUAAUAUUACGCUUACGGCACUUUGCUCGUUACCAUAUGUUUGUAUAUACGUUCAUCUCUAUUUUGUGUUUAAUACUAUUGUUAUCCUGUUUAAUAUCGCAUACAUUGUUCUCGUUUUAAUGUUAUUGUCAUAUUUAUUAUUUGCUUUGAUGUAUUUAUAACUCUUUAUUUUUGUUUCUUGCCCCUUUUAUAUCAUUUUGCUGUUCAUUACUUUAAAUAUUUUUAUUCAUUCUUUUAAUUAAUUUCAAUAAAUAAGGCAACGUGUCGAUUUAACAUUAAGUCUUUGGUUUCAUUGUUAUGUUGGGUGAAUAUCAUCGGCUCGUGUUAAAAAGGAACGUCCUUCUCAAAAGAAAUCGAAAUUAUAAAAAGUUUCUCGUGUUUUGGUCGGAUCAUGAUUAAGAUUUAAAUUGAACUCAUAUUUUUGAGAAUUAAGACAACGCAUGUUUUACAAGAUACCAAUUUUGGGCGUUGCGAGGGUGCUAAUACAUUCCUCGCGCGUAACCGACUCCCGAACCCUACUUUACUCUGAUUUUCACGUAGACCUAAAUUUAGCCUUCAUUUUUGUUCGAGAAUAAAUUUUCUUUUCAAAAAGAUGAUUUAUUAGGUGUCCGAUCGCACCUAAAGAAAAGGGAUCGGUGGCGACUCCUUUUUUUAUAAAAUCGAAAGUCAGUUUUCCAAUUUGCAAGAAAUCACCACAAUUAGCGACCAAGCUAAAUUUUUACGUCGCUACAGUGGAAAUUGAAUGAAAAUAUGGAAUUAGUUUUAAAGAAAUAAAGUUAGUCUCGGUUUAGGGACUAAAUUGGAAUUUGGGCAAAAGUUGAAUAAAAAUUGAAAUAUUCAAUGUGAAAUUGUAUUGUAUUGAUGAAUUUCAAUUAUUUCAAUUCCAUAGCUAAUGUUGUAUUGAAAACCUUGGCUAAGAAAGGAAAAUAUAAAGUCGACGAGGAGUAGCUCGAAAAUCCUAGUUUGUAUUUUUAUAAUCCGAAUCUAGUAAUUAUUAAUUGUUGUAUUUUAAAUUAAAUGUUUAUGGUAAGUAAUUAAGGUGAGUAUUAGUAUUUUGAUAUUAAAUUUAUAUGUAUAUGUGAUUGAUGUGGAAAUUGAAUAUUGAAUAUAUGUUGUCCUUGAAAAAUGAAUUGAAACCCUAUUAACUGUAUCGAGCUGAGUCGGAUAUAAACGGCAUGCCAUAGGAUUGGAAGGGUUUAGGGAUUACUUCGACUUUGAGUCGAUGAGGUAUUGAGUACCAAUUUACUUCGGUUAAGCCGAUGAGACACUGGGUGUCAGUUUACUGCUUUGAAUUAUCCGAUAAAGUACUGGGUGGCAAACUGGUGUGUUUGGUUGGAUCCGUGUAUCCGUCAGAGUCCGAGUCGUGUUAAUAGGGGUAAUUAAAUAAUAAAAGUACUUUGAUUAAUAUUGAAUAAUAAUGUAUGAAAAAUCUGAAAUGUGAAACAUGAGUUAUGUACUCAUGAUUUGGGUAUGGAAUGAAUAAGUGAUUGGAUUGUGGAUCAAAUUGUAAAAGCUAUUAUAUAGCAAAAAAUGUGAAUUGAGAAUGAUAUGAUUUGUGUAUCAUAUUGUGAUCAGUUGUUGAGAUUGUAAAUCUUGGGAUUUGAAUUUGUUAUAAUUAGUUUAUUUAUGAAUUGAAUAGUUGAAUGGCUAUAAUUAUUUUAUGAUUAUAUAUAUACAUGAUUAAAUAUUUUACUUUUAAGAUUUCAGAUUAAAGAAAUACCACUGAGUUCAUACUCAGCGUACGGUUUGUUUUCUAUGCGCAGGUUAGGUAUUUAAAAGUUGAACGUCGAUUUAGCAUCUACAAUGAUCCCGAACUCAAAACGUGGUGAUGUAUACUUCUUUUUGUAUCGGCAUGUACUUAGGAUGUCUAAGUGUUUAUUAUUUUGUGGAAUGAUUGCAAAUGGUUUAUAAGUUGAUAUUGGUUGAGUAUGUAUAAGAACAUAUGUGUUAUGAUGAAGUUAUGAUAUGAUAUGUUAAGUUAGGGUAUAAGUGAAUAUGGUAUAAGCAAAUUGGAUUUAAAAUUUGGUAUGAUUUUGAAAUGACUUGAAUGGUACCUUAUUGGAAUGUUUUGAUAAUAUAAAUAGUGGAUAAGUAUCAAAGUUGAUUGUUUUGACAUGUUUUAAACGUAUUUGAUUAGGUUGGAUUGGUUGAAUAAAUGGUUUUUGAGUUGCUUAGUGUUCAAGUCUAUAGGGUAUGGUAAACUUGAUUUUAAGGUUCAUUUUGAGUCCACACGGCUAGACACACGGCCGUGUUACUGGACUGUGUCAGACACACGGCUAACACACGAGCGUGUGAUUUGGCCGUGUGUUCCCUGCAACCCUAGAAUUUCGAAACAAAAUGCUCAGGUAUUUUCACACGGGCAGAGAUAGAGGCGUGUGUCUCAAUUGUGUGUGACACAAGACCUAACACACGGGCAUGUGACUGGUCGUGUGAUCCAAGUCAGAGAGUUACACGGGGUUAGACACGGCCUGAGAUACGGGUGUGUCCCAUGGCCACACGGGAAUGUGUCCCCUACACUUAGGAAAAUUUUUAAAAUUUAGCGAAAAAUUCCCGAAGUACCUGAUUUAGUCCCGAUUUUUUUAACACAUAUUUUAAGCCUCGAGGGCUCAAAAAAGGGAAAAUAUAAUUAAAUUAUAAUGUGUAUGCUAAAUGGUUAUAUAAUGUUCAUAGAUAAUCUAAAAAGUCUGAUAAUGCUUCGUAACCCUGUUACGGUGACGGAUAAGGGUUAGGGGGUGUUAUAUUCAAGACAUUUUCAGUCCAAUUGUAAAGCUAACAACAAUUCGAGUUGUUUUGUCACUGGCUGUCAAGUUUGGCUGGCAACUAAGGCAGGUGGAUAUUAAUAAUGCAUUCCUCAAUGGUGACUUAUCUGAGGAGAUUUAUAUGGUUCAACCUCCUAGCUUUGAGCAGAACCAUGGUGAUCGAUUGUUGGUGUGCAGGUUGAAGAAAGCACUGUAUGGUCUUAAACAGGUUCCCAAGGCCUGGUUCUCCAAGCUGCGUGAUUUUUUGCUCUAUUCACUCUUUGUUUUGGCUAAGUUAGAUGGUUCUCUCUUUAUUAGGAAGACUAAUGGGGUACUCUUGUAUGUUCUAGUAUAUGUCGAUGACAUAAUUGUCACUGGAAAUCAUUAAGCCAGCAUCGAUAGCUUUGUUUCAACCUUGGAUACUUAGUUUUCCUUGAAGGAUUUGGGGCCUCUCAGUUACUUUCUUGGUAUUGAAGUAACUUCCACUGUUGAUGGAUUGUUUUUGAGCCAGAGCAAAUAUGUUCUUGAUCUUCUAAGAAAAGCUCGAAUGGAUCAAACAAAUGGCUCUCUUACACCCAUGGUCACUUCUUCCAACUUGUCUCAGCAUAAUGGUUGUGCGAUUGAAAACGAGUUUGAGUAUCGAAGCAUUGUGGGAGCCCUAUAGUAUGUUAUUUAUACCCCGGUUUCUAACGGUUCACUGGUCAUCACUAAAUCAGAUAUCACUUUUGUUGUGAACAAAGUCUGUCAGUUCAUGCAUCGACCUCUUGAUCAACAUUUCAAGGCUGUCAAACUGUAACGACCCAUAUUUCACGGGCACCGGAAAAGUGAGUUUAGGGCUUCCAUCUUAGGAAAAUGAGUUCGUAAAUAUUUAUAAAAAAAUAUUUACGAAGUUAGUUGUGAGUUGAAUUAGAUUUUAAUUAGGUGAAUUUAUUUUUAAUUAGAAGUAAUUAGUAGAAAGGAUUAAAUUAAAUAGAGCAUAAAAGCUUAAUCAUAGAAUAGAGAAAGGAUAAAGGAUUAAAUUAGUAAUUAAACUAAAUUAGUGACAUGUGUAAGUUAGAAAAUAAAAACAUGUGUAUUUAAAUUAUUAGUACAAGUGUAUAUAAUAUAUAAAUUUACUUAUAAAUUAAGUAAAAGAUAUUUACUUAUUAUUAUUAUUAUUAUAUUUUAUCAAUUAAUUGAGAUAAUGAAAAAUGUAUGGUGAUGAAAUAUUACAUGUGUACAUGUGUGUAUGAAUACACAUGUAGUAUUUUUAUUUGUAUUAAUUAGAUAUUUUAUAAUUAAUUAUUAAUUUAGUAAAUAAAAGAAAUAAAAUGAAAUAAAGAAUAAAUAAAAGAAAGAAAAACAAGAAAAAGAAACAAAGAAGAAACGAAAUAGAAAGAAAGAAAGAAGAAAAGAAAAGAAAAGAAAAAGGAGAAAUUAGGGUUUGAAAGCUUGGAAGUUAAAUUGGUAAGUCAAUUAAGUCCCUUUCUUAGUGAUUUUGAUGUUGUUGAAGUUCUAAAGUUGAAUACUUUUGAAUUUGUGUGAAAAUAUUGAAAGAUGAUAGACUUUUAAGUAGGGUUUAUGUUGAACUAAUGAUGAAAUUAAGAGUUUAAUUGAUAGAAAUUUUGAUUUAAAUUGAUUAAAGGAUUGAAUUGUAAACAAGGUCAUAAGUUUUGUGUUGUAGGACUAAAUUGAUAGAAAUUCAAAAUUAUGGAAAAAUGACAAAAGUUUGAUGGUUAGAUUAAAGUUUUGAUGGAAAUUGAAUAAGGAAAUAAUAUGAAUUAUAAAAAGGAAGAAGAUGAAAAUAGUUAGGACAAAUUUGGGAUUUAGGUUAAAGUUGCAUGGAAAGUUAUUAUUUUCUAUAAAAUAAGUGUGUUAUUAAUUAAUUAUAAUUAAGCUAAUUUUCGUAGCAAACAAGGAAACCGAGACGUUGAAUGCGAAGGGAAAGGAAAAAGUGAUCGAGGAGUAGCUCGAGAAAAUAUCAGUUUGUAUUACCUUAAUUCAAGUUAUUUAUUAUUAAAUGUUUAAUUUCAAUAUAUGUGCAUGAAAAAUGAAAUUAAGGUAAGUAGUGAUAUUUGAAUUGAAUGAGAAUUGGAUUUGAUUGAUGAAUGUAUACAUGUGUGAAAUUGAAUUGUAUAAUGAUUUGUGGUGAAUUUGAAAUUGUGAUUGAAUUGUUAUUGCGAUGGAUUUGAAUUAGAAUGAUUAUGAUCAACUGAAAGUGAAAGUGAUAUGAUUAUGUGAUUCCGAUACCCUAUUAACUAGUCGGGCUAGGGUGGAUAUAGUUGGCAUGCCAUAGGAUAGGAAGAGUUCAGGGAUUUUUCGACCUUGAUUCGAUGAGACACUUGGUGUGUCAUAUUUGCUUCAAAUAGAUUUGAUGAGGCGUUGGUCGCCACUUUGCUUCGACUUAGCCGAUGAGAAGUUGGUCGUCACUUAUUUGCUUCGAACUAUCCGAUGAGGCGUUGGCCGCAACUCUGGUGUGUUUGGUUGGAUCCGUGUAUCCUCCAAAGUCCGAGUUAUGUUAAUAAGGGAAAUAUAUGUGAAGAGAAAAAUCAAAUGAAAUUGAUAAAUUGAAUUAUUGAAUGAAAUGAGAAAGUGAUAUUGUAAGAUGAAUUGAGAAAUGCAAUUUGUGCUAUGAGAUUGAAGGCAUAAAACCAAGGUUCAUGAAUUAUUCAUAUUUGAAUGUGAAUUGGAUAUUUAUAUGUGAUUGAGAGAUGAACCAAAGGUUUAUGAAUAGUUGGUAAUCUUAUUGAAGAAAUAUUGAAUCAAAUAAUGAAAAUGAUACAAUGGAAAUAUGAUAACUUGGUAUGAAUUAUAUGUAACACCCCAAACCCGUCCCAGACGUUGUGACCGGAUUUGACAUGCCACAUCGAAGCGUUCAAAACAUUUUCUAUUGUUGAUCCUGAAAAACUUACUUAGUGUUUUAAAAGAUAAUUUCAUUAUAGGUUAAAGUGAAUGGAAGCUGUGCACCAGGUAGGAAACCGAAAAAGAGGUGGUGAGUCCAUCGGACUGCUUAAGUACCAAGCUCCCUUCGGAUCCAAUCCUAGACAUGCACACUGCCAUUGCCACACCUUAACGUCAUGUAUAUUUCUAGGGAACCGAUUUGAUUAAGUCAUUUUUAGGAAAAGUGAUUAAUUUUGGAAAAUACUUUCAUUGCGGAAGCUUUGCUUGUUGUCAUGUUAUUUUGAAAUCAAUUGUUGUUUUUUUUUGAAAAUGCGCCCUAAAGCUAUCCAAUUUCAACAGUUAAAAUAAGUAAUACCUAUCUUAGUAAUACAUAUUAAAACCAUCAAAAAUAAUUAAGCGGCCUUACUACGUUUAAAAACCCAAAACUUCAAACGUAAAUAAAAGGAUGUCCAGUUCACCAGAAGAAAAUAAAACUUUCAGAACAGGUGGCCACUCCGAAUUCCCUCACAGCUCUAAGCCCACUAUGGUUGGGGAUUUCCUGUGUGGAUGAAAAAAAAAGGGUGAGUUUGGGGAAACUCAAUGUAUAAGGAAAACCCAUUCAAAACCCAAGUCAGCUCAAGCCUAUUGGCCUAAGCCCAUUCAGGUAACAGUGGUACUGGACCAGAGCCCUUUUCAGAUUACAAUAAACUGGGCCUUAGCCUCUUAUUCAGAUAACAGUAUGGCUCACAGGCCCAUUUCAAAAUACAUGCAACAUUAAUAACAUAUGCAAGCCCAUUUGGGGAGAGUACUCAACCCACCAACCACUACACUCCACCCAUACCAGCCCUACACUCCAUGUGGGGAAUAGCUCAACCCACCCAGCCCAACACUCCACAGUUGCAGCCUUGCUGCUCAGUUAACAGUAAAUUGAGGCAAAGCCUCCAGUACGUGGACAAGCCACUUUCAGUACUUCCUCCGUCAAUAUCCCAAUCCCAUGCAUCAAUAAUAACAACAUGGCAUGCAGUAAUAACAACAGUCAAACAUGCAUUUAGGUCAAUUUAACCCUAGGGGUAUUUCGGUAAUUUAUCUACUAGGGGUAAAACUGUAAAUUUUCUACUUUUAAAGGUAUUUCUGUAAUUUAUCUAUUUUAGGGUUUUCAUGCAUAUUCUUACUUUUUACGUACUAACAGAAUCACGUACCGAGGGUUUUUACCGAAUUGGGCCCGUUGGCCCAUCAUUCCAAUUUUGGCCCAUUAAGCCCAAAAAUAUCGAGGGCACAGAAAUCAUGCACUUUGCAGUCCAAAUUUUGCAGCUUACCAAAAACAUUAAUCGAUUUACCUCACGAGCAUUCGCACACUCGCAAAUCUACAAAAUACCGGUUUUCGGCAUUUUGGCUUUUCGACUUUUGCCGAUCCAGACUAAGAAAGAGGGUGUUAGUUACACACCGGUUUGCGACGAUAUGCUGACGAGAUCCACACACGAACCGCCUACAAUUGGAUUACUAACACGUUAAUCUAACUAUUCAAAAACAAACUACGUAUUAACCCCUUACAAUAUUCGGCCAACCACACCUACAGAUCAUAGUAAGCUUAUAAGAAAUCAAUAAGCAACUCAUUAACAAAUUUUUGUCAAUGUUUACCACAUAAUCAUAAUUUCACUGCAAGCUGUCUUCCUGAGCAACAGUCACUAAAUCAUUUAUAACUGGAGCUACGAAACUCCAAAUCAAGUGCCGUUAAUUUUCCCUGAAAAUAGACUCAUAUAUAUUAUAUCCAUAAAAUUUUCAGAAUUUUUGGUUUGGCUAAUCAAUACCAGAUUUUUCUCAAAGUUUCGCAUGUUUCACUGUUUGACUAAUCUGACCACUCUUCAUUACGAAUCAAAUUUCUCAUUGUACAGAAUUCAAAAUAUGUUCUCGUUUAUUUCAUUUGAAACUAGACUCAAAAAUAUUUAAUUACAUAAUUUAUUCAGCUUCUAAUUCAUCUCCCACAAUUUAUGGUGAUUUUCCAAAGUCACGUUACUGCUGCUGUCCCAAGCAGAUUUAUUACCAAAUUCACUCAUUCACACAUAACUUGCAUGCAUGUUAUUUAAACAUGUAUAUCACCAAUCAAUCAUCACAUAUCUAUGAUUUUACUUAAGUAUAAUCUCCAUUUCAUCAUUUUAAAGCACAACAUGUUAGCCGAUUUUUCCCCUUAGCAUCUAAGGCACAUGCAUGCUCAUUUGUUUGGCUCAACUUCACCUAUCUUCCAUUUUUCAUCAAAAGAACAUGAAACAAAAACCAUUUCCUUCAUUUUAAUUCAUGACUAAAUGCUCACAACACAACUAAAAACCAAAAUAUGCUUCAAGAGUUAAGGUAGAAUUAAGAAGAACUCAUGAACCUCAAAAUAAAAGCAAACUACCAUGAACUUACCUUCAAUUUUUCUUCCCCAAGUGACCGAACAUUCAAGAGCUUUCUCCUCUCCUUUCUCUUCUCUAACUUUAGGCUAUGAUGAACAAAGAUGGACAAAACUUUGUUCUUUUCACCCCCUUUUUUUUUAAUAAAAUUUCAUAUUUCAUCCAUUUAAUUCUUUAAUACAAAAGACAUGAAAUUCCCAUCAUGGAACAUUUACCUAACCCAUUAUCAUGAAACAUUUACCUAACCCAUUAUCAUGAAACAUUUACCUAACCCAUUAUCAUGGAACAUUUACCUAACCCAUUAUCAAUUUGUAUCAAUUUGUACCAUAAAUUAUGGAUAUCAAGUGCACAUUUUGUCUACAACAACAUGAUGACCAGCCACUACAUGUAAAAUGGGAGGUUUGUCAUGCAAAUCCUCCUAUUUUGCACUCCUAUUUAUUUGGCCACUUCAAUUUAGCCUAUAGCAUUUUCAAAAAUUUUCACAUAGGUCCUAUUUCAUAAUUUCACCCCCUUUUUCUUAUGGAACAAAAAUUAACUAAAAUUGUCGGGUUCUAUCUUAAGCUUGGGCCUUCUAGAGGACCACUAACAUAAUUAAACCUAUGCCAACAUUCACAGAAUUCCCGAAAAUUGGGGCGUUACAUUAUAUGUAUGAUUUGUUAAUUAUCUAUGCAUGUUUAUGAUAUUUAUAUUUGCUUUAAUUUGAAUUAUGGUAAUACCACUGAGUAUUUCCAAUACUCAGCGUACGGUUUGUUUCCGUGUGUAGGCUAGGUAAAGUUGAAGUUCAGUAUAGCAUCAAAGUCAAUCCUGACCUCAUCUUCGUUUCUGGUGAUGAAUCUAUAUUUUGGAAAUGUGGCAUGUAUUAGGUUUUGUUUUAGUCACUUAAAUAUAUUUUAUGUUUUGGGUGUAAGGUAAUUUGUAACUUUUAAGAAGUAUUUGAAAUAAAUAAAUGAAUGUUGUUUGAUUAAGAUUUAUAAGUCAAUGUUUUGGGUAUGAAUUAGGUGUGUUUAAUAUGUGAAAGUAGCUCAAAAAUGGUGAAAAAUCAUGUUUUUACAGGGCCAACUCACAUGGGUGUAUGCCUAGGCCGUGUGGCAAAGUCAUAAUUGCCCACAGGUUAGUCCUACGGCCGUGUGAGCAAGACAGAUCUGCCCAUGGGCUGGCCCCAUGGCCAUGGGAGCCCCACGGGCAGGCCAUACGGGCAUGUCCCAGGCCGCACGGGCGUGUGCCCCUAUUCUCAAGGAAAAGUUUCCAAAGUUCCCGAUUUAAUCCCAAAACACUUCCUAAGUAUAUUUUUGGCCUCGUAGGUCCAUAUUAGGGACUUUAAGGUAGAAUUUGAAAAAUUUUAAAUUGAAAUAUAGAUUUAUGACUCGGUGUUGUUUGUUAUUAGCGUCUAAUUUCGAUAAUGCCUCGUAACCCUAUUUCAGCGAUGGGUUGGGCUUAACGGGUGUUACACAAACGUAUCCUUCAAUAUCUCCAAAAUACUAUGAACUGUGGUCUUCAUAUUACUAAAACUGCCAACAUAGAUUUGGUUGCCUACUCGGAUGCAAAUUGGGGAACAGAUAUAGAUGAUCGAAGGUCUAUUACAGGUUUUUGUGUGUUCCUUGAGGGCAACCCUGUAGCCUGAGGAUUGAAAAAGCAACAGAUUGUCUCCAGGGCAACAACAAAAGCUGAAUAUAGAGGACUAGCCCUUACAGUUACAAAAGUAUUUUGGCUUGAGUCUCUUUUGUUAGAACUACAUGUUUCAACCUCAAGAAAAACGAAAAUGUAGUGUGAUAACUUAAGUGCCGUUGCUGUUUCUGCAAAUCCGGUGUUGCACUUAAAGUUUAACCACGUUGAGUUAGACAUCUUCUUUGUUUGAGAAAAGAUUGCAACUGAAAAGCUUAGUGUGGGGCAUAUUCCAGCACAGGAACAAGUUGCAAAUGUCUUCACCAAACCCUUGUCAAUCCCCUUAUUCACAAAAUUCAGAUCGUGUCUGAAAGUAGUUACAAAAAUUUGUUGACUCAGUAGAAGUGAAGCAGAUGGAGGUAUGUUAAGUAAUGGAAACAAUUAUAGUAGUUAGUAGUUAGAGCUUGGUAGUUAUAGUAGUUAUAGUUAGUUAACUGUUAAUACUUUGUGUUAUAAAUGCUGUGCUUUGUACUCUAUAACUCAUCUUCUUUAGUUAAUCAUUUUCACUUUUCUUGAUUCAUGCUGUAGAUCUCAUUAGACUACCACGUAGGACAUCCAAGUUGGCAUUUAAAAUCCAUUUGGGCUGCCAUGUAGGACCGCCGUUAUGGAGUUAAUAGAGCUUAACGGUAGAGUGGCCAUUUCAUAACAGAACGAUAAUGUAAGUGACUAAAACAUAACAUUUUAAACUUAAGUAACUAAAAUGUAAUCUGUGUCAAACAAAAGUGACUAUUUUUAUAGUUUACCUUAACAUUUAAAACUACUGUAUUUCUUUUAAUAAAAAUAAUAAGCAUCUAAUCUUAUUGCUAGUGCAACCUCGAUUUAAAGAAGGGACGUUAGAAGUUUUGAAUUUUAUUAUAUAUCAAUUUGAUUUAAAUUUAUUUUCAAUUGAAUUAAUUAUUAAUUCAACAUUUAUAAUGAUUGAUUGAGUAUAGGUACAAUCUUCAAUUUUAAUCUUCAAUGUUUAUUUUUUUUUCAAUUUAAUCUUUACCUUUUUUAGUUAAAUUUGGUUCUCAAUCUUUUAAAAAAAGUCGAAUUUGACUAUCAACUUUUCAAAAAAAAAAGUUAAUUUGUUGUUUUAAACGAAAAUACUGACUAAAAUAUCAAUUUUUUAAACAUAGUAACUCGAAUGACAAUUCACUUAUAUUUCAUGUUAAUUUUAUUUUUAAUUUUAUGAAAUUUUAAUUUUUUUUGAAUUUUUAAUAUUUUUAUUUUAAAAAAAAUUAUUUGUUGACAAUGGCUUAUACGAGAAAUAGUACCAUGGCAACAUAAAAGUACAUGUGAAUUGUCAUGCAAGUUGCCACACCAACAUUAUUAAAAAAAUUAAUAUUUUAGCCAGCAUUUUCGUUAAAAAAAGCAAUCUAACUCUUUUUCUGAAAAGUUGAGGGUUAAAUUUGACAAAAAAAGAGAACCAAAUUAACAAAAGAUGUAAACAUUGAGAGCUAAAUUUGACAUUGAGUAUUAUUAUAAGUUGUAAGUAUGUUAGAAAGAUUAAUUAUGAAAAAUAAAAGGGAUAAAUACCAUAACCAUACACGAACUAUGAUUUAAUGUGCAAUUGUAUACAUGAAUUUUGAUUUUAUAUAAUUUUAUAUAUGAAAUUUUGAUUUGAUUUAAUUAUUGUAAAUUAUUAACACAAUUAUUGAUAAAAUAUUAUUUUGUAUUUAUUAGGAUUUUAUGUGUAUAAUUAUACCAAAUUAGUGUGAUAAAAGUUGGAAGAGUUGUGGACACAGGUGGGGCAAACACAAUGCAGCAACAAAAAUAGCUAAUCUUUGGCCAACACUUGAUGUUAAGUUAUAAUUUCCCGAAAGCAGUUGGUUUAGGUUAACUCCAAUGGAGCUGUGUUUAAUGUAUGAUGUUAGUGAAUGUUCUCCAACUUCAUAGGAACUUUCAUUUUCAAUCCCUAUAAAUAUUCCCACUCCACUUAAUUUAUAUUACUAACUCAUACCACCUUACCAAUUUCCAAAUGAAAUAUUUUGCUACCAUAAUUAACUAAUAUGGAAAAUAAUUGCAAAAACAAAUGACAUUGAUGCAUGAAUGUAUCAUAAAAUUAGAUAUUAAGCAUCAUCAUUGUAAAAAUAUAAUUUGAACAUUUAAAAAAAAUUUAAAUCAAUGUGAUAAAUUACAUAAAAUAUAAGCUAUUCAAAAGUUACAAUUUGGUCAUUGAACUAUUCAAAAGUUUUUAUUUAAAUCAUUGGACUAUUAAAACUAAUGUCACAUGACUUUCUCCAUUCACAAUACCUUUACCAAUUGCAAGCUCUUUUACCCCUUCUCUUUUAUAGUUCAUUUUUUUUCAUGAAACAACUGUGGACAUCAUGAAUCUACAGAUCAAAACUCAAACAUAUUUUUCUCCAAUCUCCAACAUUGAUUAUCAAAUCAACUUAGAUCUAAGGUAUGUUCUUGUACUCAUCGAUGGGUAUUGAUCCAUUGUACCAAUUAUUGAAUCAUCGCUUAGAGGUCGCUGGCGGAACUAUUUUUUUCUAAAAACUUAACAUGUUACGACCCGAAUUUAGGCAAUGUUGGAAAAUAUGAUUUUGAAACCUCAUUUUUGUAAACCAAGUUUGUAAAGAUAAAACAGGAUGAUAUACGGAGCUAAUAUGAAAAUAUAUUAAAGAUCGAUUAAGUAAUUCAACUAAGAAAUUUUUUAAUUAAAGCUUAGGGACUAAAAUGUAAAAUACCAAUUACUAUUGAAUUUUAGUUUAAAAAUUCUUCAGGACUUAGUUUGCAAUUAUUCAAAGGACUAAAAUGAUUAUUUAACCAUUUUUAUCAUGAGAUAGUGGAAGAUGAUGGUGUUUCCCACUUAGUUUUGAUAUUAUAAUUAAAAUGUAUAAUUAUGUCUUAAUUAAAUAAAUUAAUAAUGAUUAAUUAAGUGCAACAGACCGUUUUUCAGUGGUGUCUGAAACAGUGAUUUUGGAGCCACCAAAUUCGACAGUAAGUUCAUAAAUAUUAAGUCAAAUGUGAUUUUAAAAAGGUUUUUGAUUGGAUAAUUUAUGUUAUUUAAGUGAUUUAUUAAGUUCAAGUGGCAAGACCCUAAGGUCAAGUGGUUUUAGAAAAUGAGGUAUCGAGACCUCGUUUCUAUAAAUUGACUUCGUUUCAUGAAGGCGGUAUUAAAGUUUCGUUGAAAAAUUUUAAUGUUUCAAUAUUUAAUUAAUUAAAAAGGACUAAAUUGUAAUAGAUGUAAAAUUUGAUCACUAUUUAAUUUGAGUGAUUAAAUGGUUAAUUAAAUAAAGGAAAAAUGACUUAAUUGGUAAUUAUACCAUUCAAGGAGUUAGUGGACAAUUAUGUGCAUGAAAUUGAUGUUUUAUUUAUUUAUUAACCAAGGCUAAAAUGGUAAUUUGAUAAAUUAAAUUAAAAUAAAUAAAACCAAAAUGUUUUAUUCAUCUUUUACAGUUUCUUUUUCACGGAUUGUAAAUGGAGAAAGAAUCCAUUGUUAACCUUGGAAUUUCGGCAACUUGACAAGCUAGCAUGGCAUGUUAUUUUAGCCUCGUUUUUAAUGAUUUUUAUAUUUUUAAGAUCGUUGCAACUAGGUCUAGCUAGCCCGUAACUUCAAUUUUGAAACUGUUAAAGAUUUUGAAUGUUGUCAUUAAUGAACCUUGUGAUUUUAGAUGUUAAUUGAUGAAUUUGAGAUAUUAGUUGUUAUUUAAAAGUAUUUUAUUAAGUGAUUUUUGAUGAAUUUAUCGAUUAGGGACUAAAUUAUUGAAAUAGUAAAAGUACAAGGAUUUGAUGUGAAAUUGUUGCAAUAAUGGGCUGUAUUGGAUGCCAUAAGUAUUUGGCUAGGCUCAAUUUUGCGUAAAAAUGGUUAAUUUGCAUGUUUUAGGCUUAAUGACUAAAUUGAAUAAAAAUAAAACUUUAAGGGCAAUUUUGUAAAAAUAUCAAAAAUGACUAAAUUGCAUAAAAUACAUUUUUAACUAUCUAAGUUAAUGGAUUGAAUGAAAUUUUUAAUUUAGAUUAAGAUUGGGUGGAAAAUCGAGGAGAAUGGAAAAUUACCAAAAUAUCCUUGUACUUUGACAUUUUUGCAAUUUUGCCAAGUAAGUUUGUAUGAACUGUAUUAUGUAGAAUGUUGAUUAAAUUGAAUUUUAAUAUAUGAUUUUAUUGAAAAUGAAUCGAUAUACAUAUUUUAUUAUACAAGUUAUCAUGUUGUGAGAUGACGUAAAUCCAACGACGUACGACGACUAUCGAGCCCCGUUUGAACCUUAAGAAUACAUAGGAUACAAAUGACGUGUCAUUAGGGUUUAAAUAUUUAGGGUUCUGGUCUUAAAUGUCCUACUGGUGGCUGAGUUUCGGUAUGUGUUGGGAAUACUCCACAACUCGUGUGAGCAGACCCAUUUCGUAGCUCGUGUGAGCAAGCCCAUUUCACAGCUCGUGUGAGCAUAUAUGUACAGGAAAGGAUAGGCUACGAUUAUAUGAUUCACACACUUCAUAUGAGCUAUCCCGCAUAUUCAACGGUAUUCUAUUUGGUUCAACGGGCAUAAAUUUACAAGGAUAUGGUAAGUGUUCUAUAUGAACCAAGACAUGUAUGUAUGAAAGACUUCGAAAUGUUGAAUUACAUGGAAAAUAUGUUGUUAUGUUAAGAUGGAUGAUAGAUCCAAUUGAAUUAUGCUCAAGUACAAUGGUUAUUCAUGUCAAAUUUAUAUGAAUCAUGUUUAAAUGAACUGAAUCAUGUCUAAAUGAACUAACAUGUGUUGUUGAUGUACUUAGGCUUAUGCCAAGUCUGUGAAUAUGAUUGAUGUUUACGAUUAUGCUUGUACCAUGCAUAUGAAACAGGUAAGAAAAGGGAAUGAAACGGUAAGUACAUAAUUGAGAUGUAUUAUUAUGUUAUAAAAUAUUUUAAUCUAAUAAAUGAUGUACUUAUAUGUGAGUAAACUGCUUAUGCUAUGGUUGAAUCUACCAAUAUUAUGGAAAAAUUCACUGAGUUGAGAAUUAAUAAUGUUGUUAAAGCUUAUCAUAAGCAUUGGGAAUGGAAUGGAAAGUAACUAAAUUGAAAAGUGUAUAAUCUUAUAAAAAGAUUGAUGGUUAUACAUUAUGUCCCAUAAAAUUCUUUCAUGUUAUGAAUUACAAACAUAUUUGACAUUAAUGAAUUUGCUCAUUUGUGAGUUGAUGAUCAUAUAGAUUUAUUAAUUUUGGCAUUGGAAUAGCGUUAUGUCUAUUCUAAUAAGUUUAUUAUAGAAAUGGAAUUUUAUGCUUAAAGUUUAUAUAAGCUUACUAACCAUACAUAGCUUACAUAGUUAUUUUCCUUUACCUUGUAGAUUAUCAAAAGUUCGAUUGGGUUAGAAGCUAGUCAGGGAUCUAUCAUACUAUUCGUCAAGUUUAUUGGUAGAUUUUGAUGCUUUGGUCGUGGUUAUAAUGGCAUGUAUAGGUGGGCGUAUGUCUAAUGUUUAGUUAAUGAUAUCGACAUGUAAUGUUGCUUUGAAUUUGUGAAACUUAUGAUAUUUGAUGCCUCAAUGAUUGGUGUGCUUUUGGCAUUUUGAUGUUUAAAGGUUGGUCUUUAUAAGAUUAAACUGAUGUAUUGUUUUAUGGCCAAAGUGGUAAGAGUUGGCAUGUUUGCAAAGUGAUCAUUUAGGGCAUGUUUGAUAUGAAAUUUAGUCAAGUCUAUUUGUUUGAAUUAUGACCAUUUGGACAUAAUUUGGUAUGUAUAUAUGUUGGUUAUUGGAACCAUUUGAAAUUGGUUAGAAUGGUGACAUUUAAAUGGUUUUGAUGCAUGUGAGAAGUAGUCCCAAUGGUAAGGUCAUUUUGAUAUGUUCGAUAUGGAAACAAGUUAAUAGAAAAAUGGUUAAAUAUGCACAUGUAUAGGUGUUUUGUGCUUGUUGAUAUAGCCAUUAUGUUUGGCUUGUAAUUAUGGUAUUCUGGAUGAUGCAUUAGUUGUUAUGUUGGCAUGCAUAUGUGGUCUUAUAAUGGUUGAUAUUUUGGCAUGUUGGUAGUUAAAGGUUGGGCAUUGGAAUGAUAUAUAAAAUGCAUGCUAUGAAAUGUUAUUUUGAUAUGCUUGAAUGUGAUCAUUGAGGUAUGGAAAUUGAUAGUGAACAUUGAGUUAAUAAAUGACUAGUUUGGUGUGCUUGGAUGUGUUGACAUAUGGUCAAGUUUUCUAAAGCAGUGAUGAUAGGUGUUGAAUAGUCAAAUUGAUGUUUUUGAGUAUGAUAUUGGUAUGUGAAUAUCAUGGUAAAUUUUGGCAUAAAAUUAGUUAUAAAGGUUAGUUGAUUUGUGGUUAAACUUAACAAAUGUAUAAUCAUGUUUGAUUGUUGUGAUUGAGGUGCCUUUUGGUCAUAUUGGUUGUAUGAUCAAAUACUAUGAUGAUCUAGCUUGAAUAUGCAUAUGUUAGGUACAUUUUGAACGCUUGAAUAUAGGUGCAAAUGACUUGUAAGGGUGUGCUUGAAUUGGGUGAAAGAAAUGGCUUGAAUUUGCCUAUUUCUUGUCCACACAUCCUAAGACACGGGCACGUGUCUCAGCCUUGUGUGACAUACAGCCACGCGACACGACCGUGUGUCCCCUGUACGUUUUUAAAGGUUUUAUUUCGAGAGUUACACGGCCUGGCACACGGGCGUGUGACUUGGCCGUGUGACCUAAGUCAGAAAGUUACACGGGCUGGGACACAGCCGUGUGUCCCUACUUUGAAUGCCCACAUAGCUUGAGACACGGGCAUGUGUCUCAGUCGUGUAAGUCACACGGCUGUGUAACCCCUGUAGCAUGAAUUUUUCUAUCUUUUUCCAUGAAGUUCUAAAUGUUUUCAGUUUAGUCCCGAAUCAUUUCUAAAGUGUUUCUAAGGCCUCGAGGGCUCGAAAAAGGGAUGUUAUGCAUACAUUUGAAUGGAAUAUAAUGUGUUUUAUAAAUGGUUGUAAUCGAAUGUUUUAAGUUAAAAGUUCUUAGUAAUGCUCCGUAACUCUAUUCCGGCGAUGGAUACGGGUUAGGGGUGUUACAUUAAGCCUAAUUAAUUAACUAAUCCUAGUAUAUAUUAGAUUAUAGUGGAAAAAUUAAAGCCAUUAUCAUCUUUUCUCAUUUAUGUUGUCCAAGUUGAAGAAAGAAAAUAAAAAACCUAUUUCAUCUAUUCAACUUUCAACCAUUCAAUUUUCUAAGGUAAUUAAGCUAAAUCUUUGGAAAUUUUCUAGAAUAUGAAUCAUGGGAGCUUGAUCUAGCCCAUGUGGUCAUUCUUUCAAUUAGUUUAUGUUUAUCAAGUUGCCAUUAAAGCAUAAUUGAUGAAAUUAAGCUUGAAAUUGAAGAGAUUGUUAGAUAGUGAACUUAGAUUAUGUUAAGGAUUAAGUUAGAAAUUAAAUUAAGCUUUUUAGAUAACUUUGUGAUAUUAGGGACUAAAUUGAAUAAAUUGAAAGUUUCAAUAAAUUAAGCUAUAAAUGAAAAUUAUAAGGUCUUUUAUGAAAUAAUGUGAAAUCAUAUUUUGAUCUGAUGUUAGAUAUAGAAGAAUGUGAGCAUUCCAGUUAUAAAGACUAAAAUGAAUAAAAUGAAAAAUAUGUUGGUUGUGUAUUUUAAUGUGAUUUGGAUGUGAACUGACAUUGUUUUAUAAUUAAAUUAUCGAAUGUAGCUAAAGAUGAUGUCGGGACAUAGCUAAAUACGACACUGGGCCAUCUUAAGAGAAGGGAAAGACGAGAGACAAAAAUUUGGUUUGUAGGAAAGACGAGAGACAAAAAUUCAGUUUGUACUUUUAUGAUUCGAGUUCAAUAUAUAUACACAUAUACAUACAUGGAUGUUACGAAUUGGUUUAUAUGUGGUAAAUGUUCUAUUUGUCUCAUGAGUCGAUUUAUAUGAAGUAAGAUGAAAUGUUAUGAGUUGAGUUGAAAUGAACAUAACAUAGCCAAGCAUAAAAUGAAAUUGUGAUAUAUGAUAUGUGAUCUGAAAAUGGUAUGAAACUUUGAUAUGUGAAUAUGUAAAUGAUGUAUAAUUGGAACAUUGGUUACCCUAUUAACUAUUUUGACAAAGUUGGAUAUAUUCGACAUGCCGUAGAAUUAUAUUUGUGUACGAGUUUAUGGUUCGAUUUUACCUAUGAGGUGCAGAGUGCAUAUUUCCUUCGAAUGUCCAAUGAGGUGCGGAGUACAUUUUACUUCGGCUAUACCGAUGAGGUGCGAAGUACAAUUAAUACUUUGAACAUUCUAAUGAGGUACUAUGUGCCGUAUUGGUGUGAUGGUUGGUGUAACGCCCCAAUUUUCAGGAAUUCUGUGAAUGUUGGCAUAGGUUUAAUUAUGUUAGUGGGCCUCUAGAAGGCCCAAGCUUAAGAUAAAACCCGGCAAUUUUAGUUAAUUUUUGUUCCAUAAGAAAAAAGUGGUGAAAUUAUAAAAUAGAACCUAUAUGAAAAUGUUUGAAAAUGCUAUAGGCUAAAUUGAAGUGGCCAAAUAAAUAGGAGUGCAAAAUAGGAGGAUUUGCAUGACAAACCUCCCAUUUUACAUGAAGUGGCCAGCCAUCAUGUUGUUGUAGACAAUAUGAGCACUUGAUAUCCAUAAUUCAUGGUAUAAAUUGAUAAUGGGUUAGGUAAAUGUUCCAUGAUAAUGGUUUAGGUAAAUGUUCCAUGAUGGGCAUUUCAUGUCUUUUGUAUUAAGGAAUUAAAUGGAUGAAAUAUGAAAUUUUAUUAAAAGAAAAAGGAGUGAAAAGAACAAAGUUUUGUCCAUCUUUGUUCAUCAUAGCCUAAAGUUAGAGAAGAGAAAGGAGAGGAGAAAGCUCUUGAAUGUUCGGUCACUUGGGGAAGAAAAUUGAAGGUAAGUUCAUGGUAGUUUGCUUCUAUCUUGAUGUUCAUGAGUUCUUUUUUAUUCUACCUUAACUCUUGAAGCAUAUUUUGGUUUUUAGUUGUGUUGUGAGCAUUUAGUCAUGAAUUAAAAUGAAGGAAAUGGUUGUUGUUUCAUGUUCUUUUGAUGAAAAAUGGAAGAUAGGUGAAGUUAAGCCAAACAAAUGAGCAUGCAUGUGCCUUAGAUGCUAAGGGGAAAAAUCGGCUAACAUGUUGUGCUUUAAAAUGAUGAAAUGGAGAUUAUACUUAAGGAAAAUCAUAGAUAUGUGAUGAUUGAUUGGUGAUAUACAUGUUUAAAUAACAAGCAUGCAAGUUAGGUGUGAAAGAGUGAUUUGGUAAUAAAUCUGCUUGGGGCAGCAGCAGUAAUGUGACUUUGGAAAAUCACCAUAAAUUGUGGGAGAUGAUUUAGAAGCUGCAUAAAUUAUGUAAUUAAAGAUUAAUGAGUCUAGUUUCAAAUGGAAUAAACGAGAACAUAUUUUGAAUUCUGUACAAUGAGAAAUUUGAUUCGUAAUAAAGAGUGGUCAGAUUAGUCAAACAGUGAAACAUGGGAAACUUUAAGAAAAAUCUGGUAUUGAUUGGCCAUACCAAAAAUUCUGAAAAUUUUAUGGAUAGAAGAUAUAUGAGUAUAUUUUUAGGGAAAAUUAACGGCACUUGAUUUGGAGUUUCGUAGCUCCAGUUAUAAAUGAUUUAGUGACUGUUGCUCAGGAAGACAGCUUGCAGUGAAAUUAUGAUUAUGUGGUAAACAUUGACAAAAAUUUGUUAAUGAGUUGCUUAUUGAUUUCUUAUAAGCUUACUAUGAUCUGUAGGUGUGGUUGGCCGAAUAUUGUAAGGGGUUAAUACGUAGUUCGUAUUUGAAUAGUUAGAUUAACGUCUUAGUAAUCCAAUUGUAGGUAGUUCGUCUGUGGAUCUCGUCAGCAUAUCGUCGCAAACAGGUGUGUAACUAACACCCUCUUUCUUAGUCUGGAUCGGCAAAAGUCGAAAAGCCGAAAUGCCGAAAACCGGUAUUUUGUAGAUUUGCGAGUGUGCGAAUGCUCGUGAGGUAAAUCGAUUAAUGUUUUUGGUAAGCUGCAAAAUUUGGACUGCAAAGUGCAUGAUUUCUGUGCCCUCGAUAUUUUUGGGCUUAAUGGGCCAAAAUUGGAAUGAUGGGCCAACGGGCCCAAUUCGGUAAGAACCCUCGGUAUGUGAGUCUGUUAGUACGUGAAAAGUAGGAAUAUGCAUGAAAAACCCUAAAAAUAGCUAAAUUACUAUAAUACCCCUAUGUAUGGAAAAUUACUGUUAUACCCCUAGGUGCAAAAUUACCGAAAUACCCCUAGGGUUAAAUUGACCUAAAUGCAUUUUGACUGUUAUUAUUUACUGCAUGCCAUGUUGUUCUUAUCUGAUGCAUGGGAUUGGGAUAUUGACGGAGGAAGUACUGAAAGUGGCUUGUCCACGUACUGAAGGCUUUGCCUCAAUUUACUGUUAACUGAGCAGCAAGGCUGCAACUAUGGAGUGUUGGGCUGGGUGGGUUGAGCUAUUCCCCACAUGGAGUGUAUGGCUGGUACGGGUGGAGUGUAGUGGUUGGUGGGUUGAGUAGUCUCCCCAAAUGGGCUUGCAUAUGUUUAUUGAUGUUGCAUGUAUUUUGAAAUGGGCUUAUGGGCCAUACUGUUAUCUAAAUAAGGGGCUAAGGCCCAGUUUAUUGUAAUCUGAAAAGGGCUCUGGUCCAGUACCACUGUUACCUGAAUGGGCUUAGGCCCAAUAGGCUUGAGCUGACUUGGGCUUUGAAUGGGUUUUCCUUACACACUGAGUUUCCCCAAACUCACCCCUUUUAUUUUCAUCCACGCAGGAAAUCCCCAACCAUAGUGGGCUUGGAGCUGUGAGGGAAUUCGGAGUGGCCACCCGUUUUGAAAGUUUGAUUUUCUUCUGGUGAACUGGACAUCCUUUUAAUUACAUUUGAGGUUUUGGGCUUUUAAAUGUAAUAAGGCCGCUUAUUUAUUUUUGAUGGUUUUUAAUAUGUAUUACUAAGAUAGGUAUUACUUAUAUUUAACUGUUGAAAUUGGAUAGCUUUAGAGCGUGUUUUCAAAAACAACAAUUGAUUUCAAAAUAACACGACAACAAGCAAAGCUUCCGCAAUGAAAGUAUUUUCCAAGAUUAAUCACUUUUCCUAAAAAUGAAUUAAUCAAAUCGGUUUCCUAGAAAUAUCCAUGACGUUAAGGUGUGGCAAUGGCGGUAUGCAUGUCUAGGAUUGGAUCCGAAGGGAGCUUGGUACUUAAGCAGUCCGAUGGACUCACCACCUCUUUUCCAGUUUCCUACCUAGUGCACAGCUUCCAUUCACUUUAACCUAUAAUGAAAUUAUCUUUUAAAACACUAAGUAAGUUUUUCUGGAUCAACAAAAUAAAAUGUUUUGAACGCUUCGAUGUGGCAUGUCGGAUCCGGUCAUAACGUCUAGGCCGGGUUUGGGGUGUUACAGUUGGAUGAUUCAUGUGUCCCUCUUGAGUCUGUGCCGUGUAUCCAUAUUAAUAUAAAAUGUGGAAAAUGUCAGCAUCUGAAAGAUCAUGUGAAUCGAUUUAUAUGAGCCUCGAAGGUCGAUGUGGAAACGAAAUGAAUCAAUAGAUUCUAGAAAGAAAUAAGAUAUGAAAUGAAUAAUUGGCAUUGUAAUAGGCCCAUUUCGCCCGGGCCCACAUCAAAACCAAAACAGAAUAAAAAUAACAAAAAAUAAUAAAUAAAGUCCAAAUUUACAGUCCAUUAAACAAGUCCAAAUAAGCCCGAAUUAAUAAAACCAAAACCCAUGAUAUUAGACCUAAUCCUAACCCAUUACACAGCCCAAGAACCUAACCCAAAACUUAGCCCAUUAACUAUUUUCAGAAAUUGGAAACCCUAGGCCACCAAGCCGCCUUUCCCAUGCACCGCAAACACCAUCAGCAGCCCCAAACAGUGAAGCUUCUGGAAGACUUCGCGUCACACCCCACGAACGGCCUCGCCAUGUCAGCAGCACCACGGCCUCCACACUUGCAACAGAUUAACAAACAAAAAGAGAAAGCAGCAAGUUGACAGCAGAUUACAGCAAAUUACAGCAACGAAAUCUAUUUCUUUUUCCUUUUAUUUUUAUUUAUUUUUCGGUUAUAAAAACUGGAUAGAAUGAAAUGUAUAGGGAUCUUUUUUUCCCCUUCUUUUUACGAAGAGAAUAAUAGUCGAAUACACACAUAUAUGAAAAGAAUAGAAAUCAGUUCAAAGAGAGUUUUCAAGAGGUGAUUUUAGAGUUUACUUUUUUCUUUCGAUUUUGGUUUCUAUUUUUUUUCUUUGAUUUUCAUUAUUGUGUGUGAAAUACAAAAUAAAUAAGGGCGUAAGCACUUAUCUGAUGGAAGAAGCCUUCGAAUCCUUGUUUACUUCAUUGAAAUCGAAGCUUUGAUGAGGAUUCGGGGGGGUCCGAUUUGACGACAUAGAGAUGAAGGGUAAAGAACCUUUUGGUUCGGUCGACUGAGAGGGGGGAGAAGAGGUUCAAAAAUUUUGAAAGAAAAGGGUUUUGGAAACUGUUUUGAGAAGAAUAAUCGGUCUGAGGUUAUUAGGGCUUUUGUUUUUAUUCAUAUAUAUGUCCAAAAACGGCGUCGUUUGGUAAAACAAGGAUCCGCGCGUUGACCCGUUUGGAGGCCCGGAUUCGCGCCUUUUCACCCUGAAAGGUCAAUUUUUGCGACGAGUCCCUCCUAUCAUGCAUUGAUCUGUUUUUCGGCCUUGAUUCUGUUUACUUAUUUUUACAUUUUCCCUGUGAUUUACGCAUUGCUGCGAUUUGGUCCUUGUUUAAAUGCCGCGUUUCGAAGCUUGGGAUAUUUGUAUUUUAAAUCCCUGACCAUUGGUGCAUGUUUCAUCUUAGUCUAAUCUUUGGUUUUAUUGAUUUUAUUUGUUUAUAGAUUGUCCUCUUAAUCUUAUUUUUAUUUCAAUCGAGUUUUUUUAAUUUAUGUUUUUAUUCAUUUUUAUUUAAGAUUUUAUUAUUUGUUUUCUAAAAUUAUCUUAACAUAGUUUUUUAAAUAUUGCUUUAAUUUGUUAUUUCAUUCAUUUGUAUAAUUGUUUCUUUAAAUUGUUCUAUUAUUUAAAAUUUCUAUUUUAAAAUUUUCUUUAUACAUGUAUUUUUAUUUUCAAAAUUUAUACAUUAUACAUUAUAUAUUAUUUUAAAAUUUAUAUUAUACAUUAUUAUUUAUAUAUUGUUGAUUUUAUAUUAUUUUAUGUAUAUAUCACUUCUUGAAUUUAUUCACAUACAUAUAUUUUUUAUAUAUUUAUACAAAAGCUAGCUCUUUUAAAAAGCCUAUUUUAUUAUAUAUAUAUAUAUUUUUUUCAACACUUUCAUCUAUUAUUUUUAUACACAUAUAUAUAUUAAUUCUAUUAAGUUUUGCAUUUUAUGUGUGUUAUCAAUUUUAAUUCAAAUUGUUUUGUAUUUCAUUGAUUUCAAACUUUAUUUCGAAUUCUCUCAUAUGUUGCCUAUUUUUUAAAAUUUUUGUACAUAUAAUUUAGUUUAAAAUUAUAUACAUGUAUUGGUUUCAAAGUUUCUUUUGUUCAUUUAUUUUAAAUUUUUUUAUUAUUCUUCAAAAUUUGUUUUACAUUUUAUUAAUUUGCCAUGUAAAUGUUAUAAAAUAUAUAUAUUUUCAAAAAAGGAAGUUCAUCAGGCUUUGAUUGUUAAUAUCGCUUCAAUAUGAAAAGAUGGAAUAUCAUUAUUGUUUAUGUCAGAUUGGAUUUUCGCAUUGUUAUCUUUGUUAUUCAAUAGUGUAAUGUUAUGUUGAAUUCACAUAUAUUUGUGCUAUGCUUGAUACCAUGUUUUUGUCUCCCACGUAUUUGGGCCCGAUUUUUAAUUGUUUUGUUCUUUUAUAUCCCAAACGAACUAAAUAAAUGCAUUUUGAGAUAAUUUACAACCAUUUAUUUAAACUUCUUUGUUAAAAACAAGGCAAUAUUCAAUAUUUAGAAAUUCGGGAAAACGUGCCCUACCGUGCUGGAUACGAUUUUUCGUUGGACUAAAUAUCUGAAUAUCCUUUUAUAAUUUUUAACCUAAAAGGUUUUGGAAGUCAAAUAUCAAUCAUAUUUUCAAAGGUAUGAAGGAUCGCGCCCAAUCGUGCUGGAUGUGAUGCUACAUUCUUUUGAAACGAGAGAAUUUUGACGACCAACUUGAACCACUUAAGUGUUUGAAUAAGAACCACAUUUCAAAAACUCUUUUUUUAAAAUCUAGACAUAAAGGCAGCACUUAAUCAAUCUGGUAUAAGUUUUUGGGCAUAAUGAGGGUGUUAACCCAUCCUCAUACGUAACCGACUCCCGAACCCAUCUUUUUACGUGGACCAAAAAUGGAUUUAAAUGGAACAAAAUGUUUUAGUAGGUGACCCAAUCACACAUUCGGUUUUAAAAGUCGAUUCUCAUUUUUUUUCAAAAUAAAUGGUUUCGACAGGCAUAUUAUGACAUGGAAAUGAAUGUAACUUAUUGUUAGAAAGUAUGACAUGGUAUGUUCAUAUGAAAUUGUCAAAUGAAUUAAUGUAUAAACUUGGUAUAUGAGACAUGAAUUGCUUAAACUAGUUCAUUAAGGCAUUAUAUUAACAACUAAUUAGAUUAAUUAAAUUACUAAUUAUUGAAAAGAAAAACAUCAUCUUCCUUCAUCUUUUCCACCAUCCACCAAAUAAGAAGAAAAUCAUUUCUUCCUUUUAUUCUACGAUUGUUGAACCUAGCUAAAGGAAAAUAGGUGAUUUUAUCAUCAAAUUUUGGUUAAAUUUUAGUUAAAAUAUAAUAGAUGUGUAACACCCCGUACCCGAGACCGUUGCCGGAGUCGGACACGAGGGGUUCACAGACUAAAUUCGCUUACUAUCGCAGUCCAUUUUAAAAUUUUCCAGGCAGUUGGCUAACUGCGACACUGUCACCUUAAAAAUCAUAUCUUGAGUUUCACAACUCGAAAAUCAGUUUCGUAAUUUUUCCCUGAAACUAGACUCAUAUGCCCAUCUACAUAUUUUUUUCUAGAAUUUUUGGUCGGGCCAAUUAGUACAGUUUAUUAGUCAAAGUCUCCCAUGUUACAGGGAUCGACUACACUAACCUUUUCGCAUUACGACUUGGAUAUCUCCCUGCACAGAGCUUCAAUAUUGAUGCCAUUUGUUUCUAUAGAAACUAGACUCAGAGAGGAAUCUAUACAUAUAUGGAAUGACUACUAAUUAUCUCUGGUUAAUUUAUAAUGAAUUUCCAAAGUUGGAACAGGGAAUCUAGAAACCGUUCUGGACCUGUCUCACGAGAACCUGAAUAUCUCUUAACAUACUGUCUAUAUGAUCGUUUCGUUACUUUCCUAUGAAAAUAGAUUCAUCAAGGUUCGUUUACAUAAUUUAUUCAUUAUUUAAUUCCAAUCCUACUAUUUUUAGUGAUUUUCCAAAUCUACAUCACUGCUGCUGCCAGCAUCUGCCUUUAAGGUAGACUUUACCUAUUUCAUAGUUUCCAUGAUUCAACUAGCCCUUUUAGCAUGAAUAGCACAAAUUAUGAUAGUGAUUAACCAUUCCAUACCAAAUGAUUAUAACAUUAUGCUCAAACAUAUAUAAGCCAUUUUCGCAUGGCUAUAUACAUUAACCAAAAUAUUCUUCCGCCACUAGUCUAUUUUAUACAUGCCAUAAGAUAAUCCAAAACAUAGCAGUACCAAACAGUGGAUAGUGAUAGUGUGACUAGUUGCUGACGAUCCCCGAGCCUGUAGCUUCGCAAUGAGAUCUAUAAAACAGAGGAAACAGAGUAAACGGAGUAAGCAUUACAAUGCUUAGUAAGUUUUAAGCAGUGUCAACAGAUAACAAUCAAAUUAUAACAUAGUUGUUCGUAUUUUUAUUUCACUCUUCCUUCGGGCAUACCAUCCCUUUACCGAAUAUGCACAUCUCAUCAUAUACAAUAGGCAGAUAAACUUUCACAUAAAAGUGAGCUCAUGUGACAUAGAUAUAUCGUAUGAUUUCACAUAACCUCUCACUCUGAUUCGAUGUCACAUAAUCAUAGGAAUAGUCUCAUAGAUUGCUCUCGUAUGCGUCACAUAACUACCUUAUGAUUUAGUGCAAAUCAAGCUCACAUAUAAACUUGGAGUACAUACCUGUUUAACCUUUCGCAUUGAAUAUAUUUAUAAGCAAUUCUUAUUACGAAGUCUUACCCGGACAUAAUCUCCACACGAAGUUAUCGGGUCUUACCCGGACAAAAUCCCCACACGUAGUCAUCGGGUCUUUAGAGCUCGGAUAUAGUACGAGCACGAAGCUUACAGACAUUAAUCAGUGAUAAUAUUCUCGCAUAAAGCCUGCGGGGUUUUAACCCGGAUAUAGUACUGACACAAAUGCCCUUCGGGACUUAUCACAUUCAUCACAUCGGCCAUUAGGCCCUAUCACAUAUAUACACACUUUCACAUUCAUCACAUCGGCCAUUAGGCCCUAUCACAUAUAUAUACACUUUCACAUUCAUCACAUCGGCCAUUAGGCCUUAUCACAUAUAUACACUUUCACAUUCUCAAAGUAAGCUAUUUUAGCUUAGUUAUAAGCAAUUUAAACAAUUUAAAAGACAUUAAAAACUCAAUUUGAGUAACCAAGUCCUGCUACUAAAAUCACAUAUUCAACCAAACUUGACUACCAAUAUAUAUCAAUCAGUCAAGUUUAAUACCUAACAUGUUCGAAUAUACAUAAACUCUAAAAAUAAUAAUAAUAAUUACUUAACACUUCCCAUCUUACCAUUUAAUACCUAGUCGAAUGUUCACUCAUAUAUAAAAUAAAUAAUCAAACAUUAUUAUAUAUAUAUAAUAUCAUUUUAUUAUUAUUAUCAUUAUUUAUUUUAUUUUAUACUUUUCAACUCAUCCAUCUCUCAUUUUUCCAAAUCUAUCAUACAUAUUAUAUUUAUAACUACCCACCAUAUAAUUUCAAGUUCAAUAAUAUCAACCACAAAGGUUUGAUUACGUACCUUCAUUAUUACGAACAUAAAUAUUACACUACUACUCUUGCAUUUGAUAAUUAGAUCGUCUGAUCAUUUUCCUUCACCCGUUGUAUUCGCACACUUAGUGCUAUUGUUUAACUAGAAAGGCCAUGAAAUCGCACACUUAGUGCUUAAUAUUUUCCUUCGCACACUUAGUGCUCGAUAAUCAAACUCGCAUGCUUAGUGAAAUUUUCAUAUUUAUUAUUUCUAUUUGCAUUCGACAACACCAAGAUUUUAUAUAUUUCAACGCGGCUCACACAAAUAUAUAAAUUAUAUUUAUUUAAACCAACAAUAAAUAUUUGCUUAACGACUUACCUCGGAUUUCGACGGACAGUCGAAUUCGACUACUCAACGAUUUUUUUUUAUUUUCCCCGAUCCACGUCUGAUCUUUUUGGUUCUUGAUCUAAAAAUUUCGAAAUUAAUCUCAUUCAAAUAGAAUUUCCUUCAUUUAGGUACAAAUACACAUAAUUGAGCAAUUUACCAAUUUACCCCUAAUAUUAUGCACUUUUACAAUUUAAUCCAAUUUUCUCAAAACACAAAAUAUGAAGAAUUUGUAUAUACAAUGCUAGGGCCGAAUGUUCACUAAGCUUAUAUAAAUCCUCCCAUUUCACUAAUUUCACAAUCUAGUCCUUCAAUUUAGUACUUUUUUUCAAUUUAACCCUAAAUGCUCAAAAUUACCAAAAAUCCCAAUACCAAAAUGUUAAUCUAACACAUUUAUUUUAUUUUCUCACAUCAAACGUAAAUUUUAUCAAACUAUUAACAAUGACACUUCAUGACUAUAUCAUCAAUUUCAAAAUUUCAAGCAUGGGCUUUAUAGUAUUCAAAGCAACUAUCUCAAAAGGGUAAAAAUUAACAAAAACCAAACUCAAAUCACUUACCUAAUUGAACAUGCAAGGACCGAAAAUAUCAAAGCUGAAACUUUCCUUUCUUUCUCUUAGCUUCGGCCGAGUAAAAAUAAAAGAAAGAUGAACACUUUCAUCUUUUAUUAAAUAUAAUAUAUUAACAUAUAUUAAAGUAUACCAAAAUGCCAUAAAAUAUAACAAACAAUUCAAGUCAUUAAUCCAUGCAUAUUGGUCGGCCACCAAUUCCUAUUUAUGGCCAAAUUGCAACCUUAAUAUUCCAUAAUAUAAAAACAAUCAUAAUUUGGCCCUUAUACAUUAACCCUUAAAUUUUCCAUUUUACGCGAUUAAACCAUUUUUUCAUCAAUCGACCUCCAAACACUAAAAUUUUUAAACGAAACUUUCACAAAAGCAACUUCACACAUUUUAAACAUAGAAAAUGAUAUUUAAAUAUUAUUUUAACUUGGAUUCGUGGUCCCGAAACCACCGUUCCAAUUAAGGUCCAAAUUGGGCUG
rnacentral:lncRNA from 1 species